ACACAGAGAAUGUAUGUCCUCGCUGCUCUGCAGAAUGCAGCAGUGGAGAAUCCUUCUUCAUUCAAUAUCUCUCUCUCUCUCUCUAACAUACAAGUCGUGCAAAGAGAAUUUUACCGUUAGCAAAGCACAGCUGGAUCCUUAGACAUCACAAAGUGAUCUCAGCCACACAUCUAACUAUUUUUGCAUUAUUUGCCUUACAUCUUUGAACCUCACACUUGGCAAUAUUACAACUCAAGUGAAUACACAAUUAAGCUCAUAACUUAUUUCACUAAUUCUAAUCAGCUAGAGACUUACAAUUCAACAGAAUUUGCAUCAUAUCUCUUUUUGUGCAGUGAUCUUUCAUAUAACAACCUCACCAUAGAGGAUGCAAGUUGUCCAGCCCUAAGCAACACGUAAGAAUGUCUCCAUUAGCUUGAAGUUAAUCUGUUUGUGUUAUGUGGAGCAAAGCUUAGAUUAACUUUUCAUUUGUGUUAAUUUCUGCAGUAACUUGUUUGCAAGCUCGUCAGAAGGCAAUAGUUCGUAAGUUCAAAUUAACCGUCUCAAAGCAUGCACCUAUAAAUUUACUUUGGUUUCCAACGGUGUAUUCUGUACUAUUUUUUUUUCCCUACUUCUUCCAUUUAUGAUUGCUGACAUUUUCUAUACCCUGAAUUACUCUAUCAGGAGAACUGUUUCAUGUUUCAAAACUUCAGAAUGUCCAAAAUGUAAGCCGGGUUUCUACACAAAUAAUUACCUUUAUUUUUUCGGUUCAUUCUUUUUUAGUUUAGCCGACCCCACUUAGUGGGAAAAGGCUUUGUUGUUGUUGUUGUUGUUGUUGUAUUCUUUUUUAGUUUUCCUCCUCAAUGCCUACUAAUCUCCAUUUUCUUUUUUCAUAGAUUUGUACUACUCGCUCCAUAUAAAUUGUGGUGGGACACAAUUUACUGUCCCUGGAAAGAAAGAUACACUAUAUGAAGCUGACACAUUUCUAGAUGGACCUUCAUCAUUGUACCAGAGCACAACAAAUUGGGCAGUAAGCAGCACCGGUUCCUUCAUUGAUGAUGACCGCCCUAAGGACACCUUUAUAUGGCGUAAUGAAACUACACUCUCUAUGGCCAAUCCUCUACUGUACAUGAACGCACGCCUUUCUCCCAUCUCUCUAACUUAUUUUGGGUUUUGUCUGGGAAAUGGAGACUACACUGUAAAGCUCCAUUUUGCAGAGAUAAUGUUUAGAAAUGGCAAAACAUAUAAAAGCUUGGGAAGGCGCAUAUUCAAUAUUUACAUUCAGGUAAGUAUCGCAUCCACUUCCAUGUAUACCAGUGAAUUAUUCUAAUUUUCAGCUAGCAUUGUUUAUAUUUUGGUCGAUUUGAAUGUUAACUUUCACAUUUAUGUUCAUGAAAUGUUAAGCAACUAAAUUAGUAUAUAUACAUAAAUAUAUUGAAGGGAAUCCUAGUGAAGAAGGACUUCAAUAUCAUGGAUGAAGCUCGUGUGUUUGGUGAUGUAGUCAUAAUGAACUUUACUGCUCCUGUAACUAAUAUACAUUGGAGAUUCGUUUAUAUUGGGCCGGGAAAGGGACGACAGGCAUCCCUGUUAGAGGAGUCUAUGGUCCUCUUAUUUCAGCUAUUUCAGUAGACCCAAGUAAGUUUUCAAUGAUCUGACCUUUGUCUUAUUACUAUGCGUCGACCAUAUGCAUUGAUAUAUCUACUAAAUUAAGAGAUCCGACUUCAGCUCUGCAAGGUUCUUCAAUAUUUCCUUUCCCUUGUAUUUUCACAAAAAUGCUUCUGUGCUUUUCUCCUGUUUUACAUAGUUUGAGCCAAGACUUGAAAUACUCUUUUAAAUUUUCUUAUCACAUAAUAUGCUGAAUUUUCUAGGCGACGGUAUGUGCUUUUAAAUACAACAAAAUUCAACUUGAGGAUUGUUUGUUGAGGAAAAACUUAAGAGUACAGAAUUCUAACACAAGUGUUGGAGACACAAAACAAGUGAACAAAUUACUUGUAUUACACUCACAAAAUAUUGCAACACACAAACUCUCAAAGACACUCUUUAGAGGCAAUGACCUCACUCAUUUUCUAAAGACAAACUCUAGAUCACUCAUACUCCUCACAAGACUACUCUGACUUCUCACUCUCACUUGGUUGCCCGCUUCUUCUUGGUUGGUUGGUUUAUUUCACAACAUCACACACCUAUUUAUAGGCAUGUAUGCCGACUUCACUAGCACUUUCUAGUGCAUGUUCAUGCACACACUGCACCGACAUAUGACUUUUCAUAAUAGCCACAUAUUGUAUAAGCUGCUAGAACUUUCUAGCACAUGAUUAUAUACACACACCCACUGACUUAAUAGGAUAAUGCUAGAAUUAUCUAGCAUAUUGAUACGCCUGCAUGAUGCACCGUCUUUAGUGCUAGAAUUUUCUGGAUUUGUGUAGAAUGGGCUGGGGUUGGACUGUUUUAACAUUUUUAACUAUUUACAUGAAAAUAAUCCAGUUCACUUAAGGGAAACAUAUAAUAUUUACAACCAUCCGAAGAAAGUUUGUUCGAUGGAUUACUUCAUAUACUAUCUACUUAUUUAAGGAUGCCCCAAGGACCGGGUUCAAUCUUCUGUUUCUGUGUGCAUUAGAUAGCUGGUUGAAUAAUCCACUCUCAUAUCAAUUACAUUUACAUUUACUCUAAUUUAAGCUAUAUUCUUUCUUCCGACAGACUUUGAUCCCCCGCCAAAACCUGGUGGAAGUGGCGUGCCUACAGGUGGUGUGGUUGGAAUUGUGGUCGGAGGAGUCUUCAUUAUACUACUGAUAUUUGGUAUUCUUUGUAAGAGAGGUCUCCCAGGACAACAAAAGACAUUGGAGGAUGGUAAUAAUUUGCAGUUUAUUCUGUUAUACUGGUUUUUCUUUUUGUUUCUCCAUUACUUUUUCUUAUUGAACUUUUUUCGUAACUAAGAACAAUAUUUAUGCUAUUUUGCAUGGUUCUCAUGCAUAUUGACGUGCAUACACAAAGACAGUAAUUAUUUAGAUAUUGAGCUUUUUGGCCCUUUGAUGUUGCUAUAAUAUAUUUAUCGUCCAAACUCAUGAUGCGGAUUGCAGAGUGUCUGCCUAUAGAUCCAAUUACUAGUUAAAUUCUAGAAGCACAAAAUAUUAAGAACUAAGAAUACUAUCGUUCUGAAAGUUUUCUUCGACACAAUUUCUUAUGAGUUUUACUUGUGAUACAGAUUUGAAGGGUGUGGGCUUGCAAACCGGUAAAUUUACCUUAAAGCAACUCAAAGAUGCCACAAGCAACUUUAACAAAGCCAAUAAGAUUGGUGAAGGUGGUUUUGGUUCAGUUUAUAAGGUAUUCUUCGGAGCUGAUAUUUAUUUAUUUAUUACAUUUUUUUCUAAUUUGAUAUUGUCUGUUCAAAUGAAAGUUAAUUUGCUUUAUAUAGUGAGGCGAAUUUGACUAUCUUUCUCAAAUGCAGGGCGUUCUAGCAGAUAACACCGUAAUAGCUGUUAAGCAGCUUUCUUCCAAAUCAAAGCAAGGGAAUCGUGAAUUUGUUAAUGAGAUUGGCAUGAUUUCUGCUCUGCAACACCCUCAUCUUGUCAAGCUCCACGGAUGUUGUGUUGAAGGAAAUCAACUAUUGCUUGUCUAUGAGUACCUGGAAAAUAAUAGCGUCGCUCAUGCUUUGUUUAGUAAAUAUCAAUCUCGCUUGCCAAAAGUUCAUUUCAUUCAUACAAUGGGCAUAAAAGAUCUUAUGCACUAAAAAUGUCCUUUACAACUAACUUUGUUUAAUUUGGCAAAUUGAAGGGGCAAAAGAAAGUCAUUUGCAGUUGGAUUGGCCAACAAGGCACAAGAUUUGUAUUGGUACAGCAAGAGGUUUGGCUUAUCUUCAUGAAGAAUCAAGAUUGAAGGUCGUUCAUAGAGACAUCAAGGCUACUAAUGUUCUGCUUGAUAAAAAUCUUAAACCGAAAAUAUCUGACUUUGGAUUGGCCAAGCUUAAUGAAGAGGAUAAUACACACAUUAGCACCCGUAUUGCUGGAACUUAGUCAGUCCCUACACUUUUAUUUAUCUUCUUAUUCUCUUGUUUUGAUCUUCUUCAACCCUUAAAAAAGAAGAUAGAGCAACGGAAAGUCUCUAACUUACAUAAUUUCCAACCUAACCAAAUCCUUGUUCAAGAAAUUUCAAGGGCAGAUUUGUUCUUUCAAUAUAGUUGGGUUAAUGAUUUGAUUUCAUGAUAUUGCAGUGGAUACAUGGCGCCCGAAUAUGCAAUGCGGGGUUAUCUGACUGAUAAAGCAGAUGUCUAUAGUUUUGGUAUUCUUGUAUUGGAAAUUGUUAGCGGGAGAAACAACACAACUUACCGGAAAAAGGAAGAAAGCUUUUAUCUUCUUGAUUGGGUAGCAUGAAUCUACUACUUCCUAAUUUCACUUCAAAUUUUCUUAAUAUGCCUUAUACGUAUGAAAGUACAUUUGAAUCGAUGAAGUUUAAUCCAAAGACAGAAUUCAUAUUGCCUUUGAUGCUUCCAUUUUUUGUAGGCACGACUUCUAAAAGAUCAGGGGGAUUUGAUGGACCUAGUUGAUCCAAGGUUGGGAUCAGACUUUAAUAAAGAGGAGAUGAUUGUUGCAAUCAAUGUGGCUCUCCUUUGUUGCAAUGUUACUUCGACAGCUAGGCCUACCAUGUCUUCGGUUGUGAGCAUGCUUGAAGGAAAGGUUGUUGUUCAUGAGUUGGUCUCGGAUCCAAAUGCCAAGAGUAUUGAGAUUGAUGCAAUGAGGAAACAUUUUCAAUCUAGUUUUGGAAGGGGCACGGGAGAGAAACAUAUAGAAAUGGAGUCAACUGAAGGGCCAUGGACUGCUUCGUCUGCGUCUGCUCACGAUCUGUAUCCCGUCCAUCCUGAUUCAGAUUACUGGAAGAACAGAAGCGAUAUAACUUGAGCUGCACAGUUAUCAGUUUGACUCAACCUUGGCACACUCAAACACAUCAAAUAAUAAAUCAUUUGUAUUUCCUCUAUAACUAUUUGUUGACGUGAGUCAACCAUAUAGUUUAGGAAUGUGAUCAUGUGAUUGAUUCCUUGUAUAAUUCGGAUUCUUAUUUCCUAUUUUAUGGGACCUCUUGAACAACUAUUUAUUUACCUCCUAGAGAGAAGGAUACGUACAAUUACACCUUAACUUUUAUGUCGGUAUCAGAGGAUGCUUCGGCCCGUCUCUUUCCAAAAACCCUUAAAAACCCCCUCAAGGCAUGCAACUUGCAUCAAGAAUUAUUGCUGGUGUUUGUCACGAACCGAGAAAUCCAACGUCUGUGGCUUUGGAAUAAACAAAGCUACAAAGUCAAAAAAACAUAUCAAAAUAAACCUACAAAUCAGUCCCUGCAAUGACUGAAGACAGAAAAACAAAAACCGGUGAGAUAAUUCCCAUGCAAACUAUGUCUAUUCAAAGUGAGUCUACCAAAAUCAGCGGCCUUCCAUUCAGAUUUAGAUUGAGCGACUCGAAUUUCAAAGUUUAGUCGAAGAUGAUGGAGGUCCAUGCCUCUGGCCUUGGCAAACUGGGGUAUUUGACAGGAAAAACCCCUGUUGUUGCUGAAGACUCGCCUGGAUAUACAAAGUGGGUCAAUGAUCACUGCUAUAGUACGAGGAUGGUUGUUGAAAACCAUGAAGCCCCACCUAUCGAGUCUCUUUAUUGACUUGCCGACAGCCAAAGAUGUGUGGGAAAGUGUAACCCAGAUGUUUUACGACAAUUCAGACGAGUUCCAAUAUUGUGAACUCAGGUGUAGGGCUACGCGAACUAAACAAGACGGUCGUCCAGUAAAUUUGUACUUCACUGAACUCAAAGGAGUAUCGCAAGAUCUUGAUAAAAGGCGCCCUAUCAAGAUGAUAUGCAAAGCAGACCUGCAAAGCCGUAGGGAGGAGCUUUCAAAGGACAGGGUUUACGACUUUGUUGCGGGGUUAGAUCAUGGUUUUGAUCAAGUCAGGAGUGAAAUCCUAAGGAUGAAACCUAUCCCUGGGAUUGAAGAAUGUUUUUAUUUGGUUAGACGUGAAGGCCAGAGACAAACCCCUAUGCUUGAAACAAAAUCUAAAACCACAAGCUCUUCUAUGGUGAUGAUCACCAAGUCCCCAUCAUCAUCAUCCUUUCGUUUAACAUCCGCGGGAACAUCUAGCCCAAAUCGCACCCAAGAAGAUAUUUGACACGCCCCGAUCCCGAUAUUCCUCGAAUACCAAGAUAGGCACGUGCUGGCCGACACCCAAGGGUGACGAAAGCCAUUAAUUGAAUGCAAAUGCUGAGAAUAAGGAAUAGAUAAGGUUUAUAAAUAUAAAAGAAUAAAGAAUAUGCAUUUAAGGAACGUGUUCAGAGCACACAUCUAAUCGAGAAUAUUAGAAGAAUUAACAUAAACAAUUUGAAUGAACACAGAACGGGGUCCUACACCUAGAGGACUCGAAGAUACCGAUGCGGAAGUGUCUGGAUGCCGGGAUUGUACGCCUCGAUUCUAAGUCCUGAAGGGGGCGCAAAACAAACAUGAGUGGACCAAGUUGAUAUAUAUAUAAUAAAACAGUUAUCAACGUACUAACCCCCAGGUUUAUGAAAACAUAUAUAUAAUGAUAAACAUAGGUUUUCCGAAUUCUAGCAUGAUGUGCAGUAUCUCAAAUCAUAAUUCAUAUAUAAUAAUCACUAGUGAAUUGUCCGAUAACCCCCAGGCCCCAUGCCGGCUCCCCGUCUCUGAGCAGACAGUCAGAGGAAAAUACACUUCAGGCCCUAUGCCGGCUCCCCGUCCCUAUGCUAAAUAGCCAGAGGAAACACACUCCAAGCCCUAUGCCAACACCAAACCGUCGCCCGGGACGGACCGGAAUCUAUCCCUACGUCCCAUAGCAGAAAGGACCACUAGGUAAGUACAAAACCAUUGAACAUAUAUAUAUAUUAAAAAACAACUUCAUAGUAUAAAGUCAUCCAUCAUCUAUACUAUAAAGAGGUGUUCGAAACAUGUUCUACAUAUCAUAUCGUCAUCCAUCGGAUAUUCUAUAAGAACAUGGGUUAUAGGAAAAAUAGUAAUAAUUCAAACUAGCCUUAGUAAGCAUGUUAUCUCAAAACGUUUCAUAAAACGUAAUCAUUAAAUCAUGUCUUUCAUGUAUGCAUUUCUACUAUUAAAACAUGCUUUUGAAGGGGUCCACUCACAGUACUUAGCCGCCGAAGAGUCACGCAAACUAACGAACAAGAAAACGUCACCAAUAAUUGCCCCUAAGCACAUAAAGGGUCCAAUUAAUAAAACUCUAUUUUAACAAUUGAAUUGGGAAAACGGACUUCAAAAACGGGUCCAGGACGUCGAAAUUAGCCUAGGAGAGAUCCUGGACGAAAGCCAGAAUGGGCUUGGGGUUUGGGUUUUAAUUAAGCUAAAGGGACUUGGGAAAAGGGCUGAAAGCCCACUUUACAAUUGGCCCUAAGGCCUUACUUCCUAAAACAGAAAAUAAAUAAAAACCUUAAAAAGGUUUCUUGGGUUUGACUAAUGGGCUACGGGCCCUAAAUUCCUAAUGGCCCGAAGGCCUUUAAGGGUCCUAAAACAAUUACAAUUAAAUAAAAUAAUUAAAAGUAAAAUAGGCUAGGGUUUUGGGCUUGGCUCCCCAAACCACACGGGCCUAAGGCCCGCUUAGCAUGGAACCGGCCUGGGAGGCCUGUCUCGCCGGAGCACCACCACCGGAGCUUCACAGCUCCGGCCGACUUCCACACACAACCCUAGACUUCGAUCUAGGUACCAAAACGAAGAGCAAGACGAGGGGAGUAUUUCUAUACCUUCCUUUCGUCGUGGAAUGGACGGAGAUGGCCGGAAAAACCCCCGAGGUCGCCGGAGUUGGGUGUGCUUACACCCGGCUUCGAUUUCGUCCUAUAACCUCCAAAAAUCACGAAUUAACUCCAAUUAAACCUCAAUCUCGCAAGAAUCAAGGACGAAAAGAGAGAAUUAGGGGCUUACCUAACCGGAGAUUGAAAAAUCUCGCCGGAGCUCCUUUUCCGGUUCUCUGGGGUCGCGGGAACGAGAGGGAGAGAGAGAGAGAGCAGGACGCGGUGAUGAAGGGUGAUGGGCUUCCUCGCGCGGGGAGAUGGGUGCGUGCAUGUGUGCGCGGUGCAGAGAAGAGGGAGAGAAGUGAGAGAUGAGAGAGAGCCGAGAGGGAGAGACAGGAAGAAAGAAAAGAAAAACAGAAAAGAAGAAGGAGAAAUUGUUUGGGGUGCUGCCAAGUGGCAGAUUUAGAAAGAAAGGGAUCCAUUUUCAGAUUGGGUAGAUAAAAUGGGACAAAAUUGAUAUAAUUAAAAUGUUUUGGGGUAAUUACAUACAUAUAUUUUUAUAAUUAGAGGGCGGGUGUUACAAUAUUGACAAAGAUAAGCUUCACUGCAACCACUGCAAUGGAACAAGGCACACCGAAGAAACUUGUUUUGAAAUACACACAUACCCAGAAUGGUACUGGGAAAAAAUGAAGCAAUUGAAGGCCAAAAGGAGGAAGUCGGGCCAGGCUGAACUGGUCGAGAGACAGGACCUGGAUCCAACGGGAUUAAAGGCCGAAAUGAAGCAAUUAAUGAGCAAAUGAAUAUCUAAACUGGCCUUAACAAUUUUCAGCAAUAAAAAACAUGUCCCUUUAUCGAAGUUGCAUAAAUUACAGAACCUUGGGAUUAAGGAGGAAUAAAAAGCCCAAAUUCCAAUCAAGAAAAAAAAAAUUGUAUGUAAAUUUAAGCUUUACCUGUAGAUUGGCAGCAGCAAAAGCAUACUGGAUCCAACGGGAGCGAGAACUGGAUGCCCAGCCCUUGACACGUUAUCGAGUGAGUUUAGGGAUCUGGGUUUUGUGUUUGCCGUUGAAUUUUGGAAUGAUCUGGAGAAAUUUGGGUUUUAGGGUUCUAAGGAUUUGAGUGAACCGAAACUGAUUUGGAUGAGCAACUUUUGGUUUCGAUUCGCGGUGGAGCAAGGAUGAAGAGGUGGAGGAGGUAGGAACGAAAGGGUGAGAAAAUUUGGAUAGGCGGGAUUCGGUUUCGUUUCGAAUCAGGACAAGACCACCGAGAAACCUCAUUAGCACUCCACGUGUGCAAAAGGGUUUUUCGUCUUUUUACUGUACCAACUUGAAAUACACAAAGGCAAAUUGAAGAUGGGUAUUUUCGUCUUUACACCGUCGCUUAUGAACAAUGUUUUUUCCAUGGCGCUUUAGUAUAUAUAACUAGCAAAGAAUGUUCAAGAGCAAUGCUGCGGGAUUGAAAAUCAUACAAAAACUUUGUAUCUAGUACUAUUUAUAUACAAAGGAUAAUACUUUAUGUGUAUUACAUACUAUUUACAUACAAAAGAUUUGAUAGUCCUAUUAAAAAUCACACAAAAUCUACAAUCUGACUGAGUUACAUACUAUUUCCAUACAAAAUCUACAAUCUGAUUGAAAUACAUACACUUAAUAUGUGCGUACCCCUCUUGACCUUGAACUCCCCCUACAUAGUUUACAAAAUUUACAGAUUAAAUUAAAUAUAAAAUCCAACUUAUUAAUUAAUUAUCAAAAUCGGAAAAAAAAAAUUAAAAGGGUCAAAAGAGAGAAUAGGAGAGGAGUCAAAUACUAAAAAAUAAAAAGAAAAAAACGAAAAUAAAAUCAAUAAUAAGAUUACAUAAGCACAUUCAAUUUGAUGAUUUGGAAAUUAAAGCAAAGGCCUUUGACCUUCUACGUAGGCCUGGUGUAGACAUUGAAAUUUCGGUGGCAUAAAUGUUAGCCAUUGCAGUAAGAUUACAUUUGUAAACAUUGAAAUUUUGGUGAAAUAAAUGUUGACCAUUGUAUUAAAAUUACAACCUUCAUUCACUUCACCUACAUCAUACACUAAGUUCACCUACAACAUCCACCAAGUUUCACCUACAAACAUCCACCAAGUUUCACCUACAACAUCCACCAAAAUUCACCUACAACAUCCACCAAAACAAAUGGAUGGUGGUGAUUCGUUCCCAAAGCCUAUAAAUAGGCUCAUCCAUCAAAGAAUCAAUAAACCAAUUCACAAAUACAUUUCUCUACUCCCAAAAUGGAAGAGAAUACUCCCCACACAUCCAAAAUCCUUGAAGCUUUGAAACUCUAAAGCUUUCAAGCAUCCAACCUCCCAAAUUCAAGCAAAUCCCGAAGGAUCAAGAAAGCCCUCUUCGUUCUUCGUCAAAUCCUCCUUCAAGAUCAAGCCCUAACGGCCCUUGAAGAAAUUUCUCCUUCAAGAUCAAGCCCCAACGGCCCUUGAAGAACUUCCACCAAUUCAAGAUCAAGUCUCGACGGCCCUUGAAGAAAGUGUUCAACAAAUCCACACAACUGUUCAUCCUAAGAUCAAGCCCCGACGCCCCUUUUUGGAUCAACAACAUCACCAAAUCCACAUAAAAUGUUCAUCCUAAGAUCAAGCCCCAACGGCCAUUUGGAUCAACAACAUCAACAAAUCCACACAACUGUUCAUCCUAAGAUCAAGCCCCAACGGCCCUUUGGAUCAACAACAUCAAUAAAUCCACACAACUGUUCAUCCCAAGAUCAAGCCCCGACGGCCCUUGGAUCAACAAUCAUCCAUCUUCAAGAUCAAGCCCCGACGGCCCUUGGAUCAACCAUCCACCAAUUCAAAAUCAAGCCCCGACGGCCCUUGAAGAAAGCACCAUCGUUCAUCAUCCGUUCAUCCAAGAUCAAGCCCCGACGGCCCUUGGAUCAACAACAUCAACAAAUCCACACAUCCAACCGUUCUUCAAGAUCAAGCCCAAAAGCCCUUGAAGAUCCGUUCAUCACCGUUAUUCAAGAUCAAACCUUAACGGCCCUUGAAGAAACACUCAUCCUCAAGAUCAAGCCCCAAUGGCUCUUUGAAGAUCCGCUCAAAUCCACCUUCAAAGAUCAAGCCCACGGCCCCUUGAAGAAACUUCCAACAGUUCAUCCAAGAUCAAGCCUCGACGGCCCUUGGAUCAACGAAACAUCCAUAAAUCAACACCUUACGGAGAUCGAAUCAGAAGAUCAAAAUUGAGAGAGAUUGUAACCCAAAUCAAAAUCACAAAAUAUUAUUUUGUGCACGUUGUUCUUGUCUUUUUCGUUUCAGGAAUUUUCCGUGUUCACAAAUUGGCACGCCCGGUGGGAUAAUCUCUACCUCUCAUCUCUUUCUCCGUUCAAGGAAUCCAAAUCCACCUUCAAAGAUCAAGCCCACGGCCCCUUGAAGAAACUUCCAACAGUUCAUCCAAGAUCAAGCCUCGACGGCCCUUGGAUCAACGAAACAUCCAUAAAUCAACACCUUACGGAGAUCGAAUCAGAGGAUCAAAAUUGAGAGAGAUUGUAACCCAAAUCAAAAUCACAAAAUAUUAUUUUGUGCACGUUGUUCUUGUCUUUUUCGUUUCAGGAAUUUUCCGUGUUCACAAAUUGGCACGCCCGGUGGGAUAAUCUCUACCUCUCAUCUCUUUCUCCGUUCAAGGAAUCCAAACACACCUCAAAGUCAAUAGCAUCAAGCAAGGGACAAGCCGUUCUCGCAAUCACUGAGGGAAUGAUCCUAAGCACUUCUGCCGCAAAUGGACAAUCCAUUAGCGCCACAACCGCUCCUCAACAUGCCACUUCAAAGUUGGUGCCGCUAAAAGAGCAAAUGGAGCAUCAAAGGUGUGAGUCUGUCAUCAACCUGACCUCGCUGGGGGCACCGAAGCAUGCUGCUGAGGCACACAAGAUGACAUCCCAAAACAACCAACGACGUUCUUCGUCAGCAUCUUGGAUGUCUAAAGGAAAGUCACGUCUAGUGGUUGCACAAGUCAUGACCAUCAGCGUUACCUCCAUCGAAGAACAACUGGCUCAAAUGAAUGAAGCAAUCGCAAGGCUAACCCGAACUGUGGAAGAAACAGACUUGCAAAUCGCUGCACUCGUCAGUCGACUGGAGCCACAGGACGGCGAGAACCCUAACCCAGAAGAUGAGUCUACGGUAGAGAGAAUCGAUGUGAAGCUGGAGCCAGACCAAGAAGCGGCACUCAUGGGAUCUCUUUCUAUCCAGCAGUUGCAAGAGAUGAUUGCCAGCACCGUCAAGGCACAGUUCGAAGGGAGCUCAAAUACCUCUAGGUUGUACUAAAAGCCUUAUUCAAAGAAGAUUGAUGCCCUAAAGAUGCCGAGGGGAUAUCAACCACCAAAGUUCAUGCAGUUUGAUGGAAAAGGAAACCCAAAGCAGCACGUUGCACAUUUCGUCGAAACUUGCAACAAUGCGGGGACGGAGGGAGACUACCUUGCCAAGCAGUUUGUGCGCUCGCUAAAAUGAAAAGCCUUUGAAUGGUACACGGACCUAGAGCCUGAGUCCAUCAACAGCUGGGAACAGUUGGAAAGGGAAUUCCUCAACCGCUUCUACAGCACCCGCCGCACUGUGAGCAUGCUAGAGCUAACGAGCACAAAGCAGUGGAAGGACGAGCCAGUCUAUUUACUACUCCAGCAUAUCAUUCAUGGAAGAUAUGGCGGACACUCUUCAAGCCUUCCUGUUAUCCUCGUGUUAUAAAGAACAGUAGCUCAUCGGGUACAGCUACUUCAAUCGUGAGGCAUGAUGCAUCUCCAAGGUCAGAUUCUCAAUUAUUAAGUUGUUUAUAUUGAUAAUUGAUUUUUUGUGUAGCCGGUGGCCGAUAUUCGACUUUAAUUACAUAUCGAUUCAAUGGCAUUCAUAGAACCCGAUCUAAUAUGUGCGGACCGAAUACUUGCCUUACCCCGCCACAAAGCUGCCGCUCUAUUCCCGAACGAUUAUGGAAAGUUGUGUGAGCAUCGCCCAUAAUUGGGUAAGAAAAUGUACACCUGCAAGUCGCAACCGUGCAGAACGUACAUGAUACAGUACGAUUAUACGACAAAGAGAGUGCUUCGAGAACACAAAAGGUUGAGUGUGUGCGAAGGAAAGUGUCCUCCGUGGAUAUACCAUACUCUCAACGAUUUAUCAGAGACUACAUGACCAGUCAACACAUUUCUGUACCUCGUUCAAAUGAUGACAAGACUCUGCGUACUACUAGCAUCUGAACUAACUUGUUAUGUUAUUAUAUGAUUUGAAGUUUUCUUAGCCGUGUCUUAGGCAUGGAAAGAUCGCAUGUUCUUGGUUUCCUGCUCUCAAAUGCUGAGAUACUCAUGAGAAGCUUCCAUACUUUCUCAAGGUGUUUGUGAGAGAAGGUGUUGUUAUGCCGUGGACCUACUUAUUUACCUGGUACUCCAAAUUCAGUUUUCGCGCUACCAGAAUCUUCUGCUGAAAAGGAGUCGUGAUAUCCUGUUCUCUGAACAUAUCACGUUUUCCUAGAGCGUUAUGUGACGAAGCAAACGAGCAUACUUGCAAAUCCAAGAAUGGGGAAUUCCAUUUGGUUAUCAGAAACUAAGAUGUUCCGCCUUAUCAAUCAGACAGAAAGUAAUGGUUCAUCCUCCAAGCUUCAGUGGAGAUUCCCCCGCCCAUACUGUUAACUCUCAAGCCCUGCGACAAUGGACUGUCAGCGGCAUGUGCUUUAAGCCUUUUAAGACAAUACUUUCCCGUAUUCAGAAGUCCGGGCUGUUGAGUUGGGAGUUUACAGAUGAUCUAUUUACAUUUUGAAAGAGUCUAUUGCAUGAAUGCGAUAUUGCAGGUGUUGAGUGAGAGCCAAAAAACGAAGCAAAGCGGAAGGAUCGAAAGCUUUUGGGGAUCUCGCUUGAGUAUAAGACUAGUUCUUGCAAGUUAAGCCGAGAGAGUAUUCACUGAUUGGUGUCCGGUGUACGUGAGAUUGCUAGCCGAACUAACGCAAGGGUAUGGUGUAUCCACUUUGAGUUCAUUGGUAGAUAGGUGUGGUUUGUUUGCUGCAUUGCUUCAACUAUUUUUUUCUUAUGGGUACUUCUCCAAGGAGAGGAUUUCGUGAAGCCUAAUGCUUCUGCGCCAAGGCUUCAUGAGCAAGCCUGCGAAGAAGAUUUCAAAUCAUUUGUUGCUGUUCUUUUCCUUUCAUUAUUUAAUGAAGGAAUGUAGCAUCCAUAUGGGGGACUGUCCUACAGUAUCAGAAGCUGCCAAAUGCCUUGUCCUCCUCCUAGUAGGCCCGUUCCGGUUUGUAGCAUAGUCAUUCAAUCAGGUCAUCCACUGGUUGAGGGCACGCCUCUCACUCUGGACUUAGCUGAUUAUCCUCAGCCCUUUAACAAGUGUUGCAGUUCUUUGUCGAGCACGAAGCCGAGAAAAGAAUCCGAGACUAUUCUCGAACGUUUGUUUCUGAUCUUGAUCCAUUAGGCAAGUUUAGCUGCUGUAGAAGAGUUUCUUUGGGCUCUCGGGAUCACCAGCCGCGAGGGGAAUCUGGUUCAGAGCCUGCCUGCCCUCUGCUGGAAUAACUCGGGGAAUCUGGAACUCACACCGCACAGGUGCUCGUGCUUCAUCUCUGGUCUACUUCAAAUCUGCUUCACCACUCGUUCGCCAUUCAACCGAUCCAGAAACAUCUGUGAAUAUAGGAGAUACAGCUAGGAGGGAACCACACAAAGGAGUAGCAAGAGCACAAGACUCAUCAAAGGAAGGGUAAGCUGUUUGAAGCCUUCUCAGGAUGAAGCAAGAGGACCUCAAACAGAAAUGCAGCUACGUAGACGGGCACUCUUUUGAUAAAAGAUGUUCAAACUGAAGCCACAAAUGGGGACACUACUCUGAGGUUGUUACUGAUACCAAAGUGACAUGUAAUUAUUAUUAUUAUUAUUAAUUUGUGAAUAUGCGUGUUUGGGUUAUUUUGUUCAUGCUAACAAAGACACUUCUAGUAGUACUUUUUCACUAAGCAAUCUUCUUUCUUGCAUAUCUGUAUGGGUUUUGAUAUGGCAUUGGGGUUCCCGAUAGGAUUCAGUUUACAUUCCCCAAGCUUAUUGUGUUGAUUAUCAAUUAAAAGAUUAAUUCUAACGCGACAGAGAAUCAUGGUUCAUUGUUUCUGAUGGGCUACUUUAUCGACAAGGGUUUAUUGGGUAUUUGGUGAACCAAACCUUGCUAAGGGCAACUUUAAGCGAGAUGGGUAUGUGGGGUAAGCAAGUGGACAUUAACUUUGGUGUCCCUAUAAUGAGUUAGUCCUCCACGCGUUUGCGCUCUUACAGCACUUUAUCUUUUUAAAUUUCUUUAUAUUGGUAAAGUUGGUUGGCAAUUCACUUCUUAGAUAUCUCAUCUCGGUAUGAGGUUUGUUUAAUACCACUAACAACCUCCUCCUUCUAGUGAGACGUAUUUUCUUUUUUCGAAAUUUUUUUUGGUUGAGUAAUCGCUGCCAUAGUCAUCCAAUCUGCCUUUCCAAUACAAUUUCUGUUGAACAGUCAUUGAUGUUGUCUUCUGUAGGAUGAGGAAUCUGAUAAUAUCGCCUGUGAGAUGGGAUGAAUUGUUUAGAAGAUGAUGAAAUAUCUCAGAUGACGAAGAUGUGACCUAUUAUGUAUGUUAUUGGAGUCUUUAAUUUUUAUGUCCUGAACAGGAGUAUUGGAUACUUUGAGUUUUUAUUGUUGCUAUUAUUGGGUACUUUUGGCAGGUUCUAAGAGAUGAUCUCUGGUCCCGCUUUGCAUGCCGGGAUAAAGUUACAACCUGCAUGUCAUAAAUUGGGAGAACUCAACUAAUGAGGAUGCUACAUUCUAAGCUUUCCAGCCAGCAACGUGAACAAUCUACUAACCCCAGCUUGUCUUCAGUAGCCAUCAGUCACUCCGACAAAAGGCUUGUGCUGUGAAAAUCUCAUCAUAGAAGCGCUCAUAAAGCAAUCCAGACGCAUGCUACAGUCGUAAGAGGCUGCCAGAUCUGCUGAGCGAUAGGCUAAUAGUAUUCUGCUUAAUUAGGUUCAAUAUAGACUUGCAUGUGAAUUUUGCUCUUGCCCCAUGGCUGGGCUUGGAUCUGCAGCAGGGGCAUUAGGGGAGGCAGAGAUAGAUCAAGGACGUCCUAUUUUUGUCAUUCUAGUGAUCCUCCUAAGUUGAUUUUUACUUUCUGGAGGGGACAGCUUAAUAGGCUCUGACAUCAUAUCGGCUAUUCAGAGGACAGCUUGUGCAGAUAGGUAGAUGAUGAAAGUAUGCUGGAGUGAUUUUGUAUCAGUAAGGUUGCAGGCUAUGGAGUGAUAUUUACACUAUCACUACCAGGGCCAGAACAUUCCAAAACUGCAGGCAUUCGUUUGUUGAGAAGGGCAUAACCAAGUAUCCAUACCCCAACACCUGCAUCACAUGAUCUGGACAGCUCAAAUUUCUGCGACUUAACAAAUAUUUCUUGCACCUUCACACUUGCAUUCGCAGAUUCCAUUCGAAUUCAAUUGCAUCGAAUGUCACUUGUCUAUGCGCUCCGUAGUAUAUAUAGAAUGCCAGGAGUCGAGAAGGCUUUUUGACAGCUUGGUGAUGGACUCAAUGUCUUAAGCAUAAACACAUACAAUAAUAUGCUACCACAUAGGCAUCUUACGUUCUCCCCCACAUAAUAGAUGCAAUCGGACUGGAGGCGGCUGAGCGCCAUAAACCUGCGUAGGUCAUCUUAGAGGGCUUGGAACUUUAGCACUACCUUCCAAUCCUCGCCUGAAGCUCAGAAUGCAACAGUUUCCGACAUUUUUGCGGAGGUAAAGUUUUGGAAUUGAUGACUUGAGUACAACUUGGUGCUAGAGUUUUUCCUUGAGGAAUUUAUGUAACGAACGCUAAAUCUACGUCGCAAAAUUGAGAUGAUCGCCGGCCAAAAAUUCAUAGCGACACAAUGCCCUUGUCAGUAGUCGUCCAGCCAGUGGGCGCGCGAAGUCUUCACUUCUUGAUCUUUGUGGUUACCAUGUCUUUACACCAUCACAUGAGAUCCUUAUCUUUCAUAUGUUCACCCUUUUGAGACUCGGAACAACGUAUGUCUCAUGAGUUCUCCCAUGCGCAUAUUAAGAGUAUGUCCCUCAGCCGGAACCGUCCCUGUACCUCUCCCUAUAUAUAUUCCGAGCACCAGCAGUGCUGACUGGUCCAUGCACAUUAACAAAAUUUCACAAAUUCUCCUCCCCGCAAUGAACCAGAAUGAGUCUAAACUGGGUGAGCAUAGGCACAAGAAGAAGUCUCACCUUGGGGCUAGCAAAGUCGACGAGUCUAUUUUACACACGAAACCGGAUUUUGGAUUCUGCCUGCCCAAGACAGUUAACUGAGCCAGAGAUGAUUGCAUUCCCCAUCUCCAGAAAAUCUCUGUCGCUGAAGUAAGCAGAUGAAUCUCUUUAUGAACUGGCGUGGGCCACUGAGCCUGAUGGGUCCAACUGCUCUUUAGGCUUUCAGUCAAUCCAGAGCCUAAACAACCUAUAAUGAACCACAAGCUCACUGGUGCGCAGCCCUACCAAGAGUAAACUAGUUGGCAAUUGCGAUAAGAACUGUGCAUAAUUCUUCAAAUGUACGCACAAAAUCAAUCGAAGUGCAAAUGAGGAAUGUUACUGUUAAAACUCUCAUUCAAGAUGGCUCACUCAAAUAUGCAAAUUACGGUCGACAAUAUGCCCUCAAAUGCUGAUCCCUCUUGUGUGUUGUCCCUUCUCCUGGAAUCCGAAAGCCGUUAGUUCGUAGCUCCUGUUAAUUGCCAGUUUUUCCAUACAGAAACAUUCAAGAAGUUCGAAGGUUCAAAGUCAAUAUACACUAAAUUAAGAAUUAGAGAAAAAAUAUAAAGUUUUAUUAGAAUGGAAAGUGCAAUUUCUAGUGUACAAAAAUUAGUAAUAAAUAAUGCACGUGAAAUAGUCACUAUUCGUAAGUUUACAUAUAGAAAAACAGACUAAAUGAAGAACAACCCUACAAUAACCAACCAGAAUUUGUUUAAAGUUUUGCUGGUCAGGCCCAGAUAGAAUAAGUUAAGAGAGAAAUAUAAAGUAGACGCUUUCUUAUUUUAUUUUUUUCUCAUGAUAAUCAAUUUACACCUAAUAAAUUUUAUUAAUGAUAAGUAGAUAUCUUAUAAGAAUAUAAAAUAAAUUUUCAUAUAUCAAAUAUUAACAAUUUUGAGAGGGAUGCUUAAAAAAGAAUUAAACCCAAUUUUCCAUCUCCUGAUCUAUCUUCCCUCCUUCAGGAAUGCGCUUCGACUUAACCACUCAUAUCCCUUGGCUAUCCGUGUCUCUCACAAAUGCAUAGUUGAAGACUUGAGCAAGAGUGAACAUCGUUAUAUAUGAAGCAUACACACUAACUCAGACAGAACUUCCUUCAGUGCUAGACGUGAGAAAUGAAACCCUCAUAUAAUAGUUAGAAUCCAAAAUUAUUACAUUAGGAGCUUUUCAAUUGACGCAGUACGAGCCUAGACGAUGCGGCCAUAUUGGUGCUGAACAAACCUCUGAAAUCAAUGCCCUUGAUUUUGAAGCCCGAAGCUCAAAACUUGGCGGAGUAGCGCAUCAGAUUCCUGCAAUUUCUGAGUGUUAAUACCUCUCGCGUUCUGUCUAUGAGAUUUGUUUAUCCCAACUUAGAUCACCUUGGCGAGCUUUAAUCUGCAGACUAUUAUUGAGUCUUUCCUGCGUUCGACCUCCUCGAAACCUAACUCGCUGGUGUGAAAUACUGCAAUGAUAUUCUUCAAACUGCGAUGCAGCCGCUGAAAUUGAUUCAAAACUUUUGGUACUUAGUUCUUCGGUGCAUUAAUAAUUUGGCUGUAGGGCUUUCAUUAUUUUAGGACUUUCUAUUCCUGCAUCAACGUACUAUCUUGGAGCUCAAUGGGAUGAAUCUCUCGAUAAUAUGGUCGCCUAUCUCUAGAUCCGGACUAUUGGUGUAAAAUACUGAUUUAAUCUCGGGUAAUUUCUAUAGGUUAGUUAGACACAAAUGGUCAAUUACACGUUGGCCAGGACCACGCGCUAGUACAAGCAUACAUUUCAUAAAUUCUCUAAGCCAUGCGUCGAUAGAGUCACCCCAGCACAGUGCAAGUAUCUUAAGGAUAUGAAUACUAAGUAGGCAAUAUGAAAGUGUGAAGCAAUGUGUGGGCCCAUAUGGUUAAUCUGAGAAUAGACAGACUCACCUCAGGUUCACCGAGUUUUCUAAAUCAAAAAUCGGGGUCGGUCGGUAUGUUGUCUUCUAGUAUACUAUUUUCUAAAGCGUUUGUUGAAAUAAAGACACUGACCGGUGAUAUAGCAGGAGCAAUUCAAGAUCUAAUGAAGUGCAGGAAUGAAAUUUUUAACAGAGGCUGACAACUCAGAGAGUGUGAGUCUUUCUUGUAUACAACGAAUACUGAGCGAUUCGACCUUUCUAUAUAAAUGUAUCAAGCCAUUCACGACGGGUGACUCAAAAAGAUGUCGUAAGACCGUCUGGAGCUCCGAGAAUUCGGAUGAUGAGGACAUAUUUCAAAUAAUACUCAAGAGGGCUAAGUCAGGAGAACACUUGAAAAGAAAGUUAUUCUGCACUUUUCCAUGCUAUAUCUGUGCCAACUGCAAGUUUAAACAUUCCCGCUUACAAUACGCGCCCAAAUCAGCUCUGAUGGAAAAAGUUACUUUGCGGGGCACGAAUGUUUGUAAAGAGCUCGCAUGGAAAUUCGCGCAGUGAGUUUAUCGAAGAAGCGAGCGUGUACUUAUUCAUCGCUACGUUCAGCACCUGGUCCAUCUCUGGGCGAAAACUCAUCUUACGGGUAUUUAAUCGAAAGUGAGGCAAUUUAUCAGAGGCGUUUAUGAAGCCUGUCUGUCACAAGCCCAAGUAAGUAAAUCUCAAGAACACGCACCUGGUCGUGCUCAGUCUUUGCAGGUACUGGCGUUCGCUGAGACACACGUGUCCUAACUACACUUUGCUUCAGCUCUUUUAGAUUACAUAUUUGGAGCUAAAAUUGCGUACUUCACUACGGACAGAGAGUUUGUCGGAGGAUUUUUCUGGAUAUGUAAAUAUAAUGAAGUAUAUAUUGAGUCUAAGCUUCCUACGCUCAUCUAUUGGCUGUUUACCGACAAACCGCGUGUGAAAGUAGAUAUAGUUCAGGUUUACCCAAUACCUGAUGUAUUAAAGUAAUGUUUUAUCUCUUUCUCUGUGUUACGUAAGCCUGUUGUCCAACCUCUCUACCCCUCCGUCCAAUAUGCAAUGUCUGAACAUACUAUUACUGCUUAAUCUUCAUAUCUACUCGAGAAUGACGCGCUUUUCUCUCUCCCUCAAAGACGUAUAAAGAACCUUCGUCGGAGUGAUGAUCAGUUCAGUCUUUGAAUCUUUAGUUGUCACUUUGGGUGUCCUCUGCUGCAAAAUACUAUUAUCGACUCACUCUCCUAGCGCACGAGAGGUAUCAUCAGUUGAGAUCAACCAGAGUAUGGUUUAAAUUGCUCUUUCUGAAUCGAGCCAUAAUUCUUACAAUCAUGUCUUUACUCCCUUUCCCAUUCUCUCUGUUUUCCGCUUUUUACUCUUACCCUGUACAAACUUCUCACAGGAUAGAGAGGUCAAAUACAUAUAUGCCAGGAAUACUCUCCCAGCUCUCCAAUAUACUUCGGACGACCAACAUUAUUUCCUGCGUCCACAUGAGUUGGACUAUCUGGACUGUUAUCGAGGUACAAGUCGGGCAAGAGGUGAAAAUUUGUGGAGUAGCAUGCAGACAGUUAAUGUGGAUACAAUCGUAGCAUGACUAUCACGCUAAAAUAAGUAGAAAUUACCACGAAGAAGAUAAUGCUUAUUAACUAUCUAGCGAACAAGCAUUGCCUCAAGCCAUAAGUGAGUGUUUUGAGCUGAGAUCUGUUGAUAUUCUAAUGACUGAAACUUCGCUCUACAUUCUGCUGAGAGGACGAGAGACGAGACCGAACAAUUUGGCAGUGACCUGUUGCACGAUGAAUCAGUCAUAUCAGUCAAAGAGGAGUUCUGAGGCGAAGAACUCAUGCAGGAAGAUGCUUAUGGCAAUGACCAACCAGCCUCGCCAGAAAUGGAGACUCCAUAGAGCGAGGAAAAUGGAUAACAUUCUUAAAGCUAUGGAGGACAUAGUGACAACAACAUAUCAUCGUUCUGUGCUCGAAAUCCUUCAAUGUGCGCGAGUGCGCUUCUCUGUUCAAAGAAUUUGCAAAAGUUGUUCUAGUUCUAUUGAUCAUCAGUGUAGCACAGUUCUUCUUGUGUUUAUAAAUUUGUAGGUUUGCGUCGAUGAUUAGAUAGCUCGGUUUGUGGAACCUCCAACGACUCUCAUGGGGUCGACUUGACUAGGCGUUGUUAAGGGCUGACAGCUUUCUCACCAACCCUUAAUCAAGCCUUAAGAUUUCAAGUCACCAACUGGCAAGAAGAGAGGCCCACGCAUCAAUUCUUGACAUAGAGCCAUCUUACCUUUGACGCACACAAGUCUGGUCUCAUUGACUUGGUGAAUUAAUGCAGAACCUCUGGUUGUAAUCUCACAGACACACUAAUCGGUUCACCGUUUCUUCGUGCCUUGUCUUGUGGCCCUUUCGAUUUAACCUCUCUCAGAAGAAUCAAUGCAUCAGACCCUGAAGAAGUUUCCGGCCAAAUUCAAGAUCAAGCCUCGACGGCCCUUGAGGAAAUCACAAGUCCGAUUCAAGAUCAAGCGUCCACCAUAUUUGAAUCAAAUCCAGUUCAAGAAUAAGCUGUGGAAAAUCAACAAUUGGAGGAAUCCAAAAAAUCCUCCAACCCAGUUCAAGAUCAAAGCUGUGGAAAGUCAACAAAGCGCAAAAACAAAUACGUGCCGAUUCAUCCACUACCAAAACCAAAGAUCAUCUACCACAUAAAGCUCCUUGUGGUCCAAUUUCAACCUUCAAGAUCAAGCCUCGACGGCCCUUGAAGAAAUUUCGAACAAAGUCCAAGAACAAGCCUCAACGGCCCUUGAAGAAAUCUCCAGCCCAAUUCAAGAUCAAGCCUCGAUGGCCCUUGGAUUGACAACUACAUUAACGGACUUCAAAACGCAUCUCCUACAUGUAACAAGCACAUGUAUACAACGCGCCUUGAAGUGGGGGCAUUUGUAGACAUUGAAAUUUCGGUGGCAUAAAUGUUAGCCAUUGCAUUAAGAUUACAUUUGUAAACAUUGAAAUUUUGGUGAAAUAAAUGUUGACCAUUGUAUUAAAAUUACAACCUUCAUUCACUUCACCUCACCUACAUCAUAGUUUCACUACAAGUUCCACAGUUUCACCUACAAACAUCCACCAAGUUUCACCUACAACAUCCACCAAAAUACAAUCACCUACAACAUCCACCAAAACAAAUGGAUGGUGGUGAUUCGUUCCCAAAGCCUAUAAAUAGGCUCAUCCAUCAAAGAAUCAAUAAACCAAUUCACAAAUACAUUUCUCUACUCCCAAAAUGGAAGAGAAUACUCCCCACACAUCCAAAAUCCUUGAAGCUUUGAAACUCUAAAGCUUUCAAGCAUCCAACCUCCCAAAUUCAAGCAAAUCCCGAAGGAUCAAGAAAGCCCUCUUCGUUCUUCGUCAAAUCCUCCUUCAAGAUCAAGCCCUAACGGCCCUUGAAGAAAUUUCUCCUUCAAGAUCAAGCCCCAACGGCCCUUGAAGAACUUCCACCAAUUCAAGAUCAAGUCUCGACGGCCCUUGAAGAAAGUGUUCAACAAAUCCACACAACUGUUCAUCCUAAGAUCAAGCCCCGACGCCCCUUUUGGAUCAACAACAUCACCAAAUCCACAUAAAUGUUCAUCCUAAGAUCAAGCCCCAACGGCCAUUUGGAUCAACAACAUCAACAAAUCCACACAACUGUUCAUCCUAAGAUCAAGCCCCAACGGCCCUUUGGAUCAACAACAUCAAUAAAUCCACACAACUGUUCAUCCCAAGAUCAAGCCCCGACGGCCCUUGGAUCAACAAUCAUCCAUCUUCAAGAUCAAGCCCCGACGGCCCUUGGAUCAACCAUCCACCAAUUCAAGAUCAAGCCCCGACGGCCCUUGAAGAAAGCACCAUCGUUCAUCAUCCGUUCAUCCAAGAUCAAGCCCCGACGGCCCUUGGAUCAACAACAUCAACAAAUCCACACAUCCAACCGUUCUUCAAGAUCAAGCCCAAAAGCCCUUGAAGAUCCGUUCAUCACCGUUAUUCAAGAUCAAACCUUAACGGCCCUUGAAGAAACACUCAUCCUCAAGAUCAAGCCCCAAUGGCUCUUUGAAGAUCCGCUCAAAUCCACCUUCAAAGAUCAAGCCCACGGCCCCUUGAAGAAACUUCCAACAGUUCAUCCAAGAUCAAGCCUCGACGGCCCUUGGAUCAACGAAACAUCCAUAAAUCAACACCUUACGGAGAUCGAAUCAGAUGAUCAAAAUUGAGAGAGAUUGUAACCCAAAUCAAAAUCACAAAAUAUUAUUUUGUGCACGUUGUUCUUGUCUUUUUCGUUUCAGGAAUUUUCCGUGUUCACACCUGGCAAUUCCUGACACGACCUGAUAAUCCGACACGACACGACACAAAAUUAACAGAUGUUCGGGUCGACACGAUAACGAAUCGGGUGUUAUCGGGUAACCCGAUAAGCAACUGUUAAGAUAACGGGUUAGUUCGAGUAUACAUGUGGAUAACACGAUAAGCACCUGUUAAUAAUUUUAUAACGCUAAAAAAUACUAUAAUAAUUAUAUAUAUUAAUUUAACAAUUUUAUACCCCUAAAAAGUUUAAAACUAUAAUAAUUAUAUAUAUAUAUAUUAAAUUAACUAUAAUAAUUAUAUAUACUAUAAUAAUUAUACCCCCAAAAUAUUAACUAAAAUAAUUAUAAUAAUUAUAUAUACUAUAAUAAUUAUACCCCCAAAAUAUUACUAUAAUAAUUAUAUAUAUAUAUAUAUAUAUUAAGUUUUAAAUUAAAUUUAUACCCCUAAAAACUAUAAUAAUUAUACGUACAAAAUAAAUAGAUUUAAAUCUACAUAAUAUAUAUAUAUAUACACACCAUUGAACUUGAUGGAAUACACGAAACUAAUUUCAACGAUCCAACCAUUAAACUUGUUUGUAUAUGCUUCGAGAUCGCAUCAGCAAAAAAUUGCAAAAAACAAACAUUUAGAGAUCAAGUAACGAGACAAAACUUUUCGACGGUUAUAAAACAAAAAAUUACGAUUUAACAGUUAUUUUAACUCCGAUUUUGAUAUUUUUUACAGCUACACUCGUUGACCAUAUAUGAAUACAAUGAAUGAAUUCGAUUUUCAAUUUAAAAUAUUUACACUAGUGGAUACUACAAAAUUUUAUGUUAUACUUAAUGAAAAUAUAAAUAAACUCUAAGUGUUAGUGAAUCUAUCGUUUUGAUGAGAUACAAACUCUAUGAAACUAAUUUUAACGAUCCAACCGUCAAACUUGUUUGUAUAUGCUUCGAGAUCACAUAUGCCAAAAAUCACAAAAAAAAAACAAUCAGAGAUUAAGUAAUGAGACAAAACGUUUCGACGGUUAUAAAACAAAAAAUCACGAUUUAACGGUUAUUUUAACUCCGAUUUUGAUGAUUUUUUACAACGACACUCCUUGACCCUAUACGAAUUCAAUGAAUGAAUUGGAUAUUCAAUUUAAAAUAUUUACACAAGUGGAUAUCACAAAAUCUUAUGUUAUACUUAAUGAAAGUAUAAAUAAAAUCUAACUGUUAGUGAAUCUAUCGUUUUGAUGAGAUAUGAAUUCUAUGAACCUAAUUUUAACAAUCCAACCGUCAAACUUGUUUAUAUAUGCUUCGAGAUCGCAUACGCCAAAAAUUACAAAAAACAAACAUUCAGAGAUCAAGAAAUGAGACAAAACAUUUCGACGGUUAUAAAACAAAAAAUCAUGAUUUAACGGUUAUUUUAACUCCAAUUUUGAUGAUUUUUUACGACUACACUCAUUGACCCUAUAUGAAUACAAUGAAUGAAUUUGAUCGUCAAUUUAAAAUAUUUACACAAGUGGAUACCACAAAAUCUUAUGAUACACUUAAUGAAAGUAUAAAUAAACUCUAAGUGUUAAUGAAUCUAUCGUUUUGAUGGGAUACGAAUUCUAUGAAACUAAUUUUAAAAAUCCAACCGUCAAACUUGUUUGUAUAUGCUUCAAGAUCGCAUACGCCAAAAAUCACAAAAAACAAACAUUCAGAGAUCAAGUAAUGAGACAAAACUUUUCGACGGUUAUAAAACAAAAAAUCAUGAUUUAACGGUUAUUUUAACUCCGAUUUUGAUGAUUUUUUACAACUACAAUCUUUGACCCUGUACGAAUACAAUGAAUGAAUUUGAUCGUCAAUUUAAAAUAUUUACACAAGUGGAUACCACAAAAUCUUAUGUUAUACUUAAUGAAAGUAUAAAUAAACUUUAAGUGUUAGUGAAUCUAUCGUUUUGAUAUGAUACGAAUUCUAUGAAACUAAUUUUAACGAUCCAACCGUCAAACUUGUUUGUAUAUGCUUCAAGAUCGCAUAUGCCAAAAAUCACAAAAAACAAACAUUUAGAAAUCAAGUAAUGAGACAAAACUUUUUCGACGGUUAUAAAACAAAAAAUCAUGAUUUAACGGUUAUUUUAACUCCGAUUUUGAUGAUUUUUUACAACUACACUCCUUGACCCUAUACGAAUACAAUGAAUGAAUUUGAUCGUCAAUUUAAAAUAUUUACACAAGUGGAUACCACAAAAUCUUAUGUUAUACUUAAUGAAAGUAUAAUUAAACUCUAAGUGUUAAUGAAUCUAUCGUUUUGAUGCGAUACGAAUUCUAUGAAACUAAUUUUAACGAACCAACCGUCAAACUUGUUUGAUAUGCUUCGAGAUCGCAUACGCCAAAAAUCACAAAAAACAAACAUUCAGAGAUCAAGAAUUGAGACAAAACUUUUCGACGAUUAUAAAACAAAAAAUCACGAUUUAACGGUUAUUUUAACUCCGAUUUUGAUGAUUUUUUCAACUACACUCCUUGACCCUAUACGAAUACAAUGAAUGAAUUUGAUCAUCAAUUUAAAAUAUUUACACAAGUGGAUACCACAAAAUCUUACGUUAUACUUAAUGAAAGUAUAAAUAAACCCUAAGUGUUAGUGAAUCUAUCGCUUUGAUGGGAUAUGAAUUCUAUGAAACUAAUUUUAACGAUCCAACCGUCAAACUUGUUUGUAUAUGCUUCGAGAUCGCAUAUGCCAAAAAUCACAAAAAACACACAUUCAAAGAUCAAGUAAUGAGACAAAACUUUUCGACGGUUAUAAAACAAAAAAUCACGAUUUAACGGUUAUUUUAACUCUGAUUUUGAUGAUUAUUUACAACUACACUCCUUGACCCUAUACAAAUACAAUGAAUGAAUUUGAUCUUCAAUUUAAAAUAUUUACACAUGUGGAUACCACAAAUCUUAUGUUAUACUUAAUGAAAGUAUAAAUAAACUCUAAGAGCAAGUCCACCCCUAAGGACUUUGCGCCAGCACCCAGCGUAUUUAUCCACCCAAGUGAACAGUAAUAGACCCCAAUGAACAGUAAUAGGCUAAAGCAGCUCCACCCCUAAAAAUGGACUGGCACCCAGCCCAUCUAAUAUUAUAUUAUUUUAUUCAUAUCAAUUAAUAUUUUAUCAUUUAAUUUAUUUUUUCUUCCUUUCUUUGUCCGGUCCUCACCCUUUUAUUCUCUCUCUCUCUCUCUCUCUCUCUCUCUCUCUCUCUCUCUCUCUCUCUCUCUUUUCCAGCUCACUCCCGUGAGCUCUCUCUCUCUCUCUCUCCUUUUUCUCCAUGUUUUCUUCUUCAAAUGAGCACCCAGCACCUGAAAUGGACCUCUUCCCCCAAAAAUGGGAGGUCGCCGUGGAGGUGCUCCACACCAACGGUUGGGAUCUCGCCGGAGCUCCACACAAACGCUCACAGGCACCUCGUUGUCGUCUCCUCACCGGAGCUCGCCAUGGAGGUGCUCCACACCCACGGAGUCGGAUCUCGCCGUGGAGGUGCUCCACACCAACGCUCCUCGAAAAAUGGACCUCCUCCUCCUCCGCAUUACCCGGCUGGCGUCAGCAUGAGUCAGAUGUACCGGGCAACACCUCAGUCAAUUUUGGACUGGGCUACAGACCAGCUUGCGCUGGGUGCCAGUCAAUUGGGUCGGGUGGAGGGGUUUCACAGGGUGCUGGGCAGUUUUUUCAGCUGGGUGCUGGGCAAAAUGCCCUCCGCUGGAACUGCUCUAAGUGUUAGUGAAUCUAUCGUUUUGAUGAGAUACGAAUUCUAUGAAACUAAUUUUAAUGAUCCAACCGUCAAACUUGUUUUUUAUUAGGCUCUUAUUUUCAUGUGUAGAUGUAGUACUUAAAUGACAAAUAUGUUUUAAUGUUUUGAAGUAAUAUUUAUGUGGUCAAACUUGUUUUUUAUUAGGCUCUUAUUUUCGUGUGUAGAUGUAGUACUUAAAUGACAAAUAUGUUUUAAUGUUUUGAAGUAAUAUUUAUGUGGUAAUGUGUGGUAUAUGCAAAUUUAAGAAAAAAAUAUAUUUUUCUUAACGGGUCAUAAAGGGUCGGGUCACUUUACCCAGGGUCGGGUCACUUUACCCGUUGGGUAAAGUGACCCGACCUGUUAAAGACCCGUUAAGAUAACAUGUGUGACACGACACGACCCGUUACGAUGACAGGUGUUAUACGAAAACGACACGAACACGACAGACACGACCCGUUUGCCAGGCCUACUUCUAUGACAUAUUAAAUACCUCCUUGAGCACAAAAAUAGAAAGAAAGGAGGCAUAACAUAUAAUAACUCUAGUUUGGGCUAAUUCAUUCACAUACUAAGUGUCAAAGAGGUUAAUAUAUAUAUAUAUAUAUAUAUAUAUAUAUAUAUAUAUAUAUAUAUAAUAUAUAUUUUUUUUUUUUUUUUUUUUGGUCGAAGAGGUUAAUAUUUUUAUUGGAACUAAGACUUCUGUUUUAAACAAAAGAAGAAAACACGCGGCAGACAGAAAAACAUAAAGUGGAGUACUUACAUCAGGCCAAGAAUCGAUAAUGAGCUCUGCAAUUCAUUGGCUAUAUCUCAUUCCACAUCAACUUGUUCCUUCUCAGUUGGCCGCUAAAACCAACCAUUCCAAUUUAAUUAUAAGAAAUCAAUAGGAAGGCUAGUAAUUUAUUGUCAAAGUUCACCGUAUAUAGAUUUCCUCAGAUAUAAUUCAUCGUAUAUAGAUUUCCUCAGAAAUACGAUAAAAUACAAUUACAUUAAAUCUAAGGGUUGAAUUGCAAACUCAAGCAUUUCCUUGUAAAUAAAAACUAAUAAUAGCUCAUGACAAAAAAUUUACAGAACACAUAAAGUAGAAACAUUAGUACCUAAUUAGACAUGAAAAUUACAGAAUAAGCCGGAUUAAGCCAUCUAAAAACAGAAUAAGCCACUCAGUACUACGAUGGUCUAGUGAUAUUUCUCUUCACUUUGAAGUGAGAUGUCGUAGGUUCGAAUAUCGUGGAUGGUGAAUUCGAUAUCAAAUUAGGCUGUCUAAUGUGUGACUUAGCCAAACUUCCCCUCCCUUGGUAUAAAAAUACGAUGUACUAAAAAAAAAAAAAAAAAAAAAAAACAGAAAAUUAAUACCACCAUAGCGAAAUACUACAGAAUAAUCUAAUUAUUUAUGCAUUUGGCAAGUUAAAAUAAUUAACUAAAAAACUUGGAGCAAAACAACACUUUAAUUCCAUGGUUGGUUUUAUAUAUGUGUUUGGGCCCAAAAUAAUAGUUUGGGUCGAGUUUAGUGACUCUUGGCGUAGUAACCAUUUAGGGUGUGUUUGUUGCACCAAACUAUCUCGAACUGGACUUAGCUCAUGGACUAACCUAGAUUGACUUAGACUAGAUUAAGCUGGACUAACUUAGUGAAGCGUUUGUUGCAGUGUCAGACUAAAAAGCUGGACUAACAAUAAAUUAUUAUUAUAUUCUAAUUUUUUUUAUUAAGAAUAUCAAAAUUAAUAGAUUAAAGAAAGAGGAUAUCUUCUUCGCCAAUUUCCUGGUGUUCCUCAACACCUUGGAAGUUACAAAAUUUCCAAUAACAAAAGGCUUAAACUUGAUCUUGAAGAUAAACCUCCGCUGCUAAAGACCCAAUUCCCAAAUAUUUUGAUUAUUACAAAUAAAAAGUACCCAUAACCCUAAAAAUACCCAAUCUUCAUCCUUCUCACCCUCAGAUUCCUAUACCCAUGGCCAUGUAUGCGACUGAAGAUAGACAUCGACCACUAAAGGCCGUCGUCGAAGAGUCGAGCUUAAUCAUCCAAAGAAAUCGCCAGAUUAUAUAAUCGAUUCGGUUUGAGAUUUGCAUCGAAUGCGACCGCUAAGAGGAACUCAUCAAUUAAUUUCCCAACGAGCUUGAUCUAGCAGAGAGAGGUAAAGACAAAGAUAGAUGAGGAAAGACGAAGAAGGAGGUAGCAAGUGAGGAAAGCGAAGAAGAAGGCAUAUCGUAGUCCUUGGCAAUCCCAUGGUUUAACACGAGACUAUUUUGGACAAUCUAACGAGGCUCGGAGUCCACACGAGUCCGGGCUAGUCUCAUUUAAGUUAGUCCCCAAGCAUACCAAACAUGAGACAAUAAUCCUAGCUAGUCCAGUCCCACUUAAGAAGGUGAAACAAACACACACUUAGAGUCCUAUCAUGGGCCGUCCAAUCAUCAUCGACCGUCUAGUUAAGGUUGGCCGAAUCCCAUUGCAAAGAGGAUUGGUUUAGAUAAAAAGUAUACUCUAAGAGACGAGCGAUAAUAGUGCUAUACAUACCAGGUUGCUCAAACUACUGGUCAAUAAAGGCCACGAAGAUGGACCCGUCGAUCGUUCCCGACAGCCCUCACUUAAGAAUAAUUUGCCACCAGUGAUACAAGCCGAGACAAUAUAUGGUUGGCUCAAAAUGAUUGACUUAAAGAAAAGGGGUGGAUCAACUAGUAGAUCAGACAUAUUUGACCAAGGAGCGGAAACAACAUCUAUUGAUAUGGUCGAGGUUUAGAGAAUGAUUGAUUCGGCCCUAAAAAAAGGGCCGAAGUUUCCGAAAUUCAUUCACCCAUAUCCAGCAUUCGUAGAAAAGUUUGAAUACCCCAAGAGGUUCAAAAUUCCGGAUUUCAACCUUUUCGCCGGAGAGUCAUCCUUAUAGUCGUUAUAACAUGUAGCUCAAUUCACUGCCCAACGUAGGGACGUUAACAAUGAUUUUCAUAAGCUUCGACUGUUCAAUUUCUCAUUAACCGGCUCAGCAUUCGCGUGGUAUAUAAACCUUUCACCUAAUUCCAUCCAAAGCUGGGAGGAAUUAGUUAAGAAAUUUCAUGAGCAGUUCUAUCGACCAGGGAUGGAUGUGUCAGUAUUUUCUCUGGCCAGGAUGGCUCAAGCUUCUGACGAGUCGCCAAUGGAAUACCUUACGAGGUUUAAGUCGGCCAAAAACUGGUGUCGAGUAUCUAUCCCAGAAGUCGAGUUCGUUAGGCUUGCCUUGAAUGACCUAUAUGUGGAAUACAAAAAGAAAUUUUUGAGGGAAAACUUCGAGAUAUGUACGAACUGGCUUAACAUGUUGAGCAAUAUGAUUAUUUGCUACGAGAAUAAAAUAUUUGAAGCCCCUAUCCUGAGGAACAAUCUACAAGAACCCUACGGUCAGUUAUGCAUCGGUCGAAGGCGAAGAAUCCCAAUAUGCCAGUAUUGACGCGGCCGAGAUAGUGAUUGACAAGCCAUACAUAUGCAAAGCAUUGGCUUAUGCUAAUUCCAAGGAUGCCAAAACCCGCUCGGCCUCUGAAGAAGCUACCAUCAAAACAUCGAAAGUUUAUACUGUUGACAUUACCAAGGCCGACGCCAUCUUCAAGUAGCUGUUGCUCGUGAAAAUUAUCAAGCUUCGGUAAGGGCAUAACAUUUUCAAGGCUGAAGAUUUGAAAGGAAAAACAUAUUGCAAGUACCAUGACUUGAACAAACAUACAACAAACAACUACGUCGUAUUUCGUGAUGUCAUCUAGAUCUGGAUCGACAAUGGUAAGCUCAAGUUCCCCGAGAAACAAAUGGGCGCUGACACCGAUCAUUUUCCUACGGUGACAGUAAACAUGGUAGAUGUUCAUCUACCGAGGGAUAAAGGAAAAUGAAAAGCCGAGUUCGUUCCAAUGCAAUUCAUCCCAAAGCAGAACUCUCAACCACGAUUGAAGAUUGAUUUAUUUUCAAACGAGUACCCCAAGAUUUGAUUGGACCAACUAUUAUCGAGUCAAUGUCGGACUCCAGCACUGAGGAAACCGACGAGCCGAUAAAUCUUAUGUAGUCGGUGUAAAACAAAUGUCAUCUUAACUGAGCCGAAGAAAAAGCUAUUUCGAACUAAAAGGUCACGACAGGCAUCCACAACUGCAACACCAUCCCAAAAGGUACUUGGGGUAGGACAACACUAGAAAGUUUUGAUAGGCUCGGCCCGCAGGUACAAGACAAGAUGCCAUCUUCGGCCAGACGACACCUUGAUUUCAACGUGCAGUUUUACAACGAGGAUUAUUAUACGUGUAACUCUGGUAAUUCAAGUUCACCUGCGAACCAGUGUAUCAUCAGACCUCCUGAGCCACGUGAUCAACACUGGUAUACUUAUAACUCCCCUACCAGUGUAUACAUUGCGUUGUCCAAAUCGUUAAAACGUCGGAGCCAAAGAAUAGAUUGUAUAGCCCGCCGACGAGCAACUUAGGAUACCUCGGUUACCAAGUGGAAGCCGAAGGAAACGACCAAUAAUAAAGAUGACCGAUAACCUCCUGCGAUCAUGAUCGAGUUGCUCCAAGGGAAGAAAGUGAUUGAUCGUGACUUUGAAACCACGAUCGAAGAAUCCAAAAAGUGAAUCAAACUCCUCAUUCAACCUGAGGAAAUAGAAGCUCGCCUCGAGCACUUCCGGAAUGAGAUUAAGAGCAAACUUCCCCUGCUAUCUACACAAGAACCGUUGAUCAGAGUUAGAUAGAAUCUCCACCCACCAUUUCUUAGUGAAACUUUAGAAUACAUGCGAGAGUUUCACAAGAAGCAUUCGGCAAAUGAUUUAUACGGCUUGCCGAAAGCAUGCCAAGAUACUCUUGAUCUUGUUCUAACUUGCCCCGAUGUUGAAUGAAUCAUCCAAAAGACCUCAGAUCCGGGGAUGAAAGCUAGGUUCCAACAUAUACGAGAGCCUUGAGUUUUCGACUUCGAGGUAGAUCCAUAUAUUGAUAUUGACGCUGCCGAACUUCCUCUUUCGAUGACCUUCAAUAUUUACGAUACUAUUUCAAAGUCUUUUCAGAUGUUUCUCUCUUCGACCUUACUGUCGAUGAAAAGGAAUGCGUAGCACAAUUAGAUGCUUACCUUGACACGAGAGAUACUCGCAUCACAUAUCAGGAGCAAACUCAUAUGUCGUCACAAGACCAAAACCCAGUUUUAACACUGAACGAACCUGAGGUCAACAUGCAGAAUGAGAAGACUCUAGUGAACAUACCGCAUGAGCAUACCCCGGCGUCAGCUGAAAAAAGCAAGCAAAUACUGCCCAUACGUAGGACACCUCACCCGAAAGUCCAGAAGAAGAAGAUCAUGACCCGAUAGGUCAUUCGGUCAUCGACAACAGGGAAAUCAGCAUGGUCUAUGUUUUACCUACCGAGUUCCAACCAACCACAUCCCAACCAAAUUUCCUGGACAGCAACGUGGUUGCCGAGGAAGCCACGCAAGUUGAUUUUAUGGUCGCCGAAGAGAUUUAGCAAGCAACAAAAGAAGAUAAACUUAAAACAGUUUUUGCCGAAUUGUUUCCUCACUUUUCAUCAGUUAAUCUCCAUCAUCUUAAGCCGUUAUAUGUUAUGGCUCAUAUUGAAGGAUAUCCGGUCUUCAAAAUUUUCAUCGACUAUGGAGCAACGGUCAACAUCAUGCCUGUUGUUAUCAUGAACACAUUACGUCGUUCCAACGACGAACUUAUUCCAUCAGGGGUCACCAUGAGCAGCUUCGUCGGUGACAAAUCCCAGACCAAAUGAGUGCUUCCGUUGGAGGUAAUUAUCGUAGGUCGUAAUCACAUGACUGUAAUUUUCAUAGUCGAUUCAAAGACAGGGUAUAAUGCAUUUCUUGAUCAUGACUGGAUCUAUCAAAUGAGCUGCAUCCCCUCGUUAUUAUACUAGGUCAUUAUCUUUUGAGACGGCAAAUCGAUCUUAGUUCAUCUAGCCGACAAUUAGCCAUUCGAAGCAAAUAUGAUUCAAGCUCGUUAUUAUGACGAUCACGUCGGCUACAUCACCCUGCAAGCGUUUGAUGAGGAAUGACGGUCGACUUAGAUCUCAGUUCAGAAAGCCAUCGAGGUAAGCGCCGAGAUUGUUCAUUAAGAUUCGGCGAAACUAGGGUUGGCCGACCUAGUUGCCGAUCCUGAUGUCUGGUACCAAACUAGAUAGAUGCUGGGCCAUGGUUUCAUCCAUCAUAGAACGACUACUGGCGCAUUGGUAUGCUAUUUCUAGGUAGCUAAAUUCGGGUGUGAACUUGGUAGAGUUUCUCGCCGAAGGAAACAACAGUCCAGUUUUAUCACUUGACAAGAUUCAAGCUGCCAUGGCCGAGCUCGAAGACAGUCGGGCCCAAGUCAAAGAACCUUUAGAGGAAGUAAAUGUCGAAACGGCCGAAAACCCACGGCCUUUGUUUAUUAGUGCUUUGUUACCCCAACCUAUGAAAACUGCACUUUGUAAUUUACUCAAGGAAUUUAAAGAUUGUUUUGCUUGAGUUACCAUAAGAUGCCUAGUUUAGACCGAACGUUCAUCUAGCACGAAUUACGCAUCAAACCUGGUUGUAAACCGUUCCUCCAACCCCUCCCCCCCCCCCCCGACGAUUCUCGACCGAAGUACAACUUGGCAUAAAAGAUGAACUCGUUCGACUUUUAAAAGCUGGGUUUAUCCGGACAACUCGAUACAUUGAAUGGCUGGCGACCAUCGUCCUAUUUUUACAGAAAAGUGGUGCUCUACAUAUUUGUAUCAAUUUUUGAAAUUUGAAUUUGGCAACCCCUAAAGACGAGUAUACAAUGCCAAUUUUAGAUUUGUUAAUCGAAGUAGUAGUACACCAUGAGAUAUUAUCCUUCAUGAAUGGUCAUGCUGGUUACAACCAGAUUUUCAUUGCUGAGGCCGACGUCUAUAAAAUUACUUUUCGUUGCCCAUGGGCACUCGGGACUUACGAAUGGGUCGUCAUGCCAUUUGACUUGAAAAACACUGGUGCCAUAUGCCAACGUGCUAUGAAUACGAUUUUUCAUGUUUUAAUUGGUACCAUCAUCGAAGUCUAUUUUGAUGAUGUUGUAGUUAAAUCAAAACAUCGCCGAACACAUUUAGAUGAUCUUCGGCAGGUUUUCCUUCAAAUGCGCCAACAUAACCUUAAAAUGAAUCCUGCCAAAUAAGCAUUUGGUGUAUCGGUCGGCAACUUUUUAGGUUUUCUUGUACAUCAUCGUGGCAUUGAAGUGGACACAAAUAAAGCUCGGGUGAUCAUCGAUGCUCCACCUCCGACAACAAAGAAACAAUAACAAUCACUACUCGAUAAAGUCAAUUUCCUCUGCCGUUUCAUUUCUAACUCGGCAGGGAAGAUGAAAGCUUUCUCCACGCUCUUGAAACUUAUAGAUUCGGACAAAUUCGAAUGGCGUGAGGAGCACCAAGAUGCUUUCACGAAGACAGCCAACGGAUUCCUCGGCGGCCAAAAUAUACAACUUGAGUGAUUUACCGCGCCGAGGUGGCACAAUGACAUGUGGGUUAGUGAGGGAGACCCUAAUUUGUUUACUUUUAUUAAUUAAAUUCGUUUUUAAUUUAAGUAGGUUAUAAACUCAAUCAUCUCAAUUUCUACUUUACAAUAAUUAAUUGGAAUUUGGUUUGUUUCGAAUUAUUUAAUAAUUCCUGUGGAGAACGACCUUGCGAGAUCCGUUUAUACUACAAUAACUUUGUCAUUCUUACAAGUAUUAUAGGAGUUUUUAGCCCGUUUACGUGUGUAGUAAAAUCCGUAUCACCUUUCUUCAGACAGACUUUGAUCCCCCGCCAAAACCUGUAAGUGACACAUCAACUGGUAGAAGUGGCGUGCCUAUAGGUACGGUGGUUGGAAUUGUGGUUGGGGGAGUCUUAAUUAUACUACUGAUAUUUGGUGUUCAUUGGAAGAGAGGCCUCUUGGGGCAACAAAAGACAUUGGAGGAUGGUAUUAAUUUGCAGUUUAUUCUGUUAUACUGGUUUUUCCUUUUUGUUUCUCCAUUACUUUUUCUCAUCGACCUUUUUUCGUAACUAAUUAAGUACAACAUUUAUGCUAUUUUGCAUGGUUCUCCUGCAUAUUGACGUGCACUACAAAGACAGUAAUUAUUUAGAUAUUGAGCUUUCCGGCACUUUGAUGUUGCUGUAAUAUAUUUAUCUUCCAAACUCAUGAUGCAAAGUGUCUGCCUUACUUGUUAAAUUCUAGAAUCAGGCACAAAAUAUUAAGAACUAAGAAUGCUGUCGUUCUGAAAGUUUUCUUAAGACACAAUUUCUUAUGAGUUUUACUUGUUAUAUAGAUUUGAAGGGUGUGGACCUGCAAACUGGUAAAUUUACCUUCAAGCAACUCAAAGAUGCCACAAGCAACUUUAAUAGAGGCAAUAACUAGGUCUGGCAAACGGAUCGUGUCAAUCGUGUUCGUGUAACAUCUGUUAUCUUAACGGGUCGUGUCGUGUCACACCUGUUAUUUUAACGGGUCCUCAACAGGUCGGGUCACAAAACGCUUACAUUUUGCAUAUCCUUGCACAUUUAAAGUGACCCGACCCGUUAUGACCCGUUAAGAAAAAUAUUUUUUUUUCUUAAAUUUGCACAUACCACACAUUGUCACAUAAAUAUUACUUCAAAACAUUAAAACACAUUUGUCGCUUAAGUACUACAUCUACACUCGAAAAUAAGAGCCUCAUAAAAAAUACAUCCAUACACUACUAAUUUAUUACAAAUAUUAAAUGUGCAAGGAUAUGCAAAAUGUAAGCGUUUUUGUUUUCAAGGUUGUGAAGCCUUUCUCAAAAGUUUAAACCUUGCCAAUGGAACUCAAAGCUUAAUGAAACUGACCCACUAGUGUGUUUAUUCGUACUUUCAUUAAGUAUAGCAUAAGAUUUUGUGGUAUCCACUAGUGUAAAUAUUUUAAAUUGAAUAUCGAAUUCAAUCAUUGUAUUCAUAUAGGGUCAAGAAGUGUAGUUGUAAAAAAUCAUCAAAAUCGGAGUUAAAAUAACCGUUAAAUUGUGAUUUUUCGUUUAUAACCGUUGAAAAGUUGUGUCCCGUUACUUAAUCUUUAAAUGUUUGUUUUUUACAAUUUUUGGCGUAUGUGAUCUCGAAGUAUAUACAAACAAGUAUGACGGUUAGAUUGUUGAAACUAGUUUCGUAGAAUGCGUAUCCCAUCAAAACAAUAGAUUCACUAACACUUAAAAGUUUAUUCUUACUUUCAUUAAGUAUAACAUAAGAUUUUGUGGUAUCCACUAGUGUAAAUAUUUUAAAUUGAAGAUCGAAUUCAUUCAUUGUAUUCAUACAGGGUCAAGGAGUGUAACUGUAAAAAAUCAUCAAAAUCGAAGUUAAAAUAACUGUUAAAUCGUGAUUUUUCGUUUAUAACCGUCGAAAAGUUUUGUCUCGUUACUUGAUCUCUAAAUGUUUGUUUUUUGCAAUUUUUGGCAUAUGCAAUCUCGAAGUAUAUACAAACAUUUUUUACGGUUGGAUCGUUGAAACUAGUUUCAUAGAAUGCGUAUCCUAUCAAAACAAUAGAUUCACUAACACUUAAGAGUUUAUUCAUACUUUCAUCAAGUAUAACAUAAGAUUUUGUGGUAUCCACUAGUGUAAAUAUUUUAAAUUGAAGAUCAAAUUCAUUAAUUGUAUUUAUAUAGGGUCAAGGAGUAUAUCAUUAAAAAAUCAUCAAAGUCGGAGUUAAAAUAACCGUUAAAUUGUGAUUUUUCGUUUAUAACCGUCGAAAAGUUUUGUCCCGUUACUUGAUCUUUGAAUGUUUCUUUUUUGCAAUUUUUGGCCUAUGCGAUCUCGAAGCAUAUACAAACAAGUUUGACGGUUGGAUCGUUGAAACUAGUUUCGCAAAAUGCGUAUCUCAUCAAAACAAUAGAUUCACUAACACUUGAGAGUUUAUUUAUAUUUUCGCUAAGUAUAACAUAAGAUUUUGUAGUAUCCACUAGUGUAAAUAUUUUAAAUUGAAGAUCGAUUUCAUUCAUUGUAUUCAUAUAGGGUCAAAGAGUGUAGCUGUAAAAAAUCAUCAAAAUCGGAGUUAAAAUAACCGUUAAAUCGUGAUUUUUCUUUUAUAACCGUCAAAAGGUUUUGUCCUGUUACAUGAUCUCUGAAUUUUUAUUUUUUUGCAAUUUUUGGCAUAUGCGAUCUUGAAGUAUAUACAAACAUGUUUGACGGUUGGAUCGUUGAAACUAGUUUCGUCGAAUGCGUAUCCCAUCAAAACAAUAGAUUCACUAACACUUAAGAGUUUAUUCAUACUUUCAUCAAGUAUAACAUAAGAUUUUAUGGUAUCCACUAGUGUAAAUAUUUUAAAUUGAAGAUCGAAUUCAUUCAUUGUAUUCAUAUAGGGUCAACGAGUGUAGAUGUAAAAAAUCAUUAAAAUUGGAGUUAAAAUAACCGUUAAAUCGUGAUUUUUCGUUUAUAACCGUCGAAAAGUUUUGUCCCGUUACUUGAUCUCUGAAUGUUUGUUUUUUUCAAUUUUUGGCGUAUGCGAUCUCGAAGCAUAUACAAACAAGUUUGACGGUUGGAUCGUUGAAACUAGUCUCGCAAAAUGCGUAUCUCAUCAAAACAAUAUAUUCACUAACAAUUAAGAGUUUAUUCAUAUUUUCAUUAAGUAUAAUAUAAGAUUUUGUGGUAUCCACUAGUGUAAAUAUUUUAAAUUGAAGAUUGAAUUCAUUCAUUGUAUUCAUAUAGGGUCAAGGAGUGUAGCUGUAAAAAAUUAUCAAAAUUGGAGUUAAAAUAACCGUUAAAUCAUGAUUUUUCGUUUAUAACCGUCGAAAAGUUUUGUCUCGUUACUUGAUCUCUAAAUGUUUGUUUUUUGCAAUUUUUGGCGUAUGUGAUCUCGAAGUAUAUACAAACAUGUUUGACGGUUGGAUCGUUGAAACUAGUUUUGUAGAAUGCGUAUCCUAUCAAAACAAUAUAUUCACUAACACUUAAGAGUUUAUUCAUACUUUCAUCAAGUAUAACAUAAGAUUUUGUGGUAUCCACUAGUGUAAAUAUUUUAAAUUGAAGAUCAAAUUCAUUCAUUGUAUUCAUAUACGGUCAAUGAGUGUAGCUGUAAAAAAUCAUCAAAAUCAGAGUUAAAAUAACCGUUAAAUCUUGAUUUUUCGUUUAUAACCGUCGGAAAGUUUUGUCUCGUUACUUGAUCUGUGAAUGUUUGUUUUUUUGUAAUUUUUUGCUGAUGCGAUCUCGAAGCAUAUACAAACAAGUUUGACGGUUGGAUCGUUGAAAUUAGUUUCGUAUAAUUCGUAUCCCAUGAAGUUCAGUGGUGUGUGUGUAUAUAUAUAUUUAUUUAUUUAUUAAGUAGAUUUAAAUCUAUUUAUUUUGUAUGUAUAAUUAUUAUAGUUUUUAGGGGUAUAAAAUUUAAUAUAUAUAUAUAUAUAUAUAUAUAUAUAUAUAUAUAUAUAUAUAUAGAACUAUUAUAGUUAAUAUUUUGGGGGUAUAAUUAUUAUAGUAUAUAUAAUUAUUAUAAUUAUUAUAGUUAAUUUAAUAUAUAUAUAUAAUUAUUAUAGUUUUUAGGGGUAUAAAAUUGUUAAAUUAAUAUAUAUAAUUAUUAUAGUAUUUUUUUUAGGGUUAUAAAUUAUUAAAUUAAUAUUCUGCUUAUCGUGUAUCGUGUUACCCACGUGUAUACCCGAACAACCCAUUAUCUUAACAGGUGCUUAUCGGGUUACCCGAUAACGACCCGCUUCGUUAUCGUGUCGACCCGAACACCUGUUAAUUUCGUGUCGUGUCGUGUCAGAUUAUCGGGUCGUGUCAGGAAUUGCCAGGCCUAGCAAUAACAUUGGUGAAUGUGGUUUUGAUUCUGUUUAUAAGGUAUUCUUUGGAGCAAAUAAUUUAUUUAUUGAUUAUAUAUUUUUUUCUAGUUUGACACUGUCCGUUCUAAUGAAAGUUAAUUUGCUCCAUAGUGAUGCGAAUUUGACUAUCUUUCUUAAAUGUAGGGCAUUCUAGCAGAUGGCACCGUAAUAACUAUUAAGCAGCUGUCUUCCAAAUCAAAGCAAGGGAAUCAUGAAUUUGUUAAUGAGAUUGGCAUGAUUUCUGCUCUGCAACACCCUCAUCUUGUCAAGCUCCACAUAUGUUGUAUUGAAAGAAAUCAAUUAUUGCUUGUCUAUAAGUACCUGGAAAAUUAUAGCAUCGCUCAUGCUUAUCUUCAGUAAAUAUUAGUCUUGUUUGCCAAAAGUUCAUUUCAUCAUAUAGUGGCAUAAAAGAUCUUAUGCACUAAAAAUAUGUCCCUUACAACUAACUUUGUUUAAUUUGGCAAAUUGAACGGGUGAAGAAAGUCAUUAGAAGUUGGAUUGGCCAACAAGGCACAAGAUUUGUAUUGUUACAGCAAGAGGUUUGGCUUAUCUUCAUGAGGAAUCAAGAUUGAAGGUCGUUCAUAGAGACAUCAAGGCUACUAAUGUUCUGCUUGAUAAAAAUCUUAACCAGAAAAUAUCUAACUUUGGAUUGGCCAAGCUUGAUAAAGAGGAUAAUACACACAUUAGCACCCGUAUUGCUAGAACUUAGUGAGUCCCUAAACUUUUAUUUAUCUUCUUAUUCUCUUGUUUUGAUCUUCUUCCACCCUUAAAAAAGAAGAUAGAGCAAUGGAAAGUCUAUAACUUACAUAAUUUUCAACCUAACCAAAUCUUUGUUGUUCAAGAAAUUUCAAGGGCAGAUUUGUUCUUUGAAUAUAGUUGUAUUACUAUGUAUCUCUCUAACUAUUGCAUUAAUCUUAAGUAUUCAAUUAGCAAUAUUUUUACUAAUUAUUUUAGCUAAAUCUGGGUUAAUGAUGUGAUUUCAUGAUUUGCAGUGGAUACAUGGCGCCCGAAUAUGCAAUACGGGGUUAUCUGACUGAUAAAGCAUAUGUCUAUAGUUUUGGUACUCUCGUAUUGGAAAUUGUUAGCGGGAGAAACAACACAACUUACUGGAAAAAGGAAGAAAGCUUUUAUCUUCUUGAUUGGGUAACAUGAAUCCACUACUUCCUAAUUUAACUUCAAAUUUUCUUAAUAUACCUUAUAUAUGUGAAAGUACAUUUGAAUCGGUGAAGUUUAAACCAAAGACAGAAUUUAUAUUGCUUUUGUUACAUCCAUUUUUUGUAGGCACGACUUCUAAAAGAGCAAGGGAAUUUGAUGGACCUAGUUGAUCCAAGGUUGGAAUCAGACUUUAACAAAGACGAGAUGACUGUUGCAAUCAAUGUGGCUCUCCUUUGUUGCAAUGUUACUUCGACAGCUAGGCCUACCAUGUCUUUGAUUGUGAGCAUGCUCGAAGGAAAGGCUGUUGUUCAGGAGUUGGUCUCGGAUCCAAAUGCUGAGAGUAUUGAGAUCGAUGCAAUGAGGAAACAUUUUCAAUCUAGUUUUGGAAGGGGCAUGGGCGAGAAACAGAUAGAAACAGAGUCAAUUGAAGGGCCAUGAACUGCUUCGUCUGCGUCUGCUCACGAUCUUUAUCUCGUCAAUCCUGAUUCAAAUUACUGGGGGAACAGAAGCGAGAGAACUUGAGCUGCACGGUUAUCAGUUCGACUUAACCUUAGCACACUCAAAACAUAUCAGCUAAUAAAUCAUCUGUAUUUCCUCUAUAACUAUUUUCUUUUUUUUGUUUGAUAAUAUAGUAGAAAGCAUAAUUGAAGAAGUUUCUACAGCAUGGUAAUUGUAAAAUCAGUUCUUUUCAGUAUUUUGUAGUAUGAUAAAAUGAUUUUCUUUUCGAAUAAUCGAAUAGAGUAAGUUGGUUGAACACUAUACUAUUUUGGCUAUGUGGUGGUUUGUGAAGAGAGGAGAUAAUGUACACCAAAUUCGAAAAGGAUGGGAAUAGAGUAAGUUGAUUAAGAGAAGGAACUUAAAUUUAGUAAAAUCGGAAAUCAUUUGUGGAGGAUUUUUCUAUAUCAAUAUAUUGUUAAUAUACAAGGUAAAGCAAGAUUCAGAGGAUAUGCAUGAAAAGAAAAAUGAUACCUGACGUAAAUCAUUGCCAAAAAGAUAAACAAAUUGCCAAGUUUUCUUAAAUUUAGUUUUGGAAGUUCUGAAAUUUACUUCAAUUGCAUUGAUUUUGAUUGUACUAGAAUACAGGUAUAUAUAAAUACAAGAAUUCCUACUACAUAGGUAAUUGGUACAAACUAAGUAAUCAGCCUGUGAUGCUUUACCUUAUUAAGAACGCCCAACUUGCCUAAUAGAGAUUUAAAAUGUUCAUUCCCCAAAGCUUUAGUGAAAAUGUCGGCAAGCUGUGACAUGUUGACAACUUUUCAUUCCAUGAUUUUAUUUCCGACAAAGUAACAAUCAAUCUCAAUACGUUCAUGAAAUACUGAAUUUGCGGCAAUGUGAAGAGCAGCGUGAUUAUCACAAAACAAAGUUGCAGCCCCCUUGUUGCCAAGUUAUAGACCACGAAAUAGAUUUUGUAACCAAGCCAACUCGCAAUAGGCUGCUGCCAUGGAUCUAUACUCUGCUUCGGCAGAGGACAAAGAAAUUGUCUUUUGACGUUUGUUGUUCCACGAAACAAGAGAGUCUCCAAGAAAAACUCAAGAAUCAGUGGCGGGUCGCAGAGUGGUUGGCCAUCCUAUCCUAUCCAAGUCACAAUAUGCAUUCAACUUCAAAUCAUUUUCUGAAGAAAACAUAAUACCUCGUCCGGGUGUCCGUUUUAAGUAUCUCAAAAUCCAUAAUGCAGCCUCAUAUCAUGGCUUCCGAGGUGCUUACAUGAAUCUACUCAACAAGUGGACCAAGUACAUGAUAUUUGGCUAGGUAAUAGUGAGAUAAAUUGGACGACCAAUCAAUCUCCUAUAUUUAACAUGAUCAUUGAGAAUUUCACCCUCAUUAGGAGAAAUUUUUCAUUGUAACGAGAACACACGUGGUAAACCACGUGUCAUUGUGUAAGUGGUGGAAAAUUUUAUUUUUUAAGCUAUUACCUUUUUAACACACAUAUGAUAUAUCCUACCAUUUAUACAGUAACACGUGGUGUACCACUUCGUAUGCCGGUCACUCUGAAAAAUCUCUCCCUCAUCAGAAAGCAAUUUGAGAUUUUGCUCCAUAGAGAAAGUGCAAGGUUGUGAUCCUAAAAGACCCACAUCAUUGAGAAUAUCCAACAAGCAUUUCCUUUGUGACAUAAAAAUCCCCCUUUUUUAACACGCCAUUUCUAUGCCCAAAAAGUAUUUUAAAUUACUAAGAUCUUUGCUAUAGAACUUGGUAUUUAAAAAAUGUUUUAGACUAUUAAUUGCAGUUGAAUCAUUUUCUAUAAUCAAAAUGUCGUCAACAUAAAUAAGGGGUGAAGUAAAUGACUUGCCUUUGUGUUUAGUGAAAAGCGAAUAAUUUGCUUUUGAUUGAACAUAACCGGCGAACCGAAUGGCUUGCGAAAACUUGAAAAAUCAUUGUCGAGAGACUUGCUUCAAACCAUAAAGUGAUUUAUUGAGGCAACAUAUCAGUUUCUCCCCCUAUCGGCGAAGAUUGAAAGGUGGGACCAUGUAUAUUUCCUCCAUGAGAUCACCAUGAAAGAAGGCAUUAUGAACAUCCUAUUGAUGUAAAGACCAUGAAUAGGCGGUGGCAAGAGCAAUAAGGCAGCGGAAUGUGACCAGUUUGACAGUAGGGGAAAGAUAUCAUGAUAAUCAAUACCCUUUGAGUGUACCUCUUAGCGACCAAAUGAGCUUUGUAACACUUAAUACCAUUGGAUUAGUACUUGACUUUGUAGACCCAUUUGCAACCAAUGAGUGAUACUCCAUAUGUUGUUAGCCUUGAGAGCUUGGAUUUUGUCAUCCAUGACUUGAUUCCAUUUAGGAUAUGUGCAAGCUUCUGCUUAUGUGGUUGGCUCCAUAUGGUAGAAAUACUAGCAAGAAAGGUAGAAUAUAGGGGCAACAAGUGGAUACCUGGUACUGGAACUGGAAGACGAGGGCGUAAUGGGGCAAUGUAAGAGAGGGACAAACAUAGUCACUGAGCUUCGCAGGUGGAGUUAUGAGGCGAUUACAUCCUCGUAAAGGGAUAUCAGAGAGCUAGUCAUCAGGCUGCAUGGUAGGGAGCUGAUCAUCAGGCUGCGUGUCAGGGAACUAAUCAUCAAGCUUCGUGAUAGGGGCAAGGUGCUCAUCAGGUGACUACAUGUUAGAAAGCUGAUCAUCAGGAGCAAUAUCAACAGAUGUCUCGACAUUUUGUAGGGCAUUGGUGGGGUCAUGCAGUUUAUGAGAUAGUGAGCAAGGCUCAAUGCAUGGAUUGAAUAUAGGUGUCUGAUAGCUAUUUGUAAGGGGAUUUAAUUCUUUUUGGCCAUGAUAGGGAAACAAAUCCUCGUAAAAAACAUCUCGACUCGUAAAAAUAUGUUUGGAUUGAAGAUCAUAUAAUUUGUAUAUUUUUGUCCUAAAAGGUACCCAAUGAAAAUUCAGGAGGGUGCCAUCAGAUAAGCCCACGGUAGGCAAUGGUGGUUUAAAUGUUGCUUGGGCCAAUGGAAGACCUGAAACGUGGUAUGUUGCACCACUGUCUAAUACCGACUCGUUAGAAACCCUACCUGCAGCGGUGACUGCGUGGGCUUUGCUUUCCAGGCCUACCUUAUGGCUCAUCAGCGAUAAAAGUUACUGGAACUGCUUUUGAAUAAGGUUGGGCAUCAUGUCAGCACACCCUGUGGAUUAAAUGUUGUUGACCAAUGAAACCCCCCUCUGGAACUGUUACCUUUAGUUUUCUUUUUGUGAUCGCCAUCACAGGUUUCUCUGGAUUUUCCAUGAAGACAAUGACUAGGCAGAUAAUCGUGAAGUAUUUCCAGCAGGUGUCAAAGGUGUGAUGGUCAUGGUCACAGUACAAACAGUGGAAAGGUUUACGUUCUAUCGAUCGUUCCUUGCCAUUAUUGGAUGAAGACUGCACCGCCAUGGCUGCGGGUUCAAUCAAGGCUUGCACAAUGGUUAUGCCUCAUUGCUUCUCUUCCUGAUAAAAGAGAGAAUAGAUCUUGCAAAUGAACAGAAGGGUUGCAUUGUUGAAUAUCUCACUUCUAACUCAUCAUUGCUAGCUCAUCAAAACAGUUGUAAAUGAUUGGAUGAUGUAAUAGUUAGUUGAAAAAGUUAGUUAGAGUUUGUUGCUCAAAGCUUAUGAGCUAGGUCCUAUAGGCUAUAUAGUCAACUAUAUAUAGCUGUCGUAAACAUGAUCUUUUGUCAUGAUCUUAUCAAACAUGAAGCACGUGAUUCUGUCUCAGGUUUCUUUUGGGUAAAUGAUAUGGCAGGGUCUUGAAGCUUGAUUCAAUUGUGGGAGGCAAGUUAUGGAAAAAUAUUGAUGUGCUCAUCUUUAACACUUGGCAUUGGUAGAAUCGUAGAUGACCCUCUCAAUCGUGAACAUAUCUUCAAUUUGGAGAAACAGUAAUGUGUUGGCAACCAGCAACAUCUUCAGUUUGGAUAAACAGCACUGGAGCUGUAGAAUCAGCCGAUCGAGGAUCACCUUCAGUUUGGAUAAAUAACAUUGUUUUGAGACCAACUGGUUAUCUAUCCAAGUUUUGGCCAUCAAAGAUUUCCGAAUCUUUGUUGGAAGAUGUCAUCUCAUUAGCCUUCUAGGUAAAGUGAGGUGUUACAAGGUUACGACAUUCGGCACACUGAAAGUCAAAUACUUAUUGAACUUCGCAGAACUAGUAGCCUUGUCUUCAGACUCCAGAACCCAAAGGUCAAUAUGUGUUCCAUCCUCGACUGCAGUCACAAGAUUCAGAAGUCAUUAGCGCGCCUAACACCACAUUAACAUUCAUUCACUCCCCGGCCAAGCUCGGCCAACGAGUUGGCACGCCUUACAUUCAACUAAAGGAUGUAGUUAGCUUAUUAGCUAUUCGGCCUAUACACCACGUAGGCUAAGUAGUUUUUAAGGUGAACACCAUGGCAUCAAUCAAAUUAAUAGUCUCUUAUUUUCUCUUUUUUUUUUUAAUUUUAAUUUUAGUGGCAGUGAGUGGCAUGAACCAAGGGCAAGAAGAUGUGUAGGGCAGAAUGAGCCUUUGCUUAGGUCGACCUAUCCAGGAGCUUUGCCACCAGCUCUGGGUGCGCUGAGGAAUGUGUUAAGCACAAUAAAAAAGCUCGUGACAUUGCAAGAUAUAACAAGCCUCUCACUCAUGCGUAAAGAUGGACAUCCUUCAAUCUAUGGACUGGGAGGCCAAUAACUGCAAGCAAGGAAUGGAUGACAAUGGUAGCAAUAGCUGCAACAGGCCAACAUAUAAAAAUAGGAUAUUACUAGAGAAACUAAAUUUUUUAAAUUAAAUUUCAAACCAAAUGAUUUGUCAACAAUAAGAAACAAGUACGUUAAUAGACACUUAAUUAAUAAUCCAAUCAUCUACAACCACAUCAUUUAGUUUGCAAAUUUGGUUUUAAAAAAUUUAGUUUUCCUAGCAUUACUCUAUCCAUAAAGAUAACAUCUAGGGAAACCCAAUCGGUGAAGUAUAGCAAACAACUAUUCACUAAGGAAUGAGGAUCCUCUUCGAAUCCAUUUUGUGAGGAUCUCAAGAAUCAUUCAAUCACGUCUGUUCAUCGUACAUCGUGUGGUAACAAUUAUUGUAAAUUUUUUUAUUUAAAAUUAAAUAUAAAUAAUACCUGAUGAAAACUGGUAAUGUACAAUGAACAGACAUGAUUUGAGGAUUGCCGAGAUUCUCACAAAAAUUAUCCGGAAAGGACCCCCAUUCUUCACUAAGGAAUAAACUAGAAAUUAUAAUAUUAAAAUGCAUAAUGGUUACCAAGCAAGCAAAUUUAUUGGGACUUGGAUUGUUUGCCUCCCCAUCCCAUACCCUCCAUAUGCCCUUAUAUUUCUAUGGUCAUGGUUAAACCACGUUAACAUUUUAUAUUUGCAUUGCUUUUUGUUUUAUUAUUUUUAUAAAAAAAAUUAAUAUAAAAUAUUGACGUGAUUUAACCGUGACCACAAAAUAUAGGAGGGCAUGAGAAAUGUAUAGAAUGGGGGAGGACAGACAAUCCAAGUCCAAUUUAUUGGCCUUGAAGUACCCAUGCCUGCAGAAGACAGAACCCAAAGUAACUCGGGAACUCAAACGUGGCCAAUUCAUCCAAGCAAAACAAUUAAAGCAUCCAAGGAGCCGAAACGACAUCCCAUUACAACCAUUAAACAUCAAGGAGAAUGGAAAACAUAUGAACUUUUUUUAUGAUGCUUUAUGAAUGAUGAAUUGAAAUAUAAACGGCUCAUACCUUUGAAAAAAAAGAAUUACAAAAUGAAAACCACAAAAAUUGUGUUAAAAUGUGUGUCAAAUAUAUGAGGAUGUGUAUAUAUAUGCACACCCACAUAUACACACACACACUUAAACGUGUAGCACUGGGUAUAGGUAGCAAAAGGCCACUUGUGAUGAGUGCUUGAUUCUAAAAUGUAGUAUUUCUCUCAAACAUUUGACUAUUACUUUAGUCAUGGAAUGCUGAUCAAAAUGCAAUUAAAUAGUAUCACUUAGAAUCAUAACUCUUGGCUUAUAGUAUGAAAAAAUAACAGAACAUUUGUAUAUUGCUUGCAAGUAAUUAGCUUCAGUUAGUCAACUCCAGCAACUUGAUUAAGAAAGCAUGUACAUAGAGCUGCGCAAUUACCAUGUCCACAUUUCCUGAUCAGGAAAUUUCCCAUGCUUGGCUUAGUUGAAAAUAGCAGAUAAGUCAAGAGUGUAUUUUAAAUUACUGUUACUUAAUUAUUCUAAAGUUCAUAAUCAAUAUUAAUUACUAGCAGCUUAUUAUAUACUGUUGUCAAAAUCGUGAGUUGGACUGUUGGUAAGGGUUUUUAAUUAGGGAACUUUAACGAAAAGCACCCGGUACUGUUCAUUUUAACGAAAAACCACAUUUUUACACUAAAAAGUCAAUUUUGGUACUAUUCACUUUACCUUUUAUUUUGUCCUUAUCAUUAAAACUCAAAGUUUUCAAGCUCUUUUCAUUAGUUUUCCUUUUUAAUUAAGCUGACUUUGGGCCCCAAAUAAUAAAGUGUCGACAUAAUACCUGUUACUUCAACAACAACGAAUAUGAAAAAAAAAAAACCCUUGAUUGUCAGUUGCUUGUUGUAAAUAUAAUUUUUUAUGUAAUCUUUCGUUUUCUUCCUGCUUACGUCCAUUGUCAGCUAAACAUCAGCUCUUUGUUUUUGUUGUUAAAAAACGGCUUUCUAAUAUUAUAGAAUUCCCACUUGAUCUAACAAUUGGGAUAAUUAUUCGAAAGAAAAAAAUACAAUUGAGAUAAUUAUAACAAAUCAUCUCAACUAUUUGCAGUUUUACUUUAAAAAAAAAAAAAUCUCACAUACGUCUCAAUCAUCCAUAAUGAUCAGAUGACUAAAAUUUCACAUCCGUCUCGAACAACCAUUUAUGUUAAAAUUGACUAAAAUGCAAAAUUCUCAUAUAUUAGAGUCUUUAAAUUGGAUCCUCACUACAGAAUGUCACUUGGUUGUGUAUGCGUAUCUUUAGCUGAAUCUGGCCGGCCACAGGUAUCGGUCAAAAAAACAGGUUUUCAAAAUCUGUUUUUUAUGAUAUUGUUCUACUAGAAUUUGUCUUUGAUUAGUAUUGUCCAUAGACUAUGUUCGAGAGAGCUCCCAAACUUGACCUCGGGAGGCGUUCAGUGUUUCGUGAUACAAUAAUAUAGUCCAUACAAAUUUUCUUGCUGAUUAUAUUCCACAGUAUGAUCCAAUACUUUUUGGUAAUUUAGGUCAUGAUUAUCAAUUCAAUAACUCCCACCUUAUACCUUUAAAGCCAAAAGUAACAUAAGGGGCAGAUCCGUGUUAUCACAUUUUUACACAACUUUUUAUUCUUAUUUUUCGUGAGAAUCAUUCUGUAAUGUAUUUCAAUAAUCCGAACGUCUAUCUUUUAGGUUUUUCUUCAAAUAUCAUGUAUACCAAGAAUCACCUAAAUAUGAAAUCAUAUGACUGUUGAAUGUCUUCACAGUUUUAUAUUUGUCUAAUUUUUUACAAGAAUCAUCCAUGAAUGAUUUUCUAAAAAAAUAGACGUUCAAAUCGUUAAAAGUACAUUACAAAUUUGACCCCACAAAACCUGUGUAAAAAAUUAUGUAAAAAAAAUAGUGCCACGGAUUCGCUAUAUAUAUAUAUAUAUAUAUAUCCAUACAUUUUUUUUACUUCUCACAUACCUCUUAUUAAUUUCUGUCCUUUGAUAUAUAUAUAAAAAAAAUCUUCUUCAAUUCAUCCAAUCCGAUGGCCGAAAAUUAAAAGUGUGUGAGAAGUAAAAAGAAGUGUGUAAAUAGCACACAUCAUCUAAAAAACCAUUAACGAACGGGCCUGUAAUUCCAAAUUUACAAGUUUUUACUCCCAAAAGAGACAGAGCUUAUUAAUUUUGAAUUUUUUUAAUUUUCUGAUUGACUUGGGGUUGGGGUAAGUACGGAAUAUAGCGCUUGAUCUGUUGAAAUGUCCCACAUCGACCGUAUCAAUGAAAAAAGAAGAGUUUAAAUACCCUAAUCUCACUUUAACUAAUACCGAGGUCUUCUGUAAUAAAACCACAUAUCUGACGGAUUGUGCAUAUGGUAAUUACCAAGUUGGGGACAAUAUCGGUGUUGUUGGAAGUGGGCCGUGUGGUUCGUCUCUUUGAUAAUUCUACAUGGUAUCAAAGCCAAGAAGCUGGCAUGUACCGUACUGCCACGUGAUUGGUGGGUCCCCUUGGCCCCGCGCGAUGAUGGUGGGUCCCUUGGUCCCGCGUGUAGAGUGAGUCCUCUUGACUCCACGUGGUUGUCGAUGUGUGGAUCUCCCACGUGUGACCUGGUAAUUGGGUCCCACAUGAGGGGGGUGUUGAAAUGUCCCACAUCGACCGUAUCAAUGACAAAAGAAGAGUUUAAAUAUCAUAAUCUCACUUCAACUAAUACCGAAGCCUUUUGUGAUAAAACCCCACAUCUGACGGAUUGUGCAGGUAGUAAUUACUAAAUUGAGGACAAUAUCGGUGUUGUUGGAAGUGGGUCGUGUGGCCCAUCUCUCUAAUAAUUCUACAUGAUCACGGCUGAAUAGUCAAUUGGGUCCCACGUGAGGGGAGUGUUGAAAUGUCCCACAUCGACCGUAUCAAUGACAAAAGAAAAGUUUAAAUAUCAUAAUCUCACUCCAACUAAUACCGAAGCUUUUUGUGAUAAAACUUCAUACCUGACAGAUUAUGCAGGUAGUAAUUACUAAAUUGAGAACAUUAUCGAUGUUGUUGAAAGUGAGCCGUAUGGUCCAUCUCUCUAAUAAUUCUACAUGAUCACGGCUGAAUAGUCAAUUGAUCGUAUCAUAUACCAACGAACCUUUGCUUUUGAUUGAGUAGUUGUGAAGAAGUCAAGGUCGUGUAAGAUUAAUUUUCAAACUACAAUUAUUUAGCCUUCUAUCAUUCUGUGCCAUUCAUUUGUUUUAGCUAAAUGUAGACAUGCACUUAAUUUCAUGCCCGACUUUUAAAAAUGAAUAUGACUUUUCUCUUUAAUUUGUCGUGUCACCGGUUUAAAAGCUCCGAUCUUCACAGUGUAGCUUAGAUUAUUAAUAAUAACAUCGAUUGUAAUAAAAAUAUAUAUAUAUUCUCAAAACACAAAAAGGGUUAUUAAUAAAAAUAUAUAUAUUCUCAAAACACAAAAAGGGUUAUUUUUUUCAUUUUCAGAUUAUGUUGGACACGGAAUAGGAUCCUCUGGAUUUGUGGGGAUCUGAAAGAUCAAUUAAAUCGGUGUAUUGAGCAAAUAAUACUAGUUACUUCAACAAAAAAAAAAAAACAGUUACAACUAAUUAUUUUUGAUCGUCAGUUGCUAGUUACAAAUAUAGCUAAUGUCCUGUGACCUCGUAAUAUUUUUAUGAAAAUUUUCAUUUUCUUUGUCAACUAAAAAAAUACUCUUUAUUUUUGUUGUUAAAAAACAACUUUCCAAUAUUAUAGAAUUCCCACUUGAUCUAACAAACGCAUCAAAAUGAUACCUGAAAUUGAAAAUUGAUCAAUGUCGUCUAUGAAUAUGGAGAUUGUUGUCGGUGGCUAAGUUCAAAGAAGAAGGAGAAGAUGAGGAUUAUUAGUUUGUUGUUUUUCUUCUUUUUACCUUUUAAAUUUUUUGAAACACUUUAUUUAAUCCAUAUGUUAUCAUAUUAUUGGAGUGCAGAGUCUUAUGUGUGUCACAUAAACACAUAAUAGAUUUUUUUAACAGAAAUAAGACAGAAGACGACAUUGAUUUGCAACACCCAUAUUCAGGGACGAUAUUAUUCAAUUUUCAGCUUCAGAUAUCAUCUUGAUGUGAUGGGUCAAUUUCAGAAACCACUUAUAACAAAAAUGUAAUAUAAUAUAAUAACGUAAGUUUAACAAGUCACUACCUGUGAAACCAGUCUUUUUAACAUGUUACUAAGGAGCCUAUCUAUUGUCAAACGAUAAGAUAAUUAUAUUAAAUUUAACUAAAUUACGGCAAGUGGAAUUCAAACUUGGUGCAUAAUAAAACACAGUGAUGUAACUAGCUUGGCUAAACUAAAAUCUUCUAUUUUAAAUUAAUUCUUUUACAAGUAAUUUAUGUAAAUGUAUCUUUAAUUAUAUAAAUAAUUAAAUAAAAAUAAAUAGAGUAAGUGGUUGGGAACAAGGUCUAAAAUAUCGAUAUUAUCCCGAUAUUUCCAUCGAAAUUUUCAUGUUUUUGGACUAUCGAUAUUUUCGAUAUCAUCAAUAUUUUAGACCUUGAUAGGAACUCUAUGUGGUACUAAGUCACUCAUGUAUCUUACCAUGCAAUGUAUAAAGUGUAAAAUAUUGUACUAAUUCAUUAUAUAUAAAUGAUUAUGGUGUGUUUAAACUUCUUUCAUUAAUUACUACAUAUUUUUACACUCACAAUGUUUGCCAGCUCGCUAUAUAAUUAACUUAAAUCAGUUAAAUCCAUCAUGCAAUGCAUUUCUUUCCAAUUUUUUGUGAUAAACUAAUAGAUAAUUGACUAAAUAAACAUCCUGCAAAGUUUUAAUAAAAAUUUCCAAGUUUUUCUUAUAAUUUCCGUGGUUUUUAUUCAAUUUUUAUCGAUAUCGAUAAUAUCCCGAUAUUUCCAUCGAAAUUUCCGUGUUUUUGGACUACCGAUAUUUCCGAUUUCAUCGAUAUUUUAGACCCUUCUUGGGAAUAAUAUAUAUUUUUUCCUUUCUUGUUUGGUCUUUGGUUUUAAGGAAAAUUAAUGAAAAUGACUUGAAAACUUUGAGUUUUAACAAUAAUGACAAACUAAAGGGUAAAGUGAAUAGUAUCAUGAUUGACUUUUUAGUAUAAAAAUAUGAUUUUUCGUUAAAAUGAACAGUACCACAAGCUUUUCGUUAAAAUUCCCUUAGUUUUAAGGGCAAGGUAACACAAGUCAUUGACUUCCGUUUGUGUCCUUCGAGGUCCACUCCUUCCCUCCCCUCAAGGGAAUAAAAACCUGUAAUUCAGACUCAUUCUCCUCACAAAUCCUUCUUUCUUCGCUACUCUAAAAAAAUUUCAUACAUACAAUCCAACAAAUUCCAAAACCUCUCAACAUAUUCCAUCCAGCUAGCUGCACAAACUGAUCCUUUUGUCUCUGGUUUUGUCUUCAAAUGUGAAAGACUUUGCCUAGAAAAAUGAUGAAUAUGUUCUUCCCUCGACUUCUUCCUCAUUCUCUUUUCUUUGUAGCUUGCUUUGUAACUUUUGCCUUUGGAGCUGCUCGAUUGCCAAAUGAUGAAGGUACGAGUAAUUCACCUCAAUAUCUCUAUGUCAAAUAUCUUCCUUAGUUUCCUCUGUUUCAUUCUAUAAAUGAUAGUUUUAAGUUCGUUUGAUAAUUUUUUUAAUUUUCAAUUCUUUUUGAGUUCUCAAAUUUUGGUUUGGUUUUUCCGAGAAGUGAAAACAGUUACCAAUGAACUAAAAAUUAAAAUGGUUAUCAAAUGAACCUUAGGUAAACAGAUAUUUGUGUGAACUUAGUAGAAAUUUUCAAUCAUAUAAGGUGCACUCUGUAGUUCUUGUCUAUGCAUCAAUUUUUUUUUUUUACUAUUUUGUUGAGCACGAUGUUAAUUUGUUGCCUUUUAUUUUGCGUAUAUGCAGUGCAAAUUUUGAAAGACAUAGCAAAGACACUGGGGAAGACGGACUGGGAUUUCAGUGGAGAUGCAGAUCCAUGCAGCGGCCAACUUCCAUGGGCUGAUCCAAGCGCACCCAAAGGAUUAGAGAAUGCCAUCAGCUGUAAUUGCUCCUACGAAAACUCCACCGUCUGCUAUAUUACCAGCAUGUAAACCUCUCUCACUCUCUCUCUCUCUCUCUCUCUCUCUCUCUCUCUCUCAAAAAUAAACAUGGCCGGCUCAGAACUCAGUGAGAUUUUUCAAUGUGAUGGUAUAUCACGUGACACGAUAUAAAUGGUGAGUAACUUGUAUUAAAAAAUUAACACAAUUUGAAACAUAAAACUUUUUUCACUUAUAUAACAACACGUAGUGUAUCUUCCGAAUAUAAUGAAAAAUUUGUUUUCAUCUCACAAGCUAAUACCAAAUAAUCUUAUCGGAAUUUUGUGAUUUAAAUUGAUGGGCAUUUAUUGGUCCACCCCCCGGGGCCCAAUCUAGGGAUAUUUUGAUAUUGCCGCCUCAUUUUUUAUUUCUUUUAAGAAUUUGAUUAAACAUUUUUUUAUACAAUUUUAUUAGAGGCACGUUUGGUUUUAUUAGUACAUUUGAUUUUAUGGACAUUUUGUUUUCUGGUACAUUUGGAAUUUAAACGUAACAAAAGUUGGUAUGUUUGUUUUUAAGUGUACCAUAACUUUUAAAUACAUUUUCUAUAUAACUAGUUAUACGUAAAAUUUUAAUAAGAUUAAAGAAGUUUUUUUAUGAAAAUAUUAAUGAAUUUUUUUAAUGAAAGAAGAGACUAAUUAAAUAUAAUAAAAAAAAUAAAAAGUUAUUUUUUUUAUAAUGAUAAUGAGGAAUUACUGAAAUUAAUAUUUUAAUGAAGCCAUGAAUUUAAAAUUCCUAGAUUGUAGGAAAUAGUUGUUAGAUAGUUUAAGUGAAUAUAUAUAUAUAUAUAUAUAUUAAAUAAAUAAAUAAAUAAAUGUUGAGUUGGAAAUUAAUCAAAACAUCUUAAUCAAAUUUUGUAAAAGAACAUAUGUUUAGUCUAAACAAGUUGAAAAAAAUGGAGGGAAUUCUUAAUUCUUUGUCUUCAAUUUAUUUGACACAUAAUAUGCACAUGAGAUUAUUGCGUUAGUAAACACCAAUUUAAGUACUUAAUGUGAUAAAGAGACAUAAGUUGGAAAAUAAACGUUUGGUUAUAUAGAAUUGUGAAUGAUUAACUUAUUUCUUAAGCGAUAAAAAAUUGCUCAUUAUAUUUUUCUUUUCUGGAUAAACAGUUUGUUCGUUGUGUUUUGAACGAGUUCCAUCUCAUGCAAUAUAUAGAAAUAUUACGAGAAAAAUAAAGAAAAAUUUGAGAAAAGAAUUAGCCAAUUAGGUGCUUCAUUAGUCGAAUAACUUGACUAAGCAAAAACAAUGUACAGAUUAGGCGCCUUUUGUUGUGAAAGGUUGAGAAUGAUAAGAUCAAAGUUUUUCAGUCUUUGUUAUAUCAAUCAUAUUAGAGAAGAAAAAAAAAAUAUAAGAAAGGUCUACGUCCACGUACCAUCCAGUCGACAUUAUAUAAUAUCUACAUGAAGACUUUGCAUUUUAGGUCAAUGAAUCUGAAUGAGCAGAAAUUUCUGUAAGUACUCGGUAUUCAAGCGAGUAAUUUAAGUGUUAUAAAUGAGCGAAGAAAUACAAAAAAAAAAAUAUUAUUAUUUGUAUUAAGAUAUGUGGUGUACUCUUUGAAAAAAUCUAUUCUCAAUGAGCACUUUCUAAUACUUUGUUAGGUUAGAUGUUAAAUUAGCUAGUGGCAUGAUUUGAACUCAUGUCGUCAUACAAAGCCUCAACACUUUUUCACCACUAUGGUAAAGAGUUACGAGUCACUUGCAUCCUACAGGGAAAAUUAACUAGCAUGUAGACUACUAUGCGAAAAAUAAGGGUUAAUCUCAGUUUACUACCUUGAAGUUUCGUGAUUUUCAACAUUUGAUACAUGAAGUUUUUUUCAUCACAGAGUCAUAUCUCAAGUAUUAAUUUUGGAACAGUAUCAUACAUUCAUUAAGUUGGCUGUUAAGUCACAGAGUCAUAUCUCAAGUAUUAAUUUUGAAACAAUAUCAUACAUUCGUUAAGUUGGUUGUUAAGUCAGCCGUUAACUGAUGACGUGACAUCCAUAUAGAUAAUAACUAAGCUCCACGUGUAAAUAUAGGCCAUAUAAAUAUUUAAAAAAUUAAAAAACUAAACAAAUAAAAAUAUGGCCUAUGGAUGCGGGCCUUCCCUUUCCUCCACCCGCACCAACUCUUUAUCUUCUUCUCUUCGACAGCCACCAGAGCUGAUCUGAAAAUCAGCACAACCUCGAAAUUUAAGCCCUAAUUCAACCUAAAUUUCAGAUAGAAGGGCUGGAUUAGUCCAUUAAUCUAAGCGUACGAUCCAAAAUCCAGUUCCCAAUUGUGUUCCUUUCCUCAAUAAACAGCCAGAGGGCUCAACGAAAUGAAGAAAUUACAAAGAGAUGUAUAGAAAACGCACCGUUUUGGAGGUAGGGGCCGUACUCGGUGGCAGAGAGGUGCAUCUUGAUAUAGUCGAGGGUCUCGCACUGGCAAAAGUUGUUGUAAUCAGCGGCGAGCGGUGACCCUGCACUAUGGCCUCCAAGUACCCGCCGUGAAUGUUGAAGAUCAUCGCUUCGAAUCCGUACACUUUCGCUGAAAUUUUGAAAAUUUACGCGAUCUGCCACUGCAUGAUCCGAAAAAUUGAACGUCUCGCGGGAGAGAGAGAGGAAGGGGACGAUCGGGGAACCAGAAACCCCCUUCUGCAGCGAAAUCAAUGGAAACCCUAGCGAUUUGCAGACGGAAGCUGAAAUCUGGAAAUUAACCGCGUGGGCGCCAAUGGAAACCCUAUGGGCUAUGGCUUUCUACUCUGGUUUGAAAUCUCCGCGAUGAAUGCCUCGUUGUUGUUGUCGACGGAGAAGAAAGAGAGAGAACCCAGGCCGUGGUGGUGCAGAUUUUCAGAUCAGCUUUGGUGGCUGUCGAAGAGAAGAAUAAACAAAACUUCAUAAUAAUAAACUGAGAUCGUUCCGAAAAAUAAAGAAAAAGUUGAGAAAAUAGCUUGACUAAGCAAAAGCAACGUACAGCUUAGGCGCCUUUUGUUGUGAAAGGUUGGGAAGGACAGGAUCAAAGUUUUUCAGUCUUUGUUAUACGAAUCACCUUGUAUAAUAUCUACGUGAAGACUUUUUUAGGUACUCGGUAUUCAAGUGAAUAAUUGAAGUGUUAUAAAUGAGUGAAGAAAUAUAAAAAAAAAUGUUAAUUUUCCAUUAUAUUAUGAUAUGUGAUGUGUUGCUUGAAAAAAAAAAGAGUAAUGUUAUUCAUACUAUAUUUUUGUACCAUAUUUUCAUACCAUCUUAGGUGGUAUUUGAUGUGGACAACCAUAUCAUUUGAAUUAAUCUGAUUUUUAAAUUUAGUUCAUUAUUUAAUAAACUAAUAAUUAAGAAAAACUAAUUAAUUAAAUAAUAAUUGUGGUAUACGAGGAGUUUUUCUCCUUCAUUUUCUUGGGUUUUGCAAAUUUUUCAAAUGAUGUGGCUGUCCACAUCAAAUGCCACAUAAGGUGAUAUAGAAAUGUGGUAUAAAAAUAUGGUAUGAAUAACAUUACUUGAAAAAAAAAUCUCUUCUUAAUAAGCGCUUUCUCCUAUAGAGAAUAGAUUUUGUUAGGUUAGGUGUUAAAUUAGCCAGCGAUCGGGUUUGAACCCACGUCGUUAUGUAAGAACUUAACUUUUCACCAUUGUAGUAAAUAACCACUUGCCUCCUACAGAGAAAAUUAACUAGGCAUGUAGACUAAGUGAGAAUAAUAACUAGGGCUGGUUCGGUAUGGGAUACCGAACCGAAAAUGACAUACCAAAUCCCGAACCGAAAAUUUUCGGGACUGGAAUAAGAGGACCGAUACCAACCGAAACUUCGGGAUUCCCAAAUUUCGGUAUUCCCAAAAAAAUUUCGGUAUUUCGGGAUUUCCCGAAACCGAACUUGCAUUGAAAUCCAAAUCAACUAAUUGAAAUCGAAAACAUUCGAACCUGCAUGAAAACCCCAAAAUGAAAUCAGAGAAGUGACAGUGAAUCAGUGAAGAUUGAUGGGAGAUAGAGAGACAGAGUGAAGAGAUAGUUCGUCCUCCUCCUGACCCGAGCCCCUAAUUCGAAACCCUAAUCCCCAAUUCGAAACCCUAAGCCCCAAUUCGAAACCCUAAUUUGAAACCCCACAUAGAGAAUCAAUGGAGAGAAUCGGAGGUGGGGAUGAAGCCGUGAUGUGUAGUGGUGGCCGGAGGGGAGAGAGUUCAUCGGAGUGAGACUGUGAGAGGGUGGUGGCUGCUAGGCUUCGAAUUCGAGAAGGAGAGACAGAGAGAAUCUGAGACUAAGUGAAGGGCCAAAGAUGAGAAAUGAGAGAGAGUAAGUAUGGAUGUGUCGGCUUGGGUUUGAAUUGAGUUGAAGGAAUGUUUUGGUGGCUUCGCCUUUCUGGGUUGCAAAGCAGAUGGAGAUAAUGAGAGAGAGAGAGAGAGCGAGAGCAGCAGACAGCACCCAUGUGCUUUGAUAAAACUUCAAACGCCAGGCACACAAUCAUAUCCUUAUCCCCACACUUAAGUUAUUUUAAUAAUAUAAAUAGGCCAUAUACAUAUAUUCCAACAUAUAUAUAACAAUAGGGUUUAAAGUUCGGUUCGGGAUGGGAAUACCGAACAAUUUUAAGUGUGAGACCGAAUCCCAUACCGAAAAAUUCGGGAUCGGUUUGGUUUUGGUACCAAAAUUUUCGGGAUUUUCGGUAUGGUUUCGGUAUGAUUUGGGAUUUUCGGUAUUUUUUUCCACCCCUAAUAAUAACUUACAUUGAACGAGUUAAAUAUCAUAAAAUUUUACACUUAAAAUUUAGUUCAUUAUUUAAUAAACUAAUAAUUAAGAAAAACUAGUUAAUUAAAUGAUAAUUGUAGUAUACGAGGAAUUUUUCUUCUUCCUUUUCUUGGGUUUUGCAAAAUUUUCAAAUGAUGUGGCUGUCCACAUCAAAUGCCACCUAAGGUGGUAUAGAAAUAUGGUAUAAAAACAUGGUAUGAAUAACAUUACUAGAAAAAAAAUCUCUUCUUAAUGAGCGCUUUCUCAUACAGAGAAUAGAUUUUGUUAGGUUAGGUGUUAAAUUACCCAGCGAUCGGGUUUGAACCCACGUCGUUAUGUAAGAGCUUAACUUUUCACCACUGUAGUAAAUAACCACUUGCCUCCUACAGAGAAAAUUAACUAAGUGAGAAUAAUAACUUACAUUGAACGAGUUAAAUAUCAUAAAAUUUUACGUUUAAUCAUAUUUUAAUACGUGUAAAUUUUUGUUAGCAUGAUAUAUAAUAUUAUAACAAAAAUAUUAAAAAUAAUAAAUUUGUUCGAUGUAAACUGAUCACAAGUGUGUGAGGAGAGAUGUUUUUCUUUCAAAAAAAAAGAUUAGCUGAUAGUUUCGUCAUGACAGGAGUCGAAAAAACUAGUAGAGAUAGCGAGGAGAGAUGUUGAUUAGAUGGUUGGAAUUCGGUUUUGUGGACCCCAUGUCUAUUCGAUAUAUGUAUCAAUCAAUUUUUCUUUUUCUUUUUUUUUUCUGUUAAAAAGUAUCAAUCAAUUUUUCAUUACAUAUCCCCUAACCUAACCCCAUGCCCAUGAAACCUCCAAAAUAAAGUAGGAAUUAUAAGGCUUAGUGUGGGCCUCAUCGAGUUGCCUAUUGGCAACUUGGCACGUCGUAUUCACUCAUUCAACCUUAUGUCGAGCAAGGUAGCUAGGCCGAUUGAUUUCAAUUGGAUUUGAGAGUUGUUAGUUUAAUAGCAAAGUCGAGCUCGUUUGUUUCUUUGUGAUUUUCUCACGCCCCGACCGUAGUUUUGGAGAGAUUUUUUAGUGUGCUAGGAGUACGAUCCGGUAUAUCAAGUAUUAUAAUACAAGUAGUUAUAUACUUGAAAUUUUUUUCCAACUGCUUAUAUUAUGACACUUAGUGAACCAGAUUUGUUUCCCCCGCACACAAAAUUUCUCCUACCUUUGGGGCGUAAAAAUUUUAAAGCUCUUAUUGUGUAUGUAAAACAAGUAAAUGUUGCUACCGUUUAGAGCUAUGAAAAGUGACUACCACUCGUCUUUUUCUCUUCAUGCACACUAUUGAUUUCUGGCCUUUGACGAAUCAAGGGGCAUGAAUAAAACCAAAUUAUGCAAUAAUCAUUUUCAUAAAGCUAUAAGUUAUUCUUGGCAUGCAAGUUGGAUUGAAAAUUUCGAUUUUAACCAAUUCUGUUCUUGUCGGUUUACGAACAAAAAAUAUGAAGCAAAUUGGAACGCAUCUUAAAAUUAGGCCGCCUUUGCCAUUGUUACACAGUUACUAAUUUGUGAUCCAUCAUUGGGUAUAAAGUCAAUAUAAUUCUGAUAUAUCUAGACACUAGUGGGGUUUCCAUUUUCCCAAAUCCUUUACCCUCUAGAUUUUUAAUUUUUCUUCAACCGGCAACCAAUUGGAAGUUUUUCUUGGUCUAAUAAGACCUUGUUGUGCCUUGACAUUCAAGAAAUGCAGAAAGACUAAUCCAUUUCUUUUAUUGAAUGACCAAUGAAACAUCAAUUACAACCUACCAUGGACCGCAAUUCAAGUUAAGCUUAUCUGCAAAAUCGAGUUCAUGGGAUGUGACAAAUUUGCUCAAUUAUGAUAGCAAUGUGUUUUUGAGCUGGCCAUGAGCCAGCAUAGAUGUUCUGUGGCAUGCUGAGUUGUUAGGACUUGGUAUUACAGCUGUGCUGUAUUUAGGCUUGAUUCUUGCAUACUUGAUCAACGUAUAAAAUUUCGCAGUCACCAUGAUUGUUGCGUACUUCUUAUACACGAACAACUUUGUAUCGGCCUAGUUAUUAGUUACAAAGUCGAUGAAAGAAUGAUUCACAAUAUGCUUGUAACAAAUACACACUUACCGUUUGUGUAAUUCUUCAAGUUCUAUUCUUUGUAAAGAACAUUGGACAUUUUCCUUCGGUUUUAAAGAAAACCAGUUCCUUCUUCCUAUUUAAUUCCCUGAUCAAAAGUAAGUAUUUUCUGUGAUAAAUUAGUGUUUUACCUGUUUGGUCCUAUUUGUGUGGCAGCUUUUCCUUUUAGUCACAGUAUAGAUGUGUAAUAGAUAUCUGUUAAUUUACAACUAAUCUUUGAAACCCUGUUUUCCGAUGAAACACAGAAUUCUAAAAUCCCAAGAUUUGCAAGGAACACUCCCACCAGAGCUGGUACAUCUCACCUAUCUUCAAGAAAUGUAAGCACAUUUUUACCCCUCCAAGUUUACAAUAUUUAAAGUAAAAAGAAAAUAACUAUGUGUCGUGUAAAUGGUUUAUUCUAAUUUCAUAUAUAGCUUACCUUUAUUUCUGUUGUCAAUGAGACAAUAACUGGUUUCCUUCUUUCUCCUUUAGCGACCUCACCCGCAACUACCUGAGUGGUACCAUCCCUCCAGAAUGGAGCUCUCUUCCACUAGUGAACAUGUACUAUCUUCUCUCACACUGCAUACAUUUUUGUGUUUGAUGCUCAUGUCAUGUUCUUGUUACUUUAUUUGGUCACUCCAAUGUUCUUCAGCCAUUUCUUUCUUAAACUAUGAAUCUAAUACAUUGGGUUUUGUUCAUGAUAAUGAGCUUCCGUGGUCAUGAGGUGUUUGAAUCAUAAAUAUUGAAUCGAACACAUGGGGUUCAUUGCCUUCGUAUUGAUGAACAUGUUAAUGUUAUUGAGUCUCUUGCUUGAUAAAAGUGAUCUUAAGAUUAUAGUUUUGAUGCAGAUCCCUUCUUGGAAAUCGUUUGACGGGUUCUAUCCCCAAAGAGCUUGGAGACAUCACCACCCUGAAGAGUUUGUGAGUGUUGAUUGAGCAUUUGUUUCUUGCUUACCUCAUUUGAUUAUGUGGAGAUCCUUAAUGAUGUUUUUUAAUCAAUGGAAUUGAAUUUGUUUGUAUAGGGACAUCAGUUUCAAUAAUUUUUCUGGACCUCUCCCUCAGGAGCUUGGAUCUUGGGCCAACAUAGAAAGAAUGUAAGAGUCCUAUUCAAAUUUUACCGUGUUAAAAAGUACUUGGUUUAUUUGGAAUUUUCUUUCUUAUAGACAAAUUCUGGAUGUUUUCACCAAUAAAUCAUCUACUUCUUUAUCAUUGAUAUAUUGUUAUAUCUGUUUCAUACUUAGGCUGCUUUCCUCAAACAACUUUAGUGGGGAGUUGCCAGAAACAUUUGCAAUGCUUACCAAAAUAAAGGACUUGUAAGCUUCUGUGGUUCUUUCUUCUUAAAGGUUUCCUGAGCACUUAUACAUUUUUUACUGCUUUCUGAUACUAAUUCGUAGUAUUUUCCCUUUUCCAAUCAUUAUGCAGUCGGGUUAGUGACAGUCACUUUUCCGAGCGGAUACCUGAUUUUAUUGAGAACUGGAUAAAUCUUGAAAAACUGUGAGUGUUUUUCUUUUGUGUGUCAUAUUUCUGCUAUAUGAUUCUGAAUAUUAUCUCUAAUUCAUAUGCUAUGACUCGUUGAAACAGAGUGAUUCAAGCUAGCGGUUUGACAGGGCCAAUUCCUUCUGGCAUUUCUCUUUUGACAAGCUUAACUGACUUGUUAGUAUAUCCCGUCUAUAUUUUUAAAUACAAAACGAUUAGCAAAAUGUGUAGUUUAUGUUCAUGGCUCAAUUUUAACAUGCAGGAGAAUCACUGACUUGAGUGGACCUGAAUCACCAAUUCCUUCACUUAAUAAGAUGAAAAACAUGAGGACACUGUGAGUUAAUGGUUCCAUGACACACAAUUUUUGUCUGUACCAGAAGUCUUCUGUAAACUCAAAGCUUUGGUGUCUGUUGCAGGAUGUUGAGGAGUUGCAACCUUAUUGGAAAGCUACCUCCAUAUCUUGCACAAAUGAACAAAUUGAAAACUUUGUAAGUUCAAAUGUCUUAGUCCCUAUUUUUUCCGUCUUCAAAUAAAAAAAAUUCUUCUAGAUGUGAUUCUACUAAUUCAAGAUUUAUUGAAGUGACUUAGACGAUGUUGGGUGGACUUUAUGUUUCUGUAUUUAUUAAGAGAACUUCUCUUUCAGAUGUCAUUUCCCUUUCUGCAGAGAGCACAUCUAAACUGCAUUUGCUAUUUGUUUGUGCAGAGACCUCAGCUUUAACAAGCUGACCGGAGAAAUUCCAAGCAGCUUCGGUAGUCUAGCAGAUGUGGUUUAUAUGUAAGCAAUUGGAAUGACCAAUCUAGUCUUUCUUACAUGGAAUUCAAGCAGACAUUCUUCAAUGGUUUUGUUACACCCCAGCCUGGCAAGCUGGAAGUAUUUCCAAUCACAGUUACUAUAAUUAUGAGUCACGGGUUAUACUGCAAUGAAAAUGAAAACGGCUCUUCUGCUCAGAAAUGAAAUGUUUAGUUUAUUCAUUAGAGUCAUUACUACUCGUGCAAUUAUCUGACAUAAGGUGAUCACCCUUAGAUGUGUCUUUCACAUGGAAGUACUGAUCUAAUGCACUCAGAGUUGGCAAACUCAAAUUUUCAAACCUUUACAAAGAACAAACACUAUUCUCUACUGAGUUUUUUCUGUAUUCAUUAUUUUUAGAUUCUUAACUGGAAACUUGCUGACUGGACCUGUACCUGCUUGGCCAAGAGUCAACGUGUAAGCUUCUCUUCCAAAUGCUACUCUUUAGCUACUAAGGAAAUUUAUGCUGUUUUUUUUACUAAGAUAGAUAUAAAACUAUUAUAUCAAUAUUGAGUUUUGGUUUCAAUAUUUGUUGUAUAUUUCAUUAUGAAGAUUACAAGAGAGUGAAGGCAACUCUUAUAGAGAGCCAAAAGAAAGCUACAAUAGAUUGUAGGAUAACUACACAAACACAAUCCCUAAAAUCUGCCCUAACAAAUGGAAAAGCAAAAACCAAAUUACAAGUAAAAAAGCUUUUACAAACAACUAAGAAAGGUUGAUGUAAGGUGAAUGACAAGGAAAGUGACUGGUGAAUGACAAGCUAUGGAAAGUGACUUUAGCCUAUGACUUAGCUAAAGUGAGGAUGACAACUCAUACAUACAACCCAUCCAUACAAUCCAUACAAACCGGUUUCAAUACACCCCCUCAAGCUGGAUCAAGGGGAUUGAUUGAUCCAAGCUUGCACAACAAACGCUGAAACUGAGUAGAGUCUAGUGCUUUUAUGAAUAAAUCAGCAAGUUGAUCGUGGCUGCAUGUGAACACGGUGUCUAUCACCUUGGAUUGAACUUGAGCACGAAUAUAAUGGCAGUCAACUUCAAUAUGUUUGGUCCUUUCAUGGAAUACUGGAUUGGAGGUAAUGUGCAUGGCAACUUGGUUAUCACAAUACAAGGAUAUAUGUGCCAUGCUUGUGAAUCCGAGCUCGGAAAGAAGACCUUUCAACCAUAUGAGUUCACAGGCUGUUGCUGUCAUAGCCCUAUACUCAGCUUCGGCGCUAGAUCGAGCAUUAAUAGUUUGUUUCUUGCUCUUCCAAGUGACAAGGUUCCCUCCAACAAAUAUGCAAAAACCUGUUGUGGAUUUUCGAUCAAGGGCAUUUUCAGCCCAGUCAGCAUCUGUGUGGGCCAAGAUGUGAUUUGAUCCAUUGUUCUUCAUAAUUAUCCCCCUUCCUACUGAGCCCUUGAGAUAUUGAAGUAUUCUCUUGACGAUUUCCCAGUGAACUAGAGUAGGAGAGUGCAUGAACUGACUGGCUAGGCUAACUGAAUAUGAGAUAUCAAGCCUAGUAAUGGUGAGAUAAAUAAGUUUCCCAACCAUUCACUGAUAAACACUAGGGUCCGAGAGAGGUUCACUUUUUUCAUGCCACUGAAGUUUUCUAGCUAGGGGUGUCCAAGCUGGUUUACAUUCCAUCAUGUUAGCUUCAUCUAGAAGAUCAAGAACAUACUUUCUUUGAUUUAAGAACAAUCCCUUUGAAGAGGUAGCCACCUCAAUUCCAAGAAAGUAUUUCAAGGGCCCCAAGUCUUUAAUGGCAAAUUUUUGGUGAAGUGAUUGCUUAAGCGUCUUUAUUUCACUUAUAUUGUCACCUGUAAUAAUUAGGUCAUCAACAUAUAUAAGCACAACCAAUUUUCCAGCAAUACCACUUCGAACAAACAAAGAAGAGUCAGCAUGACUCCUUUUGAACCCUGCAGCUUCAAGGACUGAACUAAGCAUCGAAUACCAAGCUCGAGGGGACUGUUUGAGACCAUAUAUGGCUUUGUGAAGUCUGCAGACCUUGUUGGGUUCAUUUUCUCUUGGAUGACCAGGAGGCAACUUCAUGUACACUUCUUCUUCAAGAUCCCCAUGAAAAAAAUGCAUUCUUCACAUCCAUUUGGAAUAAGGGCCAUGCAUUAUUGACUGUCACAGACAACAAUACCCUCACUAUGUUCAUUUUGGCAACAGGAGCAAAGGUCUCCUUAUAGUCAAUGCCAUAGUUUUGAGUAAAGCCUUGAGCUACUAACUGUGCCUUGUGUCUUUCAAUGCUUCCAUUGGAGUUGAAUUUGGUCUUAUAUAUCCACCUACUUUCCACGACCUUCUUGCCAUUUGGAAGAUCCACCACACUCCAUGUCUGCUUGUCAUUCAGAGCUUGAAGCUCUUUAGUCAUAGCAUCUUGCCACUCAGGCAUGCAUGUGGCUUCAUGAAAAUUCCUUGGUUUGAAAGUGUGGGACAAUUUGUUAAGGAAAGAAGUAUGAGAAGAUGAGAAUCUAUGAUAAGAAAUGGCUGCAGAGAUAGGAUGCCUUGCAGUGUAAGUAACAUACUCUUGUAACCUCAUUGGUGGAUGUCUAUCUCGUGUAGGAUUUCUUCUUGGUGUACUUAUAGCUUGCUGAUUUGGUUGAGCUUCUGAUGGUUCAGAUGAGCUUGGCACUGCAUCAAUUACACUCUCAGUGAGUUAAGAAUUAUCAGUGCUGAUAUGAGUAGGAGUGACUUCAUGAAUUUCUGCUGGAAUAGGUAGUGGAAAUAGGUCCAUAAGAUCUUCCAUAUUAGCAUUAGUCUUCAACCCUUUGUGGAAAUAAGGUGAAUAUUCAUCAAAUCACACAUCUCUAGAGACUGCCAGCUUUCCCGUGUUAGGGUUGUACACUUUGUAACCCUUUUGAGAAAUGGCGUAUCCCAUAAACACACAUUUGACAACUCGAGGGUCGAGUUUGUCAUGAUGGAGAUCUUGAAUGUGCACAUAACAAGUACAACCAAAAGUCCUGAGGUAAGACAAGUUUAUAGGCCUUCCUUUCAUGACUUCAAAAGGAGAUUUAGUAUUCAACACCCGAGUUGGCAGUCUAUUAAUGAUGUACGUGGCAGUGAGUAAGGCUUGAGACCAAAAUUUCUUAGUAAUAUUCAUUUGGAUCAUAAGUGAUCGAGUCUUCUAAUAAGUCUCAAUUCUUUCUCUCUGCCACACCAUUUUGUUGUGGUGUACCAACACAGCUAGUUUGAUGCAAAAUGCCAUGAUUGCUCAAGUAAUUAUUCGUGUUAUUGGAAAUGUACUCGGUACCAUUAUCUGAUCUUAACAUAUAUAACUUAGAUGAAAAUUGAUUGGUGAUUAGGUUGUGAAAGUCGUUAAAAGCAUCAAACAAAUCACUUUUAAGUUUUAAAAGAUACAACCAGGUUACUCUAUAAUAGUCAUCAAUAAAUGUAACAUAAUAUCUAUACCCAUCAAAGGAUUCUACACGAGAAGGACCCCAAAUAUCAGAGUGAACAAGCUCAAAAAGUUUACUAGUUCUAGAAUUAGAGGAAACAAAAGGAAGUCUAGUGGCUUUUGACAUUUGACAAGUUUCAUACUCUAGUGUGUUUUUACAAAAAAAGGGAAACAACUUGGUCAUCACAUGUUCUGAGGGAUGGGCAAGGCGUUGAUGCCAGAGUUGGUGUUCCUGAACUUGACUUAAGUUGACACCGAGCUUUUUGACAAAAUUGGACUCAUUUGAAAGAUAGUAGAGUCCAUUCAAGAAGAACCCUUCACCAAUCUUCUUCUAAGUAACUCGGUCCUGAAACACAACAUUGUGAGGGGAAAAUAUGGCAAGACAGUCUAAGGUUUUUGUAAUUUUUUCCUAUUGACAAGAGCUGAAAAGGAAAAGAAGGUACAUAGAGAACAGUGGAAUCAGUAUGCUCACUUAGCAAUCUAAUCUUUCCUUUCCCUAGAAUAGGUUCCCAUUUCCCAUUUGCAACAGAUACAUGCAUUGGAUCAAUAGUUCUUUGAAAAUCGUGGAGACUAGAGGGUUUAUUAGUUAUAUGAUCAGUGGCACCAGAGUCAAUAAUCCAAAAAUCAUGUGUAACAUUUGCAUUAAGAGCAGUGGAAAUGGCACUGAUAAUACCUGAAAUAUUUCCUUUCGAUGUGUUCUCCGAGUCAGCCAAGAAUCCAGCAAAUUUCCCUAGCAUUGCAGUAGGGUUUUCAAGUGUCAUUUCAUCAGGUUCAGUGCUUCCUUGCUUCUUUUGAAGAAAAGCAGCAAACUCGUUGAUCAAGGACACAUGAUUGUUGAGAAAUUGGCCAUCCCAUCAGUUAUGGAACAAGCUGAAUGAAAUGCUUUUGUAGUGACUCCACCCUUCCCAUCUUUGAUCAUCCUGCCUUCCCUAUCAAACUUAGGCUUUAACUCCGGAUGAAGAAUCCAACAUUUUUCUCUCAAAUGUCCCUUCAUGUUGCAAUAAUAACAUUUCCAGUCUGCUUUCUUGCCAAGUACCCUAUCACCAGUUGCUUUGUGAUUUGUCGUGAAAACCCUAGCUUCAGAAUUGGAUUUGGGCUCAACGUUCAUCACUCUUCGUCAAGUUUCCUCUCUCUGGACUGCAUGACACACACUGGUAAAUGAGGGCAGCUCUUGAGUCAUUAACAAGUGACUACGCAGGUCUUCAUACUUCGUUCCCAAGCUUGCUAAGAGUUGAAACACCUUGUCUUCAUCAGCCAUCUUCAGUAGCACAGCGGAAUCAGUCGUGUGUGGACGAUACAUAUUGAGUUCAUUCCACAUGGAUUUCAUACUUCCAAGGUGUUGAACAAAUGAGUGAUCACCUUGCUUUAAACUAGCCACACUCUUCUUCAGUUAAAAGAUGCAAACUGAGUUGUUUUGGCUGCCAUACAUGUCUUUGACAGACUCCCAUAGGAGAAGGGAAGACUCUGAGUAAUUGAAAAGCUCAGACAGUUUUGGCUCCAUAAAGUUAAGUAACCAGGACAUGACCAGUUAAUCAGUAGCAUGCCAUGCAUCGUAAGUUGGUGAAGUGGAUUAUGCGGGCUCAGAGCUUCCAUUGAUAAACCCUAGCUUCGAUCUUCCCCCUAGAGCAAGUGACACAGCUCUUGACCAAGGAAGGUAGUUGAACUCGUUCAGUAGCACCGAGCAGAGUCGUUGAUUUGGAUUGUUUUCAACCCCUUGGGUUAAGUUUAGGGAGGAGGAUGAGGCACUAUCGGCACUAGACACAUUUUCUUCUGCCAUCUCUUUCGAUGAUGAGCAAAUGAAGAAGUAAAAAAAAAAUGACCCUAUGGUUCCUGCUCUGAUACCAUGUUGAGUUUUGGUUUCAAUAUUUGUUAUAUAUUUCAUUAUGAAGAUUAGAAGAGAGUGAAGGCAACUCUUGUAGAGAGCCAAAAGAAAGCUACAAUAGAUUGUAGGAUAACUACACAAACACAAUCCCUAAAAUCUGCCCUAACAAGUGGAAAAGCAAAAACCAAAUUACAAGUAAAGAAGCUUUUACAAGCAACUAAGAAAUGUUGAUGUAAGGUGAAUGACAAGCUAUGGAAAGUGACUGGUGAAUGACAAGCUAUAGAAAGUGACUUUAGCCUAUGACUUAGCUAAAGUGAGGAUAACAACUCAUACAUACAACCCAUCCAUACAAUCCAUACAAAGUGUUGUUUCCUUUUGUACUGACAUACUACACCUGGAAAAGAAUUUUUUAGUGCUUCUUUGAUUCUGGUUUAUGAAACCUCAAUGAAUAUGAGGACUGGGGGGAAGAUGAUUAAUAAUGAAAAUGAAAGGAUGAAGAAAAUCACACAGAGAAUAUAGGUCCCCACUCAAGUCGUGCAAAGAGAAUAUUACCGUUAGCAAAGCACAGCUGGAUCCUUAGACAUCACAAAGUGAUCUUAGCCACACAUCUAACUAAUUUCUAGGAUCCUUAGACUUCACACAAGGCAUUAUUUGCCGUACAUCUUUGAACCUCACACUUGGCCAUAUUACAACUCUAAGUGAAUAUAGAAUUAAGCUCAUAACUUAUGUCACUAAUUCUAAUCAGCUCGAGACCUACAAUUCAACAGAAUUUGCAUCAUAGCUCUUUUUGUGCAGUGAUCUUUCGUAUAACAACCUCGCCAUAGAGGAUGCAAGUUGUCAACCACGAGGUGGCACGUAAGAAUGUCUUCAUUAGCUUGAAGUUAAUCUGUUUGUGUUAUGUGGAGAAAAGCUUAACUUUUCAUUUGUGUUAAUUUCUGCAGUAACUUGUUUGCAAGCUCGUCAAAAGGAAAUAGUUCGUAAGUUCAAAUUAAUCGUCUCAAAGCAUGCACCUAUAAAUUUACUUCGGUAUCCAAUGGUGUAUUCUUUACUAUUUUUUUUUCCAACUUCGUCUCAUUUAUGAUUGCUGACAUUUUUUGUACCCUGAAUUACUAUAUCCGGAGAAUCGUUUCAUGUUUCAAAACUUCAGAGUGUCCAAAAUGUAAGCCGAGUUUCUACACAAAUAAUUACCUUUAUUUUUUCGCUUCAUUCUUUUUUAGUUUUCCUCCUCAAUGCCUACUAAUCUCCAAUUUAUUUUUUCAUAGAUUUGUACUACUCUCUCCAUAUAAAUUGUGGUGGGAAACAAUUUACGGUCCCUGGAGGAAAAGAUACAGUAUAUGAUGAUGACACAUUUUCAGCUGGACCUUCAUCAUUUACCUGAGCAGAACAAAUUGGGCAUUAAGCAGCACCGGUUACUUCCCUGAUGAUGACCGCCCUUAUGACACCUUUAUAUGGACUAAUGAAACUAGACUCUCUAUGGCCAAUCCUCAACUGUACAUGAACGCACGCCUUUCUCCCAUCUCUCUAACUUAUUUUGGGUUUUGUCUGGGAAAUGGAAACUACACCGUAAACCUCCAUUUUGCAGAGAUAAUGUUUAGAAAUGGCAAAACAUAUAAAAGCUUGGGAAGGCGCAUAUUCGAUAUUUACAUUCAGGUAAGUAUCGCAUCCACUUCCAUGUAUACCAGUGAAUUAUUCUAAUUUUCAACAAGCAUUGUUUAUAUUUUGGUCGAUUUGAAUGUUAACUUUCACAUUUAUGAUCAUGAAAUGUUAAGCAACUAAAUUAGUGUGUGUGUGUGUGUGUGUGUGUGUAUUGCAGGGAAAACUAGUGAAGAAGGACUUCAAUAUCAUGGAUGAAGCUGGCGUGUUUGGUGAUGUAGUCAUAAAGAACUUUACUGCUCCUGUAACUAAUAAUACAUUGGAGAUUCGUUUCUAUUGGGCCGGAAGAGGGACGACAGGCAUCCCUUUUAGAGGAGUCUAUGGUCCUCUUAUUUCAGCUAUUUCAGUAGACCCAAGUAAGUUUUCACUGAUCUGAGCUUCGUCUAAUUACUAUGCGUCGACCAUAUGCAUUUAUAUAUCUACUAAAUUAAGAGAUCCGACUUCAGUUCUGCAAGGUUCUUCUUCUUCUUCAAUAUUUCCCUUCGCUUGUAUUUUCAGAAAAAUGCUUCUGUGUUUUUCUCCUGUUUUACAUAGUUUGAGCCAAGACUUGAAGAAAUACUCUCUUAAAUUUUCUUAUCACAUAAUAUGCUGUUUUUUUCUAGGUGACGGGUAUGCUCUUUCAAAUACAACAAAAUUCAACUUCGAGGAUUUUUAACUAUUUACAUGAAAUGUACCGUUUGGUACGUGGGACGGGACGGGAUGGAACGGGACGAGCCGUUCCGUCCCACGUUUGGUGCGCCUAAAAACUGUGGAACGGGUUGUCCCAUGGGACGAAAUUUGGCUGAUUUUUCGUUCCACCUCUUCCCCCUGGAACGACCCGUUCCACAUCCGUGUAACACAAAUUUAUAACAUUUUAUGACACAAUUUCUCCUUAUCUUUUUUAAUAUUUACAUCAUCUGUUCCGUCCUGUUCUGUCCCGUCCCGUCCUGUUCCAUCCCGUCCCGUCCCGUUCCAUCCCGUCUACGUACCAAACGGUACCUUAAGGAAACAUAUAAUAUUUACAACCAUCAAAAGAAAGUUUGUUCGAGGGAUUACUUCAUAUACUAUCUACUUAGUUAAGGAUGCCGCAAAGACAGGGUUUCAAUCUUCUGUUUGUGUGCAUUGGAUAGCUAGUUGAAUAAUCCACUCUCAUAUCAAUUACAUACAUUUACUCUAAUUUAAGCUAUAUUCUUUCUUCGGACAGACUUUGAUUCGCCGCCAAAACCUGUAAGUGACACAUCAACUGGUGGAAGUGGCGUGCCUGUAGGUGUCGUGGUUGGAAUUGUGGUUGGAGGAGUCUUCAUUAUACUACUGAUAUUUGGUAUUCUUUGGAAGAGAGACAACAAAAGACAUUGGAGGAUGGUAUUAAUUUGCAGUUUAUUAUGUUAUACUGGUUUUUCCUUUUUGUUCCUCCAUUACUUUCUCUCAUCGAGCUUUUUUCGUAACUAAGUACGAUAUUUAUGCUAUUUGCAUGGUUCUCAUGCAUAUUGACAUGCACCACAAAGACAGUAAUUAUUUAGAUAUGGAGCUUUCCGGCACUUUGAUGUUUCUGUAAUAUAUUUAUCGUCCAAACACCAUGAUGCAAAGUGUCUGCCUAUAGAUCUAGUUACUUGUUAAAUUCUAUAAUUAGGCACAAAAUAUUAAGAACUAAGAAUGUUAUCGUUCUGAAAGUUUUCUUAAGACACAAUUUCUUAUGAGUUUUAGUUGUUAUACAGAUUUGAAGGGUGUGGACCUGCAAACUGGUAAAUUUACCUUCAAGCAACUCAAAGAUGCCACUAUUGGCAUGUAACCCUUCAGCCGAAGACUUGGAGGCAAAGAAAGAAUUCAAACCUUAUUUUAAUGUUUGUUUCAUGUUUAAAUUUGAGCCAUUGAAUCAUAGUCCAUGUGGCUAGCCUUACUUGUAUCUAGCUUAAGUGAUAGAUUAUAACAAGUGGCAUCAUCUCAUAGGAUGAUAGCAAUUAAGGAAUGAGAUUAAGUGUGUUAUUGAUGAGUGUAUAAAGCCAAAAACCUUAUAUGUUUGUUGUGAGGGAAUAUUUUUCAAUCAAUCAGUGUAAUCAUCCUCCUAAAAAUUCUCUCUGCCAUUUUCGGCAUUACACAGACCUCUGCAAGAUUUCAUAGAAGCUUACCAAACAUUCCCAUACACUAACAGCCACAAGCAACUUUAACAAAGCUAUCAAGUCGUUGCAUCCGACUAUCCUUGCAUUCUCUGCUUUGAACAUUUUCACAUAAUCGCGAAACAACUCCUUUGGGUUCUUCUUGACGUUGAACAAAUGGUCGGACUUCUUUUUUAUCAAGCGAUAGGAUGAAUAUUCUUUGGUGAAAACCAAAAAAGUUCGUCAAAACUCCGGAUGGAUUGUGGUGGCAGGGUGUAGAACCAAUUUUGCGUCUCGCCUUGUAGAGUGAUGAUGAAUAUCUUGCACAUGAGAUCGUCGUUGUUUCGAUAGAGGAUCAUUGCGCUUCGGUAGUGCUUUAAGUGUCUCUCCGGGUCUUCAUCCCCUUUGAAAGAUGUGAAAUGUGGCAUGCUGAACUCGUGUGGAGGCUCUGCCUGCUCGAUCUCAUCCGUGAAGGGUGAUCUGCUUAUGUUGGUCAUGUUCCGUCGUAGUACCUCGUAGGUGACCUUGUUGCGUUGGAAAUUGCACAAUCACUUAGUCAAGAGUCUCUCUACUUCUUCCUGAAUUUGCCUUUGUUAGGGUAGUCGAACUCUCGGCUGCCCCUAGCUGUGACUUGCUGGUCUAAGCUGCUCUUCUAUGUGUUUGGCUCGUCUAUUCCGCGGAUGAGGUGUGUGUGGUGUGUUCCUAGCAAGCGAGCGAGUUCUUCUCAGGCUGUCGGUUGAACUUGAGCCGGAUUGAGUGACAAAGUCAAUGAAAGAAUGAUUCACAGUGUGCUUGCAUACUUCUUAUACACGAACAACUUUGUAUCGGCCUAGUUAUUAGUUACAAAGUCAAUGAAAGAAUGAUUCACAGUGUGCUUGUAACAAAUACACAUUUACCGUUUGUGUAAUUCCUCAUGUUUUAUUCUUUCUAAAGAACAUUGGACAUUUUCCUUCGGUUUUAGAGUAAGAAAACCAGUUCCUUCUUCCUAUUUAAUUCCCUGACCAAAAGUAAGUAUUUUCUGUGAUAAAUUAAUGUUUUACCUGUUUGGUCUCAUUUCUGUUGCAGCUUUUCCUUUUAGUCACAGUAUAGAUGCGUAAUGGAUAUCUGUUAAUUUCCAUAUAUGUUAUUAUUUAUUUUUACUUGUAAUGAAUAUCUAUUGUCACAACCCGUCCCGAAAUAUUUAUUUUCGACGGUGUGAAAUGACAGUUUUACCCUUGGACGUUGAGAUGUGUGGUGUGUGUCAUGCUUUUGGAUGUGGACCAAUAUGUUGAGUUCCUAAGUUUUUGGACUCAAUUAGAAGUUAGACUUUUGUUAGUUUGGUUAGGGACCAAGUGAGGACCACACACACACACAAAACACCCCGUGCAUUCUCUCUCGUCUCGGCCUUCCUAUCAUUUCCGUACAAAACGUACAGACGAACACCAAACUCACACUUCACGCACGGAUCGACGUUAACCAGGUAAUAUUCGAAUUCCUUGUAAGAUUUUGAGUUCACCCAUACCCUUUUUAGAUCGAGAAACCUUCGUUUUCUCGAGAAACCAGAACUGCCGAAUUCAUGCACUGUUCAUGCACUCAUAAAUGUGAGGUUUUUAGGAAUUUUUUAGGACAUAGUGAGCUUUGGAUCAUCCUCACGAAGCUUGGAGAAGAAAAACCAAGUGAAUUGGACGUCGGGAAGUGGAGAUCGACGAGUUCAAAGUUUGGCCGGAUUAUCGAAGGAUCUCCGGCGAAUUCUCGAGGGAUUUCAGGUCCCAAAAUUGGUAAGGUUUUAUUCCUUAUGUUGUAAGCUUCAUUUUGGUGAAGAUUUCGUGGAAUUUGGUGCAAAAAUGGGAGAGAUAUGAGGUUUUAUAUAUUUUCCAGUUUUCGGCAACGGCGACGGUCGCCGGAGGUCAAACGUAGGGGACGACGAGAUAUUCCAUCAAAAUUGAUGGAAUAUUCCUAACGGCCGUUAGGCCUCAGUUAGGGUUUGGCCGAGCGUGGGGGCGCGUAGGGCCGUGCCUCCGCCGGCGUGUGACGACGCGUGGGACGUCAGAAAAUUUUUCUAAAAAUAUGGGGAUGUUCAUGAGAUUGUGUAGUUCACGUUGGUAUAUUCAAACAUCCCAUUUGAGCAAUGUAUGAGAAGUUAUUAGCUAGUAUUGGUUAUGUGCUUUAAAUAACGUUUAUUUAGUUAUUUCACAUAUAGGUGAGACCUAUCUAGAGGACGAGCGCAGUCAAGGGCGACUCGGGGGCUACGACCCUUCGACAUACCAGUUAGUGGGCUUUUGGUUUUCAAUAUAUAUUUAUAUACUUGAUAUUUUCCCAGAAAAUGUGUUUAAAUGAAAGUAUGCUUUGAAAUGCCAUGCAUAUAGAUUUAUAUUCGGCAUAUGAAUUAGUAUAUGAUGCAUAAUAUGAAUUGGUACUGUGGAUGCUCAGGUAAGUACCAGGUGAGUUAUGUUUUGUUAUAUGAGAUAUUGAUAAUGUGAGACGUGAUUGAGAACUCAUAAACCUGCACCCCGGGUGAUUGUGAUUUAGCCAGAGAUAUGGCACAUGCCUGUAUAUAAUGUCACAUCCCGCACCAUAUGCUCACAUUGGAUCCAAUUUAGGUGCACAGUCUUGUCGUACAGACCAUUAGGUGAGUAGUGAUUUAUCGCACAGCUAUCAUGAGAGCGUAACAUUGAGCAUAAUUAUAUUACACUCAGUCUUGUCGUACAAACCAUUACAGUGGUUCCGACUCGUGUGCAGUGUAGUGCCGUAUAGGUCACUGACGAUGACUUCGGCUAGAUUGAUAAAUAAUAAAUUUAGUCGUACAGACCUCUGCAGGGGGUUCCGACUAAUAUGUUAUUUUCCAUGAAUUUAUUUUCACCUGAGUUACUUAUUCUGUUUUAUAUUUUGGCAUGGCAUACUUAUGAAUAGAUAUGUGAAGCAUGAUUUGAAUAUAUAUAUAUAUACACACACACACACAUAUAUAUAUUUAUAUUCUAUUUCUGGGAAAAUUAUACAUGUUUUACGGCGAUGGGUUAUAGUAUUUGAUAAAUGAAAUGGUUUUGAAGAACUUUGUUUUUGCCCACUCACGUUUUCUGUUUUGCGCCCCUCCAGGUUUUAGGUAAGCUUGCUCGUUGGUGGCUCACGAGGAUUAGUGGAGGUUCUGACAGACCAUAUCAAAUGUAGGACAUCUUUGGGUGUCGUUUAAUUAGUACUUGCUUUCUGGACUGAACUUAGGCUACUCUCACUCUGAUUGUGUAUUUACACAUAUACUAGCACUAGUCUUAACUAGUACUCUUACAAGUUGGUUUUCAAUUAUUCGUAUUCUCUAUUAUCAUUAUUGCUUCUGCACUGUGCACAUGACUACGUCACCCUCACGUGAUGGCCAGCAUACCCUGAUUCGGGUCGGGGUGUGUCAUCUACCCUUUUAAUUACAUUUUAUUUUCAAUAGUAUCUAAUGAGUAGAUUUUAUAUUAUAUAUUUUACCUUGAUCUUAGUUUAUUUUGGUUAUUAUUUUGGAAGAAUUUUGAUACUUUGAAUUGCAUUUGCAAUAUAGGAGUUUCAACUUCUUCUGGAGCAAAACGUGAUCAAAUGAAUGAAUUUUGGAGUGAUUCCAGCUGGAGGAUGUUCGUGAUUUUCUUAGCUUGAUCAUGUCAAAAUAUAAGAUUCUUCCACCAAUCGGUUAUUUUCUAGCGAUAGAAUAAAGGAGCACUGCGCGAUGCUGGAAAAAUGACGUUUUGGGCUUAAUUGCAAGUUUUGGAGUCUAAGAUAACUUAAUUUGGGUUCGGCCCCUUCUGGAGAUAUGUUCAGAACGUUCCGAUCUUUAAAACAAGCUGUCAUGGGCCGGAUUUGGAGGAGAUUUGAGGCUAAAACGUGGCUGGACAAUUCCCAGAUUCUCCUAGCUUAAUUAGGACUUUAUUUUCUAGUAUAUUUAUUAUUAUUUGGUUUCCUAGUUGGAUCCAAAGACUUUUAUUAGGGAUUAUUGCAGGUUUUAGGAGAGGAUAUAAGGUUUGACCGGCCUUAGUCCUUUACUUCUUCUUUCAUGCGACUUCGGAGAUAGGAAAUUGGCUAGGGUUCUUGAAGAUUUUUAGAGUUUAUUUAAGGUUUUUUCAAUCAUUUUCUUCAUAAUAAUAUUUUGUUUGAUUUUAAUUAUAAAUAUGCGUAACUAAUUUGUUUUGCUGGGGCGAAGUCUUGAAUCUUAGCAUGAAUAUGUAAUUUUUAUUUAAUUGAUAAUGAUUGAUCGUAUGUAUGCUUUGAAUUAUUGAUCACCAUUUUAAACUAUCUAAUUGUCUUGAUGACUAGCCACCAUUAUGAUGUUUAGACAAGUAAUUGGAUGCAAUUCGGUUAGAAUAUCACCAGAGGAUUGGGUAUUGCUUCUUGUGGUUAAUAAUUGUAAUUUCACCUAAGGCGAAUAUCACGCUCUUAGGGGUUGCAUGUUUUUCGGAGAGUUUCACAGAACUUAAUGAGUUUUGCAAGUUUAUAUUUGAUCUGAAUAUCACAGACGGAUUGCAUGUUAGAUAUACGUUCUUGCUUGAAAAUCACGAGGAGAAUAUGUAUCAGGAAAACCUAACCUUCAAAGUUGCAUAUGUAGAUCAUAAGUAAUUUGUCAAAAUACAUAGGAUUGUUAUGAUGAUGGCGGAACCCUAGUGUUUUUAUAAAUUGGUAUUUAAAAACUCUUUUCUAUUAUUUUUACAAUUUUGGUUUAUAGUUAAAAUUCAUUUAAUAUAAGUCAGGAUAUUUUAUAGGGAACUUUAACGAAAAGUUCCCAGUACUGUUCACUUUAACGAAAAACGUGCCUUGAUAAUCACAUGAUGUAUUUAAUGUAAUUAUAUAAUUGAUCAUUACAGUUGUGGAUAAUUACAAAAAAGUAUAAUAAAUAUACGCUGAGAUACACAUAGUCCUAAAUUAGUACUUAGUUCUGAAAACGCCAAUAAGAUAUAGAUCCAGAAAAUUGGACUUCUCGUCCUCGUCAUAUCACAUCAGCCUAUCAAGCCACCGUUACCAACACCUCCACAAUUUGCAGAGAAAUUCGCAAUGAAUGCUUAAACAAACAGAUCCAUCAAGGAUCUUACCAUGUAAGGUCGACCAACCGCAAAUAUGCAGAAAGAAGACAAAUCAAUUACAAAAUCCAGCGUUUCAGAAGGUAGAUCUGGAAAAUUUCUGACCAAACUUGCCUGAUCCAAAGCCCUAUAACCUAGGGAGAAAACAAAACCUCGCAAGAGGCAAUGAAGAACAAGCCUAGCACAAGAAGGCUAGGGAGCAAAAGCUCUCCACAUAAAUACGGGAGACAGGCCCUAUAGUCGUAGGACUCCUUGUCAAGAUUAGGCUUGGGUGAGUGGUUUUCAUAAGGGAUUGAAGCACAGUUGGUCAUGAACUUAUCAUAAACUGUUAUACGGAAGAUAUUAGAAAAUUGCUACAUGAGCAUCACAAAAGCAUGUGAGAGGCGAGAGUGAUUUUUAAACCCUUACUUGGUUUAAGUCAUUUUCAAAUCUUUUUCACAUGUCUUUACAAUGCUUAUAUGGUGUUUUUGUAAUCUCUCAUAUCUAGCAUUUUAUAAUUCAUUUUUUACUAAUUUGGUCUCAAGUUCACAGGGCUAGAAUUCUUCCCCCCAAACAUAGCUCAAAGGACUCACACCCUCCAAAUAAAGUAGACAACAAUACUACAAUUGACAUAAGUUUUUGUGUGGUAGUGAAUUAUUGUCACAUGCGCUCAUGCAGAUACUAAUAUGAAGAUAAAUUAUGGGAAGUGAAUUAUAUAUACUUCUUUUCGUUGCGCUCUCUUUUCAAUUUUUUUUUAUAUUUGAAUUGAAUUUAGAACAAUUCAGAAAACAAAGUAGCCCAAAAUGAUCUAUGUGAAAAUUAUUUCUAUAAACUCUACACACACACACACACACACACAAAACAAUUAAUGAUUGUUCCAUACCAACUUAUACAGUCAACCAACUGAUAAACUGGAAAAUAUGAUUAUAAUGAUAGCAUCCAAUUCCUAUCAAUGACUUUAGGGUAAAUUACAUAGUAGCUCUUCAGGUUUGAUGUCUACUACAACCUCAUACAAUAUCUUUGAAACAUUUCACUUUCAUAUCUCACGUACUAUUUUAUUUCAAAAUAAUACAUCCGUUACAUUUUCCAUCCAUUGAUCCGUUAAGUGCUGACGUGGCUGCCAAAUGUGUGCCACGUGGCAAAAAAAAUAAUUUUUUUUUAAAAAAAACCUUAAUCUUCUAAAUAAAAAAAAUCAAAAAGAGAAAAUUCAGAUCCCAUCAUCCCACCCCCUCCCCCAUACCUGAACCUUGAACAAAAAAAAAAAAAAAAAAAAAACCCAGAAAACCCAGUUCCCACUAACACACCUUCCCCCCAAAUCCCAUCAACACCCCCAUGUGAAACCUCGAUCCCAUAUCCCCCCCCCCCCCAAAAAAAAAAAUCAUCUUCCAUCAGUCAUCCGCACCCAUCCUCCACCUCCUCCCCUGCACCCAUCUCCACCUCAUCCGCACACCCAUAUUCCCAUCUUCUCCUGCCCCGCCCCCCCAACCCGAGCCCAACCUGCAACCCAGAAAGAAGAGGAAAAAAAAACCCAGCGCACCCACCCUCGCACUCAUCCUCUUCCCUCCUCUACACACCCUACUCCUUAAAUCCACACUCAUUGGGGAAGACGGGAUCUGGGUUGCAGGGAAAUGGCAAUAGGUUUUUUUUUUCGUUUCUUUUCUGGGUUGGAGGUAGUGGGUGCAGAGGAAGAGGUGGAGGAUGGGGUGCACGGUGGGUUUGGGGAAGACAAGAGGGGAAAGAAAGGGGUGGGUUGCAAGGAAAGGGGGUCGGGGAAGAUGAAGAUGGUUUUUUUUUUUCCACUCCUUUUCUUAAUCUUCUGGGUUGCAGGUUGGGUGGGUGGGGGUUGAAGGUUCAUCUUUUGUUUUUUGUUUUUUUUUUUUAUUUAGAAGAUUCAGGUAAAAAAAAAAAAAAAAAAAUUUGCCACGUGGCACAAAUGUGGUAGACACGUCAGCACUUAAUGGAUCAAUGGAUAGAAAAUGUAAUGGAUGUAUUAUUUUGAAAUAAAAUAGUAUGUGAGGUAUAAAAGUGAAAUGUUUUAAAGAUGUUGUAUGAGGUUGUAAUAGACCUCAAACCUAAGGGGUUACUAUGUAAUUUACCCAUAACUUUAUACUUGGAGAACUAAAUAUUAAUUUUAUAUACAAAUAAUUUUAGUAUUGUUUUUUUGUAGGACCAUAUAUAUUUUUAAUUAUAAAUGAAUUUUUUGCGAUAAUGAUUUAUGAAUGAUGAAUUGAAAUAUAGGUGGUUCAGAUCUUUGAAAAAAAAUUAUGAAACGAAAACUACAAAAAAUUGUGUCAAAAUAUGUACACACAAAUUUAAGGAUGUGUAGCACUAGGUAUACGUGGCAUUAGGUAUAUUUUUUAUUUUCAUAUUAAUAAAUUUCCUUCAUACCUCGAAAUUUUCUAUAAAAAAAAAAACAAAAAGAAAAAAAACGGCAGAAGGCCACUUGUGAUGAGUACUUUAGUCAUGGAAUGCUGAUCGAAGUGCUAUUAAAUUGUCACUUAGAAUCAUAACUCUUGGCUUAUAGUAUGAAAAAAAAAAUACAGAACAUUUGUAUAUUGCUUGCAAGCAAUUAGGUUCUGUUAGUCAACUCCAGCAACUUGAUUAGAAAGCAUGUAUAUAAAGCUGCGCAAUUACCAUGUCCACAUAUCCUGAUCAGGAAAUUUCCCCUGCUUGGCUUAGUUGAAAAUAGCAGAUAAGUCAAGAGCGUAUUUUAAAUUACUGUUGGUUAAUUAUUUUAAAUUUCACUAGCAUAUGGGUAUACACAAAGUGUGUGAGAAAAUUUUUUAUUUUUGUUUUUGAAAUAGAAGAGGGAGUGAUAGAGAACGUGGGAGUGAGAAUUUUUUUUAUUAUUUUUUUAUUUUUUAUAAUUAGAUAUAUGUUAGGAUUACAUGUAGGUGAGACUUUGAAAAAAAAAACAGCAAAAUUUGGUUGUAUGAAAUUACAUUUCUGCCCCAUAUUUCUUAUUCAUGUUCUAUUUUAAUUAGAGGGUUAAACUGGUAAUUUUAUAGGAUUUUGAUUGAAAAUGAAUGUUUUAUUAAUUAAUAGAGAUAAUCAAUAUUAAUUACCAGUGGGUGUACUUUAAAUUAUGCUUGAUUAAUUAUUGUAAAUUUCAUAAUCAUAGAAAACUAAUAGCUUAUUAUAUAUUGUUGUCAAAAUCGUGAGUUCGGCUGUUGGAAAGGAUUUUUAAUGGGUAAAUUACAUUUUACCUCCUCAGAUUUGGAUGCAAUUGCAACCUCAUACAACAUUUUAAAAACAUUUUAAUUUCAUACAUUUAGUUAUCAUUUCAUUUCAAUGUCAUACAACCGUUAAAAAUUCUGUUAAGUUAGCUGUUAAGUGAUGAUGUGGUAACAGUGGGUCUCCCAUGUUUGCUUAUGUGGUUAACAACUUCUGCCACAUGGACAAACAAUUAAUAUUUUAUUUAAAAAAUUACAAAAAAAACCCUUAAAAAAUGGCUAAAAAAAAGGGAUAACUUGAUAUAGAUCCAAUUUUGUGAGCCAUUAGUAGGAUUAGUCCACUUCAUUGAAAUAGGUUCAAUAAUUGAGAUUCUACGUAUGCUUAUUUGUGGUUUGUACCAUAUUUACCCCUUAGGCUUACAAAUUGUAGUAAAUACACAAAAUUUCUUAAUUAUGGGAUUAUUUGUGGUUUAACUAAUCCCUUAAUUGUAGGAUUAGUUAUAGCCAUGUAAUCACCUCAACCCCCAGUCCGUUUCAUCCCUCCUUUUUUACUUCUUCCAAACAAUUCCCUCUAUCAAUCUUCCUCUUUGUUGUCUCUUCUUUUCAUGGGUGAUAUUUUUGUGUUCUUCCCUCCAAAUUCGUUCCUUUAAUGGAGGUAUAUUACAUCAUAUUUAUAUUUCUAUGUUCCUCCAUGUAGGUUCCCAACAUUUUUCUUCCAAUACAAUAGGUAGUUUAUUUUUGUUUUGCAGGUAGAUUAUAUCUGCUUUAUAGGUAUAAAGCAUUUUUCUUCCUAUACAAUAGGUAGGUAGUUACUAGAUUAUAUCGGUUUUGUUUUCUUCAUAAAUAGUAGGUAGUUACUAUAUAAUAUUUUAGUUUGAGUAUUUAAAUAUUCAAAAUUUAAAAACUGAAUAAAUGAUAUAAAAAAAAUUAAAGAAUUUAAAUAUUUUUAUCUGAAGGGGCAAAAUAUAUAUCAAAAUAUGUAAUUGGAUAACUAGACUCAGUCCCAAAAACUACCUAUGUUUUUGGACCUAGAUCCAAAAGCCCAAAAAAAAAAAAAAACAACCUUCCACAGCCCCUCUCCACCCCACGCUGAAAAUGCAAAGCCCCAACCCUAGAUCUUCCAUCCCCUCCAAUACGUCGUCAACAUCUUCGUCCACCACUGCAAGCCCGCCGGCAACACCAACAUUGCCUCCAACCCCACCCACGUCGACUGACGCUGCAAAUCGGACGACAACAUCAUAUUCUUCCUCGCGCGACAAUAUGUUGGGGGUCGCGGUGGUUGAGGCAGAGAGCACAAAGUGGUGAACUCCCAAACUCCGGCUGACGAAUUUGGUGGCGGUAGUUCAGGCAGAGAGCGCAAGUGGACUGACAAUUUGAGACAUGGAUCAAAUUUAGGGGUUGGGUUGGAUUCGACAAAAUUUGGGGGUUGGAUUUGUCCAAAUCCUAAAUUUUCCCAAACCCAGGUCCAAGUUGCAGGGGUCGAAGCCGACGUCAAUGGCAACGACGGAUGAGGAAAUGGGGUUUGCAGGGGGAGAGGGAGAAUGUGAUUGGGGAUGGGGAUGGGGAUGGGGAAGGGGAAGACAUGGGUUUUAGGGUUUUUUUUUUAUUAAAUAAUUAUUUUAGUAUUUAAUAUUCUGAUUAAAUUAUUAUUUUUUAAAUGCAUAGAAAUUUUUUUGCCACGUGGCAUAAAUUUGGUAACCACGUCAGCACAAAUAUAGAUCCUAUAUUUGCCAUGUUAUCACUUAACAUAUUUUCUAACGAAUGUAUGAAAUUGAAAAAAAAUGAUAAGUAAAUGUAUGAAAUUGAAAUGUUUUAAAGAUGUUGUAUGAGGUUGCAAUCGACCCCAAACCUGACGAGGUAAAAUGUAAUUACCCUUUUUUUAAUUAAGUUGACAUGAGCUGCAAAUAAUAUGCGUUGACACUAUUUUGCCAAAAAUCGGUGUAUUGAGAAAAUAAUACCAAUUACUUCAAAAAAAUAAAAAAACAGUUACGACUAAUUAUUUUUUAUCGUCAGUUGCUAGUUACAAAUAUAACUAGAUCUUGUGCCCUUGUAAUAUUUUUAAGAAAAUUUUCAUUUAUUAUUUGACAAAAAAAAAUAAUUGUGAUAAUUAUAAUCCAUCCAUCUCAACUAUUUGCGGUUUUACUUUAAAAAUAUUAUUUCACAUACGUCUCGGUCAUCCAUUUAUGAUUACAUGACUAAAAUUUCACAUAUGUCUCAAUCAACUAUUUAUGUCACAGCCCGUCCCAGAAGAUUAUUCUCGAUGACUUGAAAUGACAAUUUUACCCUUGGACGUUAAAGUAUGUUGUGUGGUUUAAGUUGGAUUUUGGACCCAUUCAUUAAUUUCCUAAGUCUUUGGACCUAAUUGGAAGUAAGGAAAUUGUUUGUUUUGAUGGGUGACCCAAAAAUCUGGACCACACAUCCUUUCUCUCUCUCACUCUCCCGUGCUCUCUUCUCUCUCUCGGACUCACUCUCUCUUCCCUUUCCUCCGUACGGACAACCUUGAACCAAGCCAAAUCUUCAUAGAUCAAGGAAGAAAAUGGUACCAUUGUGUUCGUGAGGACCAUACGAGUUCAAAGGUACCCAUUUCAGGUAAGAACUCGUUCGAUAUCACGUUAAAAACUCAAACUCCGAGUUGAUCACUAUUCAUGAACUUUUGCAUGGUUAUGUUUUAGGACAAUCCAAGCUCAUAGCGAGCUCUAGGAGGUUCUCACGAAGCUCGGAGUGCUUCGUUGGCUCGGUUUUGACGUCGGGAUCACAAGGUUCGAAGGUGGCCGGUUUUGGUAGAAUUUUCCCGACGAGUUUUCGAGGGAUUUGAAGCUCCCAAGAGGUAUAACCUUCUUCCUUUCGUGAUUUAUGGCAUUCUGGUGAAAAUUGUGUGAAAAAUGGUGCAAAAAUGAGCGAGAAAAAGGCAGUUGCAGGUCUGCCCAGAAUCCGGCGCCGGUGACACUGUUCCAGCGUCUGGAAGUUGAAGAUGAUGCGCGUGGGGCCGUGCCCUCCCCGGCGCGUGAGGGCUCAUGAGCCACAGAAAAUUUAUUUUAAAAAUAUCACGAUGUUCGUGAGGUUGUGUAGGUCGCGUUGGUAUAUUCAAAUACCAAAAUUGAGCUUUGUAUGAGAAAUUAUUAGCUAGUUUUGUGUAUGUGCUUUAAAAUAACGUUUUUAUAGUUAAUUCGCAUAUAGGUGAGACUUAUCCCGAGGACGAGCGUAUCCACGGGCGACUCGAGGGUUACGACCCGUUGACAUACCAGUGAGUGGGCUUUUGGUUUUCAGUAUAUAUUUAUAUACUUGAUAUUUUCCCAGAAAAAUAUGUUUAAAUGAUAAUAUGCCAUAAAUGCCAUGCAUAUACAAUUAUGUUUCGUGUAUGAAUUGGUGUGUGAUACCUUAUAUAUAUAAAUGUGGUGCUAUGGAGGCACAGGUAAGUUCAGGUAAGUUAUGUUUGGUUAUGUGAAUCAUCGAUGAUGUGAUAUGUGAUUGAAUAAUGUUGAGCUCAUUAAACUACACCUAGGGUGAUUGUGAUUUAGCCAGUGAUAUGAAGUACAUGCCUGUUUAUUUACGUCACCUCCCGCAUUAUAUGCUCAUAUUGGAUCCAACUUAAGUGCAUAGUCUUGUCGUACAGACCUUAUUUAUGGUUCCGACUGUAGGUGACUAGCGAAUUAUUGCCCGGCUAUUAUAAGAGAGUAAAAUUGAGCAUAAUCAUAUUACACCCAAUCUUGUUGUACAGACCCCUUUUUAGUGGUUCCGACUUAUGUGCAGUAUAUUGCCGUAUAGGUCAUUGUAGUGACUCCGGCUAGAUUGACUUUUGAGUUAUGAAUUCAGCCGUACAGACUACCACAGGGGUUCCGACUAACAUAUCAUAUUUCUAUGAAAUCAUUCUUACCUGGAUUGUUUACUUUGUUAUAUUUUGGAAUGGCAUACAUAUGCUUAUGAUUAUGUGAAGUAUGAUUUGAAUUGAUAUAUUUUUCAUAUUCAUUUAUGUAUAUGCUUAUAUUCUGAUUCUGGGAAAAAUUAUACAUGUUUUACAGCGAGGGGUUAGACAUGUUGAUAAAUGAAAUGGUUUUGUAAAACAUUUGUUUUUGCCCACUCAUGUUUUCUGUUUUGCGCCCCUCCAGGUUUUAAGUAAGCUUGCUGUUGGUGGCUUGAGGACGUCGGCAGUUCUGACCUAUCUAAAUAAUAGUAGGACAUUCCUGGUACUGUAUAACUAGUACUUGUCCUACUGGACUGCACCUAGACUUUAUGCUCUGAUUAGGAGUGUUUACUUCUGUAACUAACUCCUAUCACUCCCUGUUUAGUAGUGCAUUCUAGUAAUGUGAUUCUUAAUUAUUAGUAUAUUUUCUUAUCAUUAUUGCUUCCGCACUGUGCACAUGGCUACGUCACUCUCACGUAAUGGCCAGCAUGCCUUGAUCUCGGUCGGGGUGUGUCAGUUUGGUAUCAGAGCAUAGGUUUAGCAGUCAUGUAUAAUUCUUGAAUGUUCUAAUCCUUGUGAUGUCUUAUGUCAGAAUUAUGUCGCCUCGUAGAGAGCCCCGUCAAUCAGCUGAACCUAGUUUCCCCAAUAUUGCUCAAUUAGGGGAAGCUAUAGUUUCUGCCAUUCAGACUGCAUUCCGUACUCCCAGAGGAUACCUCUCAAGACAGUUUAUAAUCUGAAGUUGACUCACUUCAUUGGAAAUGAAGGACAUGAGGGGGCGGAAAAAUGGUUGAAUCAUAUGGAGAAUACCUUUCAGGUGAUGCAGAGUCAAGGGAAUCUUCCUCCUGAUAGGUGGGUCGAGACGACUACCUGGUUUUUGGGGGAACAACCUGCAACCUAGUGGAGACAGGAGUCUUACCAGUUGACCCCAGCAGAGAUUGUGGACUAGGGAGUGUUUAAGGAGCUGUUUCGGAAAAGGUUCAUUCCUUAUGCGUAUAUCGAUCGUAAGAAACAUGAGUUUACUCAUCAGAAGCAAGGAAAGACGUCCGCUGAUGAGUAUUAUAGGAUGUUUGCUGAUCUGUCGAGAUAUGAUCCGGAGGUUGCUGCUAAUUCGGUAGAGAUGCUUCGCCGUUUCAGUUUGGGUACUAAGAAGAAAUGGCAUUCCAUAGCGACAUCGACUCACUGUGCUACAUACCAGGAGUUUUAUGAGAUUUUACUGAGAAUUGAGGACUCGGAAAGCAUGCCUAGUGAAAGUGAGGAUGAGGAAGGAAAGAAUGGGGGCCAGAAACGAGAUGAUAAGGGGAAAAGGCAAGCAUUUCAGGGACCCCGCAAGACCCAGAACUUUAAGAGGAGUGGUGGCAGUUCCAGCUCUUCUAGCGGAGGAUUGCGUACUAAUAUGCAAAGAAUAGAUGGUAGAUUUACUGGAGGCCCUAGGUUCUAGAGACAGAGAGAUUUUGGUGGUUCAGGUGGAUCUGGUGCUCUUUUAUGCCGCAAGUGUAAUAGUCAACGUUUUGGGGAGUGUAGGAGAGGCAGCAGUGGAUGUUUUACUUGUGGAUAGAUGGGUCAUAGGGCUGCCCAAUGCCCUCAGAGUCAGCAGAGACCCUAGUAGCCUUCUUUCCCACCACCUGCACCGUCCCAGCAAGCUUCAAGAUCUGGUGGUUAUGCUCAAACUAGACGAGGAGGUGCCUACCACUAUUAAGGUGACGCCGCUCCUUACACCUCAGGACAACAUCAGUAUUCUCAGGACCCUCAGUAUCAGAGUGGGUACCCUCAGUAUCAGGGAGGAUUUAUGUCUUAUUAGCCUCAUUCAAUCGGAGGAUAUCAGUGGUAGCAAGGGGGACAGCCCCAGCAGGGAGAGAUUGCUGCUAGUAGUGCAGGAUCUUCGAGGCAGUCGGGUCAGCAGAGGCAAUGAUGUGGUAUUCAUGCCAACAGAGGUAGUGGUGGACGACAGCAGAAUCAGGGGCGUAUCCACAACAUGUCACUGCAAGAUGCCCAGAAUAAUCUAGAUUUAAUCAUGGGUACGUUAAAUAUUCUUGGUCAUUUUGCUAGAGUAUUGAUUGAUUGUGGUGCUACACAUUCUGUUAUUUCUCAUACAUUUGCUCAAGUGACGCAACCUCAUCCUACACCUUUAGGAUAUAAUUUAGAAUUUUCUAUGCCUAGAGGGGAUAGAUGUUUUGUGGAUUGGGUAUAUCCGGGAUGUCCAGUGAUAGUAGAGGAUGUUGUUAUGCCGGCUAAUCUUAUGUCGUUGGAUAUUAUGGAUUUUGAUGUGAUUUUGGGCAUUGAUUGGUUGCACUAUAAUCGUGCCAAGAUAGAUUGUUAUGGGAAGACAGUCACAUUUCAUCGUAUCGGAUUACCUGAAGUUACAUUUGUAAGAGAGCCUAGUAGGGUGAGACAUGGUAUUAUUUCAACUAUGAAAGCAAAGAGAAUGUUGUCGAAAGGUUGUCAGGGAUAUUUGGCUCAUGUGGUGUUGAAUGAUGAUGCUCCUAGUAGUGUGGAAGAUGUUCGUGUGGUCAGAUAUUUUUCGUAUGUAUUCCCUAAGGAUUUGCCUGGAUUGCCGCCAGAUAGAGAGGUGGAGUUUGUUAUUGAUCUACUUCCAGGUACGAAUCCUAUAUCCUUAACUCUUUAUAAAAUGGCUCAUGCUGAAUUGAGGGAAUUGAAAGUACAGUUGCAAGAGUUAGUGGAUAAAGUUUUUAUUCACCCGAGUACUUCACAUUGGGGAGCUCCAGUUUUAUUCGUGAGGAAGAAAGAUGGAACUUUGAGGCUGUGCAUUGAUUACAGGCAAUUGAAUCGGGUAACCAUUAAAAACCGUUAUCCAUUGCCUCGUAUAGAUGAUUUAUUUGAUCAACUCAGAGGUGCCUGUGUAUUUUCUAAGAUUGACUUGAGGUCGGGAUACUAUCAGUUGAAGAUUAAAAAUGAAGAUGUCCCUAAAACCGCAUUCAGGACUCGAUAUGGUCAUUAUGAGUUUCUUGUGAUGUCAUUCGGGUUAACUAAUGCACCAGCAGCUUUUAUGGAUUUGAUGAAUCGAGUAUUCCAGCCAUAUUUGAACAGGUUUAUUAUUGUCUUCAUUGACGAUAUUCUGGUAUAUUCUAAGUCUAAGGCUGAGCAUGCUAGACAUCUAAAGUUGGUGUUGAGCAGUUUGAGGGAACACCAACUAUAUGCUAAGUUUAGCAAAUGUGAAUUUUGGUUGAAUCAAGUAUCAUUUUUGGGACAUGUCGUUUCUUCUCAAGACAUUCAAGUGGAUUCUCAGAAAGUGGCAGCUGUGGAGAAUUGGGAACAACCUCGAACCGUCACCGAGAUACGGAGUAUUCUUGGCCUAGCAGGCUAUUAUAAACGGUUCGUUAAGGAUUUUUCAGUGAUUGCUUUGCCAUUGACGGGGUUAACUCGAAAGGAUGUUAAGUUUGAGUGGGAUAAUAAGUGUGAGCAAAGUUUUCAGCAGUUGAAAUAUUAUCUCACUCAUGCACCUGUUCUAACACUUCCAGAUGAUAACGGUAAUUAUGAGGUCUAUAGUUAUGCUUCUCUUAAUGGUUUGGGUUGUGUAUUGAUGCAACAUGAUAGGGUAAUUGCUUAUGUUUCGAGACAGUUGAAACCUCAUGAGAAGAAUUACCCUACACAUGAUUUGGAGUUAGCAGCUAUCAUCUUUGCCUUGAAGAUUUGGAGACAUUAUCUUUAUGGUGAGAAAUGCAAGAUCUUCACAAAUCAUAAGAGUCUUCAGUAUUUGUUUACUCAGAGAGAUCUUAAUCUUCGACAGCGGAGGUGGAUUGAGUUACUUAGUGACUAUGAUUGCACGAUUGAGUAUCAUCCUGGUCAUGUAAAUGCUGUGGUGAAUGCACUUAGUUGGAAAACUCCAGUCAGACUUAAUGCCAUUUAUGAUUGCCACGUUCCUCUUCUAGCAGAUUUGAGAUCCACUGGAGUGGAGUUAGGAGUGGAAGAUCGAGAAGAAGCCUUGCUUACUAAUUUUCAGGUUAGGCCAAUUUUAAUUGACCGUGUGCUUGAAGCUCAGAUGUAUGAUGAGGAGACCCAGGAAAUAAUUCAAGCAAGAAAUCAAAGAAAAAAUAAAGAUUUCGGGAUUCGAGAAUAUGAUGGUAUGCUUAUGCAGGAAAGCAGAAUGUAUGUGCCAAAUAAUGCAGAGUUAAAGAAAGAAAUUUUGGAUGAAGCACACAUUUCAGCAUAUGCGAUGCAUCCAGAAGGCACUAAGAUGUAUCAUGCCAUUAGACCAUUUUAUUAUUGGCCAGGUAUGAAAAGAGAAAUUGCCGAAUAUGUGAGUAGGUAUGCCAUUUGCCAAUAGGUUAAAGUUGAAAGGAAGAAGCCGUUUAGGUUGAUGCAACCACUUCCCGUUCCACAGUGGAAAUGAGAAAAUAUUACUAUGAAUUUUGUGUACAAGCUUCCUCGUACACAGAAUGGAUAUGACGGCAUUUGGGUGGUAGUUGAUCGGCUUACGAAGUCAGCACAUUUUAUUCCAGUGAGGGAGAAGUAUUCGUUAAGCCGAUUAGCUAAGUUAUUUACAUCGCAGAUUGUGAAGUAUCAUGGUGUGCCAGUUAAUAUUAUCUCAAAUCGGGAUCUCAGAUUUACUUCCAAGUUCUGGAUAGCAUUCCAGGAAGCUCUUGGUACGAGAUUGCUUUAUAGUACAGCAUAUCACUUUUAGACAGAUGGACAAUCUGAUAGAACUAUUCAGACAUUAGAGGAUAUGUUGAGAUCUUCAAUGCUGCAGUUUUGAGAUAGUUGGCAUGAUUGUUUGGAUUUGAUGGAGUUCGCCUACAACAACAGUUAUCAUUCGAGUAUUAGUAUGGCACCAUUUGAGGCACUUUAUGGGAAAUCUUGUCGUACGCCUCUAUGUUGGUCAGAGGUUGGCGAAAUAGUUUUAGUGGGCCAGAGAUUGUGGAUGUGACUACUCAAAAUGUUCAGGUAAUUAAGUCUAACCUGAAAGCGGCCCAAGAUCGACAAAAGAGAGUAGCAGACAAGCACGCCACUGAUCGGAAGUAUAAUGAAGGUCAUUGGGUACUUCUAAAGCUAUCAUCUUGGAAGGGUGUUGUACGAUUUGGAAAGAAAGGAAACUUGAGUCCUAGGUACAUUGGACCAUAUAUGAUCACCGAACGAGUUGGUGAGGUUGCUUACAGGCUUGAGUUGCCUCCAGAGUUAUCCAAAGUGCACGAUGUGUUUCAUGUUUCGAUGCUCCGACAUUAUGUUUCAGAUCCUUCACAUGUGAUUCCUCCUCAACCUUUGGAAAUUAAUCCGGAUUUGACUUAUGAUAAGGAACCAAUGACUCUAUUGGAUUGGAAGGAUAAGGAACUAAGGAAUAAGACUGUGCGCUUGGUGAAAGUAUUAUGGAGAAAUCAUUCAGUGGAAGAAGCUACUUGGGAGACCGAGGAUCAAAUGAGAGAGAUGUAUCCAUGCUUGUUCUAUGAUUAUUAGUGGAUGUAUUGGUUGUAUGUAAUUUCGAGGACGAAAUUUUAUAAGGUGGGGAGAUUGUCACAGCCUGUCCCGGAAGAUUAUUCUCGAUGACGUGAAGUGACAAUUUUACCCUUGGACGUUAAAGUAUGUUGUGUGAUUUAAAUUGGAUUUUGGACCCAUUCAUUAAUUUCCUAAGUCUUUGGACCCAAUUGGAAGUAAGGAAAUUGUUUGUUUUGAUUGGUGACCCAAAAAUCUGGACCACACAUCUUUUCUCUCUCUCACUCUCCCGUACUUUCUCUUUUCUCUCUCGGACUCACACUCUUUUCCCUCUCCUCCGUACAGACAACCUUGAACCAAGCCAAAUCUUCACAGAUCGAGGAAGAAAAUGGUACCAUUGUGUUCGUGAGGACCAUACGAGUUCAAAGGUACCCAUUUCAGGUAAGUACUCGUUCGAUAUCACGUUAAAAACUCAAGCUUCGAGUUGAGCACUAUUCAUGAACUUUUGAAUGGUUAUGUUUUAGGACAAUCCAAGCUCACAGCGAGCUCUAGGAGGUUCUCACGAAGCUCAGAGUGCUUCGUUGGCUCGGUUUUGACGUCGGGAUCACGAGGUUCGAAGGUGGCCAGUUUUGGUAGAAUUUUCCCGACUAGUUUUCGAGGGAUUUGAAGCUCCCAAGAGGUAUAACCUUCUUCCUCUCGUGAUUUAUGGCAUUCUGGUGAAAAUUGUGUGAAAAAUGGUGCAAAAACGAGCGAGAAAAAGGCAGUUGCAGGGUAUGCCCAAAAUCCGGCGUCGGCGACACUGUUCUGGCGUUUGGAGGUUGAAGAUGAUGCGCGUGGGGCCGUGCCCUCCCCGGCGCGUGAGGGCUCGUGAGCCACAGAAAAUUUAUUUUAAAAAUAUCACGAUGUUCGUGAGGUUGUGUAGGUCGCGUUGGUAUAUUCAAAUACCAAAAUUGAGCUUUGUAUGAGAAGUUAUUAGCUAGUUUUGUGUAUGUGCUUUAAAAUAACGUUUUUAUCGUUAAUUCACAUAUAGGUGAGACUUAUCCUGAGGACGAGCGUAUCCACGGUCGACUCAGGGGUUACGACCCGUCGACAUACCAGUGAGUGGGCUUUUAGUUUUCAGUAUAUAAUUAUAUACUUGAUAUUUUCCCAGAAAAAUAUGUUUAAAUGAUAAUAUGCCAUAAAUGCCAUGCAUAUACAAUUAUGUUUCGUGUAUGAAUUGGUGUGUGAUACCUUAUAUAUAUAAAUGUGGUGUUGUGGAGGCACAGGUAAGUUCAGAUAAGUUAUGUUUGGUUAUGUGAAUCAUCGAUGAUGUGAUAUGUGAUUGAAUAAUGUUGAGCUCAUUAAACUGCACCUAGGGUGAUUGUGAUUUAGCCAGUGAUAUGAAGUACUUACCUAUUUAUUUACGUCACCUCCCGCACUAUAUGCUCAUAUUGGAUCCAACUUAAGUGCACAGUCUUGUCGUACAAACCUUAUUUAUGGUUCCGACUCGUAGGUGACUAGCGAUUUAUCUCCCGGCUAUUAUGAGAGUAAAAUUGAGCAUAAUUAUAUUACAUCCAAUCUUGUCGUACAAACCCCUUUUUAGUGGUUCCGACUUAUGUGCAAUAUAUUGUCGUAUAGGUCAUUGUACUGACUCUGACUAGAUUGACUUUUGAGCUAUGAAGUCAGCCGUACAGACUACCACAUGGGUUCCGGCUAACAUAUCAUAUUUCUAUGAAAUCAUUCUUACCUGGAUUGUUUACUUUGUUAUAUUUUGGAAUGGCAUACAUAUGCUUAUGAUUAUGUGAAGUAUGAUUUGAAUUGAUAUAUUUUCAUAUUCAUUUAUGUAUAUGCUUAUAUUCUGAUUCUGGAAAAAAUUAUACAUGUUUUACAACGAGGGGUUAUAUAUGUUAAUAAAUGAAAUGGUUUUGUAAAACAUUUGUUUUUGCCCACUCACGUUUUCUGUUUUGCGCCCCUCCAGGUUUUAAGUAAGCUUGAUGUUGGUGGCUUGAUGACGUCGGCAAUUCUGACCUAUCUAAAUAAUAGUAGGACAUUCCUGGUACUGUAUAACUAGUAUUUGUCCUACUGGACUACACCUAAACUUUAUGCUCUGAUUAGGAGUGUUUACUGUUGUAACUAACUCCUAUCACUCCCUGUUUAAUAGUGCACUCUAGUAAUGUGAUUCUUAAUUAUUCGUAUAUUUUCUUAUCAUUAUUGUUUCCGCACUGUGCACAUGGCUACGUCACUCUCACGUGACGGCCAGCAUGCUUUUAUCUCGGUCGGGGUGUGUCAAUUUAUUUUUAAAUUGACUAAAAUGCAAAAUUCUCAUAUAUUAAAAAAAAUUGCGGUAAUUAUAAAGGAAUUUUAAUGAAAAACCCGCAGUACUAUUUAUUUUAACGAAAAAUUACAUUUUUACAUUAAAAAGUCAAUCCUUAUACUAUUCACUUUACUUUUUAUUUUGUCCUUAUCGUUAAAACUCAAAAAUUUUAAACUAUUUUUAUUAGUUUUCCUUAAUUAUAAAGGAUCCAUCCAUCUGAACUAUUUGCAGUUUUACUUAAAAAAAUUUAGUUCACAUACGUCUCCGUCAUCCAUUUAUGAUUACAUGACUAAAAUUUCACAUUCGUCUCAAUCAACCAUGUAUGUUAAAAUUGACUAAAUGCAAAAUUCUCAUAUAUUAAAAAAAAUUAAUUGCAAUAAUUAUAAAAAAGUUUUAAUGAAAAGUUUGCGGUACUGUUUACUUUAAAGAAAAAUCACAUUUUUACACUAAAAAAUCAAUAUUGAUUCUAUUCGUUUUAACCUUUAUUUUGUCUUUAUGAUUAAAACUCAAAGUUUUCAAACCAUUAUCAUUAGUUUUCUUUAAUUACAAGGUAUCUAUCCAUCUAAACUAUUUGCAGUUUUACUUAAAAAAAAUAUUUCACAUACGUCUUAGUCAUCCAUUUAUGAUUACAUGACUAAAAUUCACAUACGUCUCAUCAACCAUUUAGGUUAAAAUUGACUAAAAUGCAAAAUUCUCAUAUAUUAAAGUCUUUAAAUUGGAUCCUUAUGAAAGAAUUUCACUUGGGUGUGUAUGCAUAUCUUUAGCUGAAUCUGACCGGCCUUCGGUAUCGGUAAAAAAAAAGGUUUUCAAAAUCAUUUUUAUGAUAUUUUUCUACUAGAAUUUGUCUUUGAUUAGUAUUUUGCAUGGACUAUGUUCGAGAGAGAGCGACCAAACUUGAUAUCGGCAGGCGUUCACUGUUUAGUAAUACAUAGUCCAUACAAAUUUUGGUGCUGAUUAUCUAAAUUACAUAUUAAUAAAAUUUUCAUUGUCAACCAAAAGUUUAUGAAAUUACCAUUCUAACCCUUUAAUUAAAACUAAACAUAUAUAAGGAAUGUAGGCAGUAAUAUAAUUUUACACAACCAAAUUUUUUUUUUUUUCAAAGCCGCACUUAUAUGUGAUUCUAAUAUAUCUCUAAUUUAAAAAUUAAAAAGUAAAGCUCUCUCCUCUCUCUCCCUAUCCCACGCUCUCUCUCCCUCUUUUCCUCUCUCCUUCCAUUUUAAAUACAAAAAAUACAAAAUUUUCACACACAUUUUGUAUGUGGUCAUAUGCUAGUAUUCCACAUUAUGAUCCAAUACUUUUUGGUAAUUUAGGUCAACUACAUAUUAAUAAAAUCCUCAUUGUCAACCAAAAGUUUAUGAAAUUACUAUUCUAACCCUUUAAUUAAAACUGAACAUAUAUAAGAACUGUGGGCAGUAAUAUAAUUUCACACAAUCAAAAUUUUGUUUUUUUUUUCAUAGCCUCACCUAUAUGUGAUUCUAACAUAACUCUAAUUAAAAAAUAUAAAAAGUAAAGCUCUCUCCUCUCUCUCCCCAUCCCACGCUUUCUCUCUCUUUUCCUCUCUCCUUCCAUUUUAAAUACAAAAAAUACAAAAUUUUCACACACAUUUUGUGUGUGGGCAUAUACUAGUAUUCCGCAGUAUGAUCCAAUACUUUUUGGUAAUUUAGGUUAUGAUAAUCAAUUCAAUAACUCCCAACUUAUACCUAUAUAGCCAAAAGUAAUAUAAGGGGCAGAUUUAUGUCACCAUAUUUUUACACAACUUUUGAUACUUGUUUUUGUGAGGCUCAUUCCGUAAUGUAUUUCAAGGAUCCAAACGUCUAUAUUUUAGGUUUCCCUCAAAUAUUAUGUUUACCAAAAAUCACUUAAAUAUGAAAUCAUAUGACCGUUGAAUGUCUUAACGGUUUUAUAUUUGGUUCAUUUUUUGCAAGAAUGAUAUAUGAAAAAAUUUCUCAAAAAUAGAUGGUUCAUUUUUUGGUUUUAAGGGCAAGUAAGGUAACACAAGUCAUUGACUUCCGUUCGUGUCCUUCGAGGUCCACUCAUUCCCUCCCCUCAAGCGAAUAAAAAGCUGUAUUUCAGACUCAUUCUCCUUACAAGUCUGUCGUCUUUCUUCGCCACUCUCACAAAUUUUCAUACAUACAAUCCAACAAAUUCCAAAACCUCUCAACAUAUUCCAUCCAGCUAGCUGCACAAACUGAUUCUUUUGUCUCUGGUUUUCUCUUCAAAUGUGAAAGACUUUGCCUAGAAAAAUGAUGAUUAUGUUCUUCCCUCGACUUCUUCCUCAUUCUCUUUUCUUUGUAGCUUGCUUUGUAACUUUUGCCUUUGGAGCUACUCGAUUGCCAAAUGAUGAAGGUACGAGUAUAAAUCUUUCUUAGUUUCCUUUUCUUCAUUCUUUAAAUGAUAGUUUUAAGUUCGUUUGAUAAUUUUUUUUGAGUUUUCAAAUUUGGUUUGGGUUGAUUUUGGUUUUCAGUUUACAUUUUUCCGAGAAGUGAAAACGGUUACCAUAAAUUAAAAAAUCAAAAUAAAAAUGUUUAUCAAAUGGACCUUAGGCAAAGAGAUAUUUGUGUGAACUUAGUAGAAAUUUUCAAUCAUAUGAUGCUGAGGUGCACUCUGUAGUUCUUGUCUAUGCGUCAAUUUUAUUUUAUUUUUACUAUUUUGUUCAGCACGAUGUUAAUUUGUUGCAUUUUAUUUUGGCGUAUAUGCAGUGCAAACUUUGAAAGGCAUAGCAAAGACACUGGGGAAGACGGGCUGGGAUUUCAGUGGAGACGCAGAUCCAUGCAGCGGCCAAUCUCCAUGGACUAAUACAAGCUCACCGAAAGAAAUUCAGAAUACCAUCAUCUGUCAUUGCUCCGAUGAAAACUCCACUGUCUGCCAUAUUACCAACAUGUAAAUCUCUCUCUCUCUCUCUCUCUCUCUCUCUCUCUCUCUCUCAAAAACAAACAUGCCCGACUCAGAACUCAGUGAGAUUUUUAAGUGUGCUUCCGGAACAUGAUAUAACACGUGUUAUUAUAUAAAUUGUGGGUUACUUGUGUGAAAAAGUAGCACAAUUUGAAAAAUAAAACCUCAUUCUACUUAUAUAACAACAUGUGAUGUACGUUCCGAACACAAUUAAAAAUUUCUGGAUAAACAGUUUACUCGUUGUGUGUUUGAACGAGUUCCAUCUCAUGCAAUAUAUAGAAAUAUUAAGAGCAAAAUAAAGAAAAAGUUGAGAAAAUAAUUAGCCAAUUAGGUGCUAAAUUAGUCGAAUAACUUGACUAAGCAAAAGCAACGUACAUAUUAGGCUCCUUUUGUUGUGAAAGGUUGAGAAGGAUAGGAUCAAAGUUGUUCAGUCUUUGUCAUACCAAUCACAUUAAAGAGAAAAAACAAGAAAGGUCUACGUCCACGUACCAUCCAGUCGAUGAGUGAAGAAAUAUUAAAAAAAAAAGUCAUUGUUUUUCACUUAUAUUAUGAUAUGUGAUGUACUGCUUGAAAAAAUCUCUACUUAAUGAGUGCUAGUAGCACAAUUUGAAAAAUAAAACCUCAUUCUACUUAUAUAACAACAUGUGAUGUACGUUCCGAACACAAUUAAAAAUUUCUGGAUAAACAGUUUACUCGGUGUGUGUUUGAACAAGUUCCAUCUCAUGCAAUAUAUAGAAAUAUUAAGAGAAAAAUAAAGAAAAAGUUGAGAAAAUAAUUAGCCAAUUAGGUGCUAAAUUAGUCGAAUAACUUGACUAAGCAAAAGCAACGUACAUAUUAGGCUCCUUUUGUUGUGAAAGGUUGAGAAGGAUAGGAUCAAAGUUGUUCAGUCUUUGUUAUACCAAUCACAUUAAAGAGAAAAAACAAGAAAGGUCUACGUCCACGUACCAUCCAGUCGAUGAGUGAAGAAAUAUUAAAAAAAAAAGUCAUUUUUUUCACUUAUAUUAUGAUAUGUGAUGUACUGCUUGAAAAAAUCUCUACUUAAUGAGCGCUAGUAGCACAAUUUGAAAAAUAAAACCUCAUUCUACUUAUAUAACAACAUAUGAUGUACGUUCCGAACACAAUUAAAAAUUUCUGGAUAAACAGUUUACUCGUGUGUUUGAACGAGUUCCAUCUCAUGCAAUAUAUAGAAAUAUUAAGAGAAAAAUAAAGAAAAAGUUGAGAAAAUAAUUAGCCAAUUAGGUGCUAAAUUAGUCGAAUAACUUGACUAAGCAAAAGCAACGUACAUAUUAGGCUCGUUUUGUUGUGAAAGGUUGAGAAGGAUAGGAUCAAAGUUUUUCAGUCUUUGUUAUACCAAUCACAUUAAAGAGAAAAAACAAGAAAGGUCUACGUCCACGUACCAUCCAGUCGAUGAGUGAAGAAAUAUUAAAAAAAAAGUCAUUUUUUUCACUUAUAUUAUGAUAUAUGAUGUACUGCUUGAAAAAAUCUCUACUUAAUGAGCGCUUUCUCCUACAUAGAAUUUUUUUUUGUCAAAAAAUAGAUUUUGUUAGGUUAAAUGUUAAAUUAGUCAGCAACGGGGUUUGAAUCCACGUCAUCAUGUAAGAGCUCAACACUUUUCUACCACUGUGGUAAAGGGUCACUUGCCUCCUAUAGAUAAAAUUAACUAUGCAUGUAGACUAAGCGAGACGAAUAACUUACAUUGAACAAGUUAAAUAUCAUAAAAUUAAUACGUGCAAAUUUUUCUUAGCAUGAUAUAUAAUAUUAUAUCAAAAAUAUUAAAAAUAAUAAAUUUGUUCGAUGUAAACUGAUCACAAUUGUGCGGGAGAGAUGUUUUUAUUUCAGAGAGGGGAUUAGCUGGUGAUUUCGUCACAACAGUUUACCCUUUCAAAAGUCGAGAAAAUUCAUAGAGACAACAAUAGAGAUGUUGAUUAGAUGGUUGGAAUUCGGUUUAGUGGACCCCAUGUCUAUUUGGUAUAAAGUAUCAAUCAAUUUUUCAUUACAUGUCCCCUAACCUAACCCCAAGCCCAUGAAACCUCCAAAAUGAUCACAAGUGUGCGAGGAGAGAUGUUUUUCUUUCAAAAUGGGAAUUAACUAGUGAUUUCGUCAGGAUAGUUCACCUUUUCGAAAGUGGGAAAAACUUAUAAAAACAACGAGAGAUGUUGAUUAGAUGGUUGGCAUUCGGGUUUGUGGACCCCACGUCUAUUUAGUAUAAAGUAACAAUCAAUUUUUCAUUACAUGUCUCCUAACCUAACCCCAAGCCCAUGAAACCUCCAAAAUAAAGUAGGAAUUAUAAGGUCUAGUGUGGGCCUCAUCGAGUUGCAUAUUGGCAACUUAGCACGUCGCAUUCACUCAUUCAACCUUAUGUCGGGCCAGGUAGCUAGACCGAUUGAUUUCAAUUAGAUUUGAAGGAUGUUAGUUUAAAGGGUGUGAUAUCCACACAUCACAUUUUAUUUCUCACACAUCUCUUUAAUUUUCGGCCGUCGGAUCGGAUGAAUUGAAGACUAUCAAUGGACAUAAAUUAUCAAAGAUGUGUGGGCCUCAUCAAGUUGCAUAUUGGCAACUUGGCACGUUGCAUUCACUCAUUCAACCUUAUGUCGGGCCAGGUAGCUAGACCGAUUGAUUUCAAUUAGAUUUGAAGGAUGUUAGUUUAAAGGGUGUGAUAUCCACACAUCACAUUUUAUUUCUCACACAUCUCUUUAAUUUUCGGCCGUCGGAUCGGAUGAAUUGAAGAAUAUCAAUGGACAUAAAUUAUCAAAGAUGUGUGAGAAGUAAAAUGGGGUGUGUGGAUAGCACACCCCUAGUUUAAUAGCACAAUCGAGCUCGUUUGUUUCUUUGUGAUUUUCUCACGCCCCGACCCUAGCUUCAGAGAGAUUUUUUAGUGUGCUAGGAGUACAGUCCGGUACAUCAAGUAUCAUAAUACAAGUGGUUAAAUACUUGAAAAAGAACUUCCAACCGUUUGUAUUAUGACACUUAAUGAACCAGAUUUGUUCCUUACACACAAAAUUUCUCUUAGCUUCGGGGGCGUAAAGAUUUUAAGGCUCUUAUUUUAUAUAUGUAAAGCAAGUAAAUGUUGCUACUGUUUAGAGCUAUGAAAAGUGAUCAUCACUCGUCAUUUUCUCUUCAUGCACAUUAUUGAUUUCUAGCCUUUCACGUUUCAAGGGACAUGAAUAAAACCAAGUUAUGCAAUAAUCAUUUUCUUAAAGCUAUAAGUUAUUUUUGACAUGUAAGUUGGAUUGAAAAUUUCGAUUUCAACCAAUUCUGUUUUUGUCGGUUUACGAACAAAAAUAUGAAGAAAAUUGGAACGCAUCUUAAAAUUAGGCUACUUUUGCCGUCGUUAUACAAUCACUAAUUUGUGAUCCAUCAGUGGGUAUAAAGCCAACGUUAUUAUGAUAUCUCUAGACCCUAGUGGGGUUUCCAUUUUCCCAAAUCCUUUACCCUCGGGAUUUUUAAUUUUUCUUCAACCGGCAACCAAUUGGAAGUUUUUCUUGGUCUAAUAAGACCUUGUUGCGCCUUCAAAUUCAAGAAAUGCAGAAGGACUGAUCCAUUUCUUUUAUUGAAUGACCAAUUAAACAUCAAUUACAACCUACCAUGGACCGCAAUUCAAGUUUAGUUUAUCUGCAAAAUCGAGUUCAUGGGAUGUGACCAAUUUGCUCAAUUACUAUAGCAAUGUGUUUUUGAGCUGGCCAUGAGCCAGCAUAGGCGUUCUGUGGUACGCUGAGUUGUUAGAACUUGGUAAUACUGCUGUGCUGUAUUUAGGCUUGAUUCUUACAUACUUGAUCAACGUACAAAAUUUCGCAGUCACGAAGAUUCUUGCAUACUUCUUAUACACGAACAACUCUGUAUCGGCCUAGUUAUUCGUUACAAAGUCAAUGAAAGAAUGAUUCAUAGUGUGCUUGUAACAAAUACACAUUUACCGUUUGUGUAAUUCCUCAAGUUUUAUUCUUUCUAAAGAACAUUGGACAUUUUCCUUCAGUUUUAAAGUAUGAAAACCAGUUCCUUCUUCCUAUUUAAUUCCCUGACCAAAAGUAAGUAUUUUCUGUGAUAAAUUAGUGUUUUACCUGUUUGGUCUCAUUUCUGUGGCAGCUUUUCCUUUUAGUCACAGUAUAGAUGCAUAAUGAAUAUCUGUUAAUUUGCAACUAAUCUUUGAAACAUUAUUUUCUGAAAACACAGAAUUCUAAAAGCCCAAGAUUUGAAAGGAACACUCCCACUAGAGCUGGUAGAUCUCACCUAUCUUCAAGAAAUGUAAGCACAUUUUUACCCCUCCAAGUUUACAUUAUUUAAAAGAAAAUAACUUUGUAUCGUGUAAAUCGUUUAUUCUAAUUUCAUAUAUAGCUUACCUUUAUGUCUGUUGCCAAUGAGACAAUAACUGGUUUCUUUCUUUCUCCUUCAGCGACCUGACCCGCAACUACCUGAGCGGUACCAUCCCUCCAGAAUGGAGCUCUCUUCCACUUUUGAACAUGUACUGUCUUCUCUCAAACUGCAUGCACUUCUGUGUUUGAUGUUCGUGUCAUGUUCUUAUUGCUUCAUUUGGUCACUCCAAUGUUCUUCAGCCAUUUCUUUCUUAAACUAUAAAUCUACUACAUUUGGUUUUGUUCAUGAUGAUGGGCUUCCGUGGUCAUGAGGCGUUUGAAUCAUAAAUAUUGAAUCGAACACAUGGGGUUCAUUGCCUUCGUAUUGACGAACAUGUUAAUGUUAUUGAGCCUCUUGCUUGAUAAAAGUGAUAUUAAGACUAGUUUUUGAUACAGAUCCCUUCUUGGAAAUCGUUUGACCGGUUCUAUCCCCAAAGAGCUCGGAAACAUCACCACCCUGAAGAGUUUGUGAGUGUUGAUUGCGCAUUUGUUUCUUGCUUACCCCAUUUGAUUCCAUGGAGAUCCUUAAUGAUGUUUUUUUAAUCAAUGGAAUUGAAUUUGUUUGUAUAGGGACAUCAGUUUCAAUAAUUUCUCUGGACCUCUCCCUCAGGAGCUUGGAUCUUGGGCCCACAUAGAAAGAUUGUAAGAGUCCUUUUCGAAUUUUACCGUGUUAAAAAGUAUUUGGUUUAUUUGGAGUUUUCUUUCUUGUAGACAAAUUCUGGAUGUUUUCACUAGUAAAUCAUCUACUUCUUUAUCAUUGAUAUAAUGGUUAUAUCUAUUUCGUACUUAGGCUGCUUUGCUCAAACAACUUUACUGGGGAGUUGCCAGAAACAUUUGCAAAGCUUACCAAAAUAAAGGACUUGUAAGUUUCUGUGGUUCUUUCUUCUUAAAGGUUUCCCGAGCACUUAUACAUUUUUUUUACUGCUUUCUGAUACUAAUUCGUAUUUUCCCUUUUCUCCAAUCAUUAUGCAGUCGGGUUAGUGACAGUCACUUUUUCGGGCAGAUACCUGAUUUUAUUAAGAACUGGGCAAAUCUUGAAAAACUGUGAGUGUUUUUCUUUUGUGUGUCAUCUUUCUGCUAUUUGAUUCUGAAUAUUAUCUCUAAUUCAUAUGUUAUGACUCGUUGAAACAGAGUGAUUCAGGCUAGCGGUUUGACAGGGCCAAUUCCUCCUGGCAUUUCUCGUUUGACAAACUUAACUGACUUGUUAGUAUAUCCCGUCUCUAUUUUUAAAUACAAAACGAUUAGCGAUAUGUGUAGUUUAUGUUCAUGGCUCAAUUUUAACAUGCAGGAGAAUCACUGACUUGAGUGGACCUGAAUCACCCAUUCCUUCGCUCGAGAAGAUGAAAAACAUGAAGACACUGUGAGUUAAUGGUUCCAUGACACACAAUUUCUGUCUGUACCAGAAGUCUUCUGUAAACUCAUAGCUUUGGAGUCUGUUGCAGGAUGUUGAGGAGUUGCAACCUUACUGGAAAGAUACCUCUAUAUCUUGCACAAAUGAAAAACUUGAAAACUUUGUAAGUACAAAUGUCUUGGUCCCUAUUUUUUCCGUCUUCAAAUAAAAAAUUUCUUCUAGAUGUGAUUCUACUAAUUCAAGAAUUAUUGAAGUGACUUAGACAAUGUUGGGCGGACUUUAUGUUUCUGUAUUUAUUAAGAGAACAUCUCUUUCAGAUGUCAUUUCCCUCUCUGUAGAGAGCACAACUAAACUGCGUUUGCUAUUUGUUUGUGCAGAGACCUCAGCUUUAACAAGCUGACCGGAGAAAUUCCAAGCAGCUUCGAUAGUCUACCAAAUGUGGCUUAUAUGUAAGCAAUUGGAAUGACCAAUCCAGUCUUUCUUACAUGAAAUUCAAGCAGACAUUCUUCAAUGGUUUUGUUACACCCCAGCCUGACAAGCUGGAAGUAUUUCAAAUCACGAUUACUAUAAUUAUGAGUCACGGAUUAUACUGCAAUGAAAAUGAAAACGGCUCCUCUGCUCAGAAAUGAAAUGUUUAGUUUAUUCAUUAGAGUCAUUACUGCUUAUGCAAUUAAUUAACAUAAGGUGAUCACCUUUAGAUGUGUCUUUCAGAUGGAAGUACCGAUCUAAUCCACUUAGAGUUGGCAAACUCAAGUUUUCAAACCUUUACAGAGAAAUUCCUAAGAACAAACACUAUAUUCUUUACUGAGUUUUUUUCUGUAUUCAUUAUUUUUAGAUUCUUAACUGGAAACUUGCUGACUGGACCUGUACCUGCUUGGCCAAGAGUCAACGUGUAAGCUUCUCUUCCAAAUGCUACUCUUUAGCUACUAAGGAAAUUUAUGCUGUUUUUUUUACUAAGAUAGAUAUAAAACUAUUAAGCUCAUAACUUAUUUCACUAAUUCUAAUCAGCUAGAGACCUACAAUUCAACAGAAUUUGCAUCAUAGCUCUUUUUGUGCAGUGAUCUUUCGUAUAACAACCUCGCCAUAGAGGAUGCAAGUUGUCAACCACGAGGUGGCACGUAAGAAUGUCUUCAUUAGCUUGAAGUUAAUCUGUUUGUGUUAUGUGGAGAUAAGCUUAACUUUUCAUUUGUGUUAAUUUCUGCAGUAACUUGUUUGCAAGCUCGUCAAAAGGAAAUAGUUCGUAAGUUCAAAUUAAUCAUCUCAAAGCAUGCACCUAUAAAUUUACUUCGGUAUCCAAUGGUGUAUUCUUUACUAUUUUUUUUUCCAAUUUCGUCUCAUUUAUGAUUGCUGACAUUUUUUGUACCCUGAAUUACUAUAUCCGGAGAAUUAUUUCAUGUUUCAAAACUUCAGAGUGUCCAAAAUGUAAGCCGAGUUUCUACACAAAUAAUUACCUUUAUUUUUUCGAUUCAUUCUUUUUUAGUUUUCCUCCUC
rnacentral:lncRNA from 1 species